rnacentral:lncRNA from 1 species
UCUAUAUAUAACAAGAUUAAAGAAGAAGACAGACAACCUAAUUAAAGAAUUUGAGGAGAGAAAGAAAGAAAGAGUGAUCGUCAUGGAGAGCAGGAGGAAGAAUCAACAGAAGACGAGCUACAUUGUAAUUUCCAUCCAGCUCCUAGCGGCCCUCCUACUCUUGGAGCUUGUGUCGCUAGUGCCGGGGGCGUCAUGCGAGGAGUUGCCCUUGGAUUUUUGGGUGAGUGCACUACGGGGGGUCGGGGCAAAGGACGUUUCAACAGCCGAUGGAUGCACCAAGAAGAAUAAGGACACCGUGCUCUGCUCUGCCCAGGCUAACACGGUAACCAAUUUCAUCAACCCUACCAACUCUGAGGAACAAGGCUAUAGGACCAUCGGGGAGUCCAUCGCUAACAUCCCUGAUGAUAGCACCAAACGGUACAUCCUCAUCCUCAGCGGUGGCACCGUGUACCGAGAGAAGGUAUUGGUGAGCAAAAGCAAGCCAUUCGUCACCAUAAGAUCAGAUGACCCCAUCAACCCUGCCAUCAUUGUGUGGAACGACACUGCCGCCACCCUGGGGAAGGAUAGCAAGCCCCUUGGAGUAGAUGGUAGUAGCACCAUGACCGUAGAGUCCGACUACUUCAUUGCCUAUGGUGUCGUCUUUAGGAAUGAUGCUGCAGCAGCAGCGAAGAAGAAGAAGGCAGAAGGCGAGGCGCCAGCGUUGCGGGUGCUAGGAACAAAGGCAACCUUCUACAACUGCACAAUUGAAGGUGGACAAGGCGCCCUGUAUGACCAGAUGGGGCUGCACUACUUCAAGUCCUGCACCAUCAGGGGCACCAUCGACUUCAUCUUUGGCUCUGCCAAGUCCUUUUACGAGGACUGCGCCAUUGUUUCCGUGAACAACAUGGAGGAGAUCAUGACCUUGCCUGUGGCACCACCUCAACUUGACAUUCACGACAAUCCAAUCAAGGUUGCCCCAGGGGUGGGAGGCUUCUCCUUCAAGACAUGUACCAUCACCGGGGAAGGGCAACAAAUCUUCCUCGGAAGGAUGGGCACGCCUUCCAUCUACUCCUACACCCAGAUUGCUAAGGAGGUUGUGCCCAUAAUCUACGACAAAGGGAACAUCUUCAUGCCCAGUAAUAUGUAUGCCGACCCAUGCAUGCAGCAAAAUCUCUCUCUCUCUCUCUUUAUAUAUAUAUACACUUGUUAUCUCAUAUCUAUAUCUAUGCAGGACUGGUAGACGCUGUGCCACUUUCAAGUGCUAUGGACCUGGGUUAGAGAAAAUAUGGCACGUCAAACUUAGAUACGCUGAAGCCAUAUACUUUCUUGGGACAGAUUUUAUCAACGGAGAUUCAUGGAUCCUGUCCAUACCACCUACUGAUGCUGAAACAUUGCUAUCAGUUUGAAUAUAUAGAAUCCUCAGAGAUCAUCAAAGAUCAUCAUCUACCACUAAUUAAUAAUGAGCCAAAUUAAAUAAGUUUUGCGUAUAUAUUUUAUCCCUAUCUAUAAAUUAUGCAUGUGUUGUAAACAAGUCGUGGAUGGGCUUCAUUUGUUCUCGCGAUUGAAAAAUAACAAAUAAACAAAGUAGAAAAGAGGAUGAACCAGAAGUCUUGUUCAGCAAGAAGGAAGGAGGAAUGACGAUAUUUCCCAUGUGAUACUUGUAAAUCAUAUGUGUAAACUUCGUGGGCGUGCUUGUAAUUUCAUACGAAGUUGUACCUCUCGUCUAUAAAUAGAGUAACAGUGUCAUGCAUAAAUUCACCUUUCGAGAGCUCAAAGCUUUAUUUAGCUCAGCCUUCGAAGUACCUUUGAGCUAUCACUUGUAUGAAGCCGAAGGUAUGUUUGUAAUUGUUUGUUAUAUUGCAAGGAGUGAAAUAAUAAGUGUGGAAGCAUGAAGAUGAGUAACAUGUCUUGCUCGUAAUUGUUUACAUUUCAUCCUUGUUAAUAUAUAAGCAUUUGUGCCCCUUCUUCUUCUCUCUUCAAUUAACCUUCGAAGAAGGAUUAAUUGAAGGGAGAAGUUUAUGAUUUGAUAACUUGUGUUGGCUUGUUUUUGAUGUCCUGUAGCAAUCAAAAGCAAGCGACCAACUGUGUCUAUGGCCAGUGCCAUCGGCCUGGACCCUAUGUUUGUGCGUGUGAAUCGCAGUAGUGCGAUUGGGGAAGGAGGCUUGAUGGUUGUAAGUGCAAUCAACCCAUUUGAGGGUUUUGGUGGUGAUAUGACAACAAAUAAGGUAUCUAAUAUGUUUGCUCCUAGUAUAUGUGUAACACCACAAAAACCAUCAACUAAAAAUAAUGCAUUUAGAUUAUUAGUGGUAAUAAUAUGGUAAUGAUUUUUUCUUUCAAGUGUUUGAUUUUUAUUUGCAUUUACGGGGUGUUUGGAUCCCUUCAUUUUAGAGGAAUUGGAAUUCACUAAUAUCCACCACUUUCCAAAGUUCAGAUAUAAGCUUAUCCCAAAUUCAUGGGGUGGAGAAUGGGAAAUGAUUUUAUGCAUUAGUAGAAUUUGUUUCUACUCUAUAACUUACAUGACACUCUUCGUCUCACUCCUCUAUAGUAAAAAUAUAGCACAUAAAUAUCUCUGACAUCUUGCUAAUAAUAGUAUACAAAUAUAUUUUGUAUAAAACCGAAUUAGCUUAAUUGAUAUAUGCCUAAAUUACUAUUAUUAGUAAAAAUAUAGCACAUAAAUAUCUCCGACAUCUUUCAAGUGUUUGAUUUUUAUUUGCAUUUAGAGUAAUUUUGUUUGCUCAUAUUUGAUUUAUGGAUGCUUAGUAGAAUUUCUUUUAUAUUGAGAAUCCAAUAAUUAAUAUAGAAGUAUUGGUCCAACAAUAAAUAUUUUAGUUAUAAAUAAUUUUGAAAUAAUUAUUAUGAUUUUUUUGAAUUAUUUAAAAAUAUAUUUACUUAUAUUUUUAAAUAGAAAAGAAAACAAAAGAAAAAAACCGAAAACCCUAAACCUAACCGGCCAUUUCGGCCCAUCAGGCCCAUCAGCCACCGCUUCCCUAUUCCCUCCUCCCCAUCUCUCACCGACCAGUGGGGCCCACCCAGGGCCCCUCUCCUUUGUCUCCCUCCCGUGCCCGGCCGAGCCGCGCCGUGCGCCACGCCUGCGCCUCGACGUCCGCGCCAGUCCGUUUCCCCGAACCGGAAACCGCCCGCGCGUUUCCCUCUCUCUCCCUCCCCCACUUCCCUCUCCUUCAAGCCGGUAACGGCCGAGUUAUUAGCUGCUGCCAUUGAUGGCGUUCAUGGCCGACCAUCUAUCUCUCUCCCCGCUCGGCUCUCCCUCUCAUCCCCUCUCUCUAUAAAACCGCCGAGCUCCCACCUCUCUCCCUACCCGAGCUCUCUCCCUCACUCAUCGGCUCUCUCCCUCACCGAAACGCCGACCGCCUGAGCCUUACCGUCGCGCCCGCUCGCUGUCGAGCCUUGCUGUCCACGCCUCGCCCCGCCUCGGACGCGCUCGUUCCCUACCCGACCGAGACCACGCGCGCCCUGCUCCCCUGCUCGCCGAGCUCCAUCCCUACGCGUGAGCAAGAGCUCAAGGUAGAAGAAGCACAUUUUGCAUUUUUGUCCCUACGUGUAAAUAAAAUUAAUUCUGAGAUUUUCAGUUUAGAAACUAUUGAAAAGAGACCCGAUGUAUACGCUAAAUCAUGAACUAGCCCCUGCAACAAUAUUUUGACACGAGUAUUAUUUUAUAUUUCAAAAAUAAAUAAUUUCACUAUUCACUAACUUGGUGAUUUAAAUAUUAGAAAUGUUGGUGCUUAGCAACCCUACCUGAAAGAUGGGCAAGAGGGGUGACAAUGGUUUGGUGGCAGCUCAUGUUAACAUGGGGUGGUAGUCUUGGCUAAGUUACCUCACCUAGAGGGCCAUCAAUACUGACGUGGAAACCUUAGCGGGUGGCUUUGUACUAAGGAUAUUUUGUGAAAGCCUCAUAAUGGAUCCCUAGCUGUCACACCCGGUUUUGGAAGGUAAACCGAAUGCGAUCCAUGUACGUGCCAGGAUCAGAACUCAUGUACACAGCGAUUACAUAAUUGGACAUCAUCACACAAUCCUUGAAUUAAAUAGCGAAGGUACUUAGUUACAUCAAGAUGUCUGAGACAUCCACAGAGUCUAUUACAUAAACAUAAUGUUCAACAUUAAAUCAAAGUGUGGAGUAUCGAAACGUAGAAGAUAAGCCUACACAGGCAACUAACUAGGGGUUUUCCACUAAAGUAAACUAGAACUCAUCGUUUUCCUGGAACUCCUCAAAGUCAUCCAUGUUGCCAACUUCACCUCCUGAGCACUGAGAACAGUGGGGACAACCUGGGGUGGGGUGGUUUGUAAAGCAAGGGUGCGUACACAUCAACGUACUCAGCAAAUGUCUCGUUUGGCUAAGGUGGACUAGCGGUAUGUGGAGUUAAGGUUAAACAGUUGCUUUUAGUGGUCAAGUUUUAUUAUUAUAAGUAGAGCCAAGUUUUAGUAAUAACCCAGUUAUUACCCAGAGGCACUCCCUCCAAGAGGAAAUACCAGAGAUCAGGAUUAUAAUUAUCAUUGUUAAUCAUCAUCAUAAAAGUAACCAUUUUCUUCUAAUCGAAGAGGAUCCCAAGGCUGCUCAUAACAGUGAGCACGACUAAUAUACCAGUUUGUAACACUCUGCAGAGGUUGCACACUUUACCCACAAGCCGUGAUUCCCAUUCUGCCCGGGGUUCUAGCCUCCCCAUUGAUCACUAACAAGGUGACCUAGCAGGGUCUCACUAUGUAGCCUUUACAAAGAUUUCCUAGAGGUCAUAGCCGCCCGUUAGGUUUCUCCAUUUUGAUAAACACAGUACAUCUCCCCAAAGGAAGGGUGACUAACAAAACCAAAUCAAAGAACCUCUGUAACCAACCUCGGCAGAGAAAGUACUGUGUCUGGACCCCAUUGACGUCCUUACGGCGAAGCCAACUACUCCUCUAGUUCCUCUAAUUAAUCAGCUAAGGGCGUCCCAUUCCACCCUCAUGGUUGUAGUGUUAUCCCGGGUUGUCACUCCCCAAACAGGUCCUUACGGAGAGGUACUCAGAAAAGAGCCUAAGCCCCCUAAAGUAAUCACAAGGACCCCAUCGGGAUAACAUCAUCGUAUCAUAAAAGAUCACAUCAUGUUCAUUGAUUAAGUUUAAGCAAUAGCAUAAGCUAACCAUGAUUAACCCAAAAAGGUAAACAAGGGUAAGGGAAAUACAAACUAGUCAAUCCUUAGGUUUCAAUAAAGUAAUGCGGGACAGUGAAUUAUAAAGUAGAGUAGGACAUGAUAGGUCUGAGGACACUUGCCUUCACCAGAUUUUUGCUCAGAGGGAUCUUCGGCAACACACUCACGAACCAUGAGCUGCUCGUUGUCUAAGUAAAGCGAGCAUACAUUCAAUACAUUUGGUAGGUAAAAAUGAACAUCACAUCACACAUGAACAAAUAUUGGCACACAACUCAAGAAGGUACAUUAUUAAGUACAGAGGAAUGAGGUCAAGUUAUAAAAAUGGACUAAUCCUAAUUGGGGAAUUGAUUACUCUCUAAAUGUUUGGAACAUAGCUCAAAAAGGUUAAGUAGUGAUUAAAACAAAUGAAAGCUAGCAUUAUAAGAUAAACUACUCUCAUUUAGAAAUUUGAUUAUCUUUUAAGUAUUAUCCAUAAUUACAUUCCUAAUUCUAUUUAUGUCAUUAAGGCCUAAAGGUUAAGACAAAAAAAAUAUCCAAGUAAUGCAUAACACUAAUCUCACAAGAUUGAAUAUACUUUAUUCCUAGGGUUCUCCUUUUAUUUAUUUCAUUAAAUAAAUAAAUCAAAAGAUACUUUAAUUCUAUAUUCUAAGUGUAAAAAUUAAAGUGUGCAGAUUACAGUUGGUCAUAUUUUAUUUGAACAGAGAAUAAUUUGGUGAACAUUUUGUAAUUUGAACCACUAAAUUUGGAGUUCAUAUGAAAAAGAUAUGAAAUAAACAAGUUUUGAAGUUUGAAAUAUGAAAUUAGGGCUAAAUCUGUGAUUAAAUAAAAGUCCAGGGGUCUAAUUAAAACAAACCAGGGACCUAUGCCCUUAAACAGAGGACGAUGGGUUGAUUUCCUAAAACCAGGGGGUUUCUUAAGCAAAACAGCCACGCGAAGGGGUAUCAGGCUCCCUCAACCGUUGGAUCAGAAACCGACGGCUGAGAUUAGAUCGCGUAGGCGCGGGCGCGCAGGCGCGGCUGACAAGCGGGGCCACGGCCUUCAGCGGCAGAGGGGGAGGGCGCACUAAUCAAGCGAGCCCAGCUCCAGAGGACUUGGGCGCUGACAUGCGAGCCAGGGCGUCAGGCACGCGUGCGCGAAGCGUUAUCCGUGGUCCGAGCCGUUCGAUCUGAAUCGGACGGAGGGGACCAGACCAGGGGGAAACAGACGGCUGCUGGCGGCGCCGCUCCUCUCUGCGGUGUUGAGGUGAAAGGGAAAUGUGCCCUUGGGCCAUUUCUAAGUAUUUUGGUGAUUGAGUGCCAACACAAGUGCUUAAGUGUUAGAGUAUCCCAAGUGAUGGACAAAAUGCAAAUCAAAAGUAAAGGUAUGUUUCUAGACUUAGUACAUUGUUUUAUGGACUAAUGUAUUGUGUCUAAGUGCUGGAAACAAAAAAAAUCAAGUUGGAAAAGAGAUGGCUUUGUUCAGCCAAAGUCUGCUCAGUCUGGGUGCACCGGACUGUCCGGUGGUGCACCGGACAGUGUCCUGUGGUGCACCGGACAGUGUCCUGUUGUCACACCCGGUUUUAGAAGGCAAACCGAAUGCGAACCAUGUACGUGCCAGGAUCAGUUAUUCACGUACACAGCAGUUACAUAACAUGGACAUCAUCACACAGUGCUCAAAAUAGUAUUAAUAAGGGAAAUAGUCGAUUACAUUAUACGUCUGAGACAUCCAUAUAGUUCUUACAAUAAAUCAAAGUGCGGAAAAGAAACGUAGAUAACCGCGGCCUUCACAGGCAGCCGACUGGGGGUUGCCGCUAACCCACACCUAGAACUCGUCGUAAUCUUGGAACUCCUGGAAGUCUCCUUCCACAGCUUCAUCUUCGCCUGAGCAGUGGUUGCAAUGCUGACAACCUGGGGAUGGGGGGGGUUUGGUGUGUAGAGCAAGGGUGAGUACACAUCAACAUACUCAGCAAGUAUCCUGUUUGGCUGUAGUGGACUGGCUGUAUGUGGGGAUAAGUCAAGCAGUUGCUUUUAGUUGGUCAGAUUAUUACUUACUAGUAGAAAGCCAAGUUUUAGCAUUAACCCAAGUUAUUAACCCAAACGUACUCCUUUCCAAACGGAAAGAGUACCACUUACCUGCACCAUAGUCAUAACCAGAAUCAUCGAUCUCAUAACCACCUGUACCAAAGUAUCUCUGAUCAAGUACCACUAAUCACUGGAGCUCCCUUGGCCGCUCAUAACCGUGAGCACGGCUGAUAUAUCAGUUUUUCAAACACUCUGCAGAGGUUGUGCACUUUACCCAAAAGCCGUGAUUCCCAUUCUGCCCGGAGAUCAUGACUCUCCAUUGAUCACUACCAAGGUGACCCAGCAGGGCAUCACUACGUAGCCUUUACAAAGAUUCCCCGGGGCUGUAGCCACCCGUUAGGUUUCCUAAAUGCACCGCACUCCUCCCCAAGGGGCGAACCCAAACUUGGCAGAGCGAGCCGCAUACACCGAGCCCCAUUGACGGCACGACGGCUAAGUGAACUACACCCCGGAUCCUCUAAUUAUUCAGCUAAGGGCACCCCAUUCUACCCUCAUGGUUGCACUGUUUUCCCGGGCGGUCAUCCAUAGAACAGGUCCUUACGGAGAGGCACUCGAGAAACCGCUCGAGCCCCCUUGAUGACCACAAGCACAACAUCAUAAUAAGAGAAGGGAAAACAGCGUAUCAUAGAUAUUCUCAUCAUGUUCAUUGAUUAGAGUUGAGCAAUAGCAUAAAGCUAAACAGUAAUAAUCCAACCCAAAUAGGUAAACAAGGACAUGGAUAACAAAAGCUAGUCAAUCCUUAGGCAUAAAUGUGUAAAGCGGGAGGUGAAUUAAAUAAUGAAUAGGACAUAGAUAGGUCAAGGGACACUUGCCUCCACCAAACGACUGCUGCUCAGGGGCUUCUCCUGCGGGUUCCUCGGGCUCUUCAACCGGAUCGUUCUCUAUACGAGCGCAAACAUACAUACAUCCACACAUUUAAUACAAAAGAACAGUACACCAUACAAUAGAAUGCAAUAAGUAAACAGACGUUCCACGCAGGCUCGCGAGUACUGUUAAGAGAGAAAGAGGAAAAGACAGUCGAGAAACGAUAACGUUACAUGAUUAUAAAUUAACCACUCGCUUAAUGGACGGAAAUUUAAUGUAGACACUAUGUUUAGCGUAAAGUAAAGUCAUGUUUCAUGUCUAAUUAUUAUAAGCAGGUGGAGAUAAAUAAAAAGAUGGUCGCGCGGCGAAACGCGCGACAAAGCUCUCUAAAACAAAUUAAGAAGUUAACGACUCGUCGCGCGACCGAGCACGCAACGAGACACUUCACCUUAGUUACGAGGAGACGUUAAACGUCGCGCGACGAAGCGCACGACGGCAUACGUCGACUAAACUGAGUCCAAAGUGGAACAUCGCGUGAAUACACACGCGGCGUUACCCCUUAAACAACCUGAAACAAAAAUGGAUCGUCGCGCGACGAAGCGCACGACGCAACACAAGAUAGAAUCUGAAUUUAGACAAAUCCGUCGCGCGGCGAAGCGCGCGACGCAACACGCUAAUUAACGAAUAAUCACCGCGAGCGCGGGCGAGCGAAGAUACGGUCGGGCGAGGCCGGGACGGGGGAACGGGCGGGCGAGCUGGGGCCGGGGCGGUUGAACCGGCCAGGGGGGCGGUUGAACUGGCCGGGGCCGAGCGGGCGGGCCGAGGGCGGGCGCCGAGCGCCGCCGCGGGGAGGGGCCGAGCGGGCGGGCCGAGCGCCACCGCGGGCGAGCGGGCAGGGGGCCGAGCCGCCGCGCCGAGGGGCCGAGCGGGGGCCGGGCGGGCGAGCCGGGGCGCCGCCGCGGGGAGGGGCGGGGGCGGGAUCGCCGCGGGGAGAGGCGGGGGCGGGAUCGCCGCGCCGGGCAGGGGAGGGGCCGAGCGGGCGGGAGCCGCCGCGCCGGGGAGGCCGAGCGGGCGGGACGCCGGGGAGGGAGGGGGAAGGGGGCCGAGCGCCGCCGGGGAGGGAGACCGGGCGGGCGCCGCCGGGGAGGGAGCGGGGAGGGGAGCCGAGCGCCGCCGCGGGAAGGGGCGGGCAGGGGGCCGAGCGCCGCCGCGGGAGGGAGCGGGGCGGGCGGGCGAGCGGGGCCGAACGCCGCCACGGGCGAGCGCCGCCGGGGCCGGGGUCGCGCGCGGGCAGGGGGAGAGGGAGGGCGCGCGUGGGGAAGAAGAGGAGGGAGAGGGAGAGAGAGAGAAGGGGAGGGGAGCUCACCUCGGGGUCCAAAAUCCGGUGAUCGCCGUCUCCAAAUCCUAGGGCACCACGGGGAGAGAGAGGUGGAAGAGGGAGAGGAGAGGUUGUUGCGCGGGAGAUCCAAAUGAGAGAGAGAGAGAGGGGAGGGGGGCGCAUGGGGGGUUUUGGGCGCUAGGGGCGCGCAGGCCGGGGCGGGCCGGGCCGGCUGGGCUGGGCUAGGUUGGGCUGGGCCGGGCCACUUCGCGGAUCGAAAACCCACGACGAGCGCGACCACUAAACGGAAUUAAAUCGCGAACCGAAAUCCGGAACGGAACGAGACGAACAUUCAACAUCAGACAAAGAAAUGUGCUUCGGCAUGAUGCAACACCUAUGAGACUUAGGUUUUGGUUUAUACAUGACACGGACACCUGCCGCUAUACUGGUUUGAAAUUGGGAAGAAAGAGCAAACGGGGAAAGAGAAAAGAGAGUAACGCCCGAAUUUGGUGAGAGAAAAGAAGAAAAAAUUCUACCCCCAAAUUCAGGGCGUUACAAACCUAUCCCCCUUAAAAGAAUCUCGCCCUCGAGAUUCAGGGUUGGCUAGCAAAGAGCUCAGGGUAUUUAGCCAUUAGAUCAUCUUCACGCUCCCAGGUUGCUUCUUCCUCAGAGUGAUGAUCCCAUCUGACUUUGCACAUUCUGAUGGUCUUCCUUCGGGUGACUCGGUCUACAACCUCAAGGAUUUGCACUGGCUUCUCAACGUAGGUCAAGUCCUCCUGGACUUCAAGACCUUCCACUGGCAACUGCUCUUCUGGCACACGCAAGCACUUCUUCAACUGAGACACAUGAAAGACAUCAUGCACAGCUGACAAAUUCUCUGGCAAACUGAGCUGAUAGGCCACUUCUCCACGUCUUGCAAGAAUCUGAUACGGACCAAUGUAGCGGGGUGCUAGCUUGCCUUUCACUCCGAACCUUCUGACUCCUCUGAUCGGUAACACUUUCAGAUAAACAAAGUCUCCGACUUCAAAACUCAGCUCUCUUCUUCUUGUGUCUGCAUAGCAUCGCUGCCUCGAUUGCGCUAUCUUCAGAUUCUCGCGGACCAUCUUGAUGUUCUCUUCGGCUUCAAGCAAAAUGUCUGGCCCAAACACUUGCUUUUCUCCAGGCUGAUCCCAUUGCAACGGAGUUCUACAACUCCUUCCAUAGAGCGCCUGAAAUGGUGACAUCUUCAGACUGGCCUGGUAACUGUUGUUAUAGGAAAACUCUGCAUAGGGCAAUCUCUUGUCCCAUCCGGACUGAUCUUGCAACGCACAGGCUCUCAACAUAUCUUCAAGAAUUUGGUUGGUCCUUUCGGUCUAGCCAUCCGUCUGCGGAUGAUAAGCUGAACUGAAAUUCAGAUGCGUGCCCAAAGCUUCAUGCAACUGCUGCCAGAAAUGAGAGGUGAACUGCGUUCCUCUGUCUGACACUAUCUUCUUUGGCACACCAUGAAGACAAACGAUCUGAGACAUAUACAAUUCUGCCAAUACUGCACUGCUGUAGUUGGUCUUGACAGGUAUGAAGUGGGCUGACUUGGUCAAACGGUCCACUACUACCCAGAUGGAAUCGUAGCCGGCUCGAGUGCGAGGCAAUCCGACUAUGAAAUCCAUACCAAUUUCAUCCCAUUUCCACUGAGGGAUCUGCAACGGUUGCAACAAUCCAGCAGGUCUCUGGUGUUCUGCCUUAAUUCUUCGGCAACUAUCGCACAUAGCCACAUGCUCCGCGAUUUCCCUCUUCAUUCCGUACCACCAGAAUUUCUUCUUCAGAUCCUGAUACAUCUUCUCACUGCCAGGGUGAAUCGAAUAGGCUGUCUCAUGAGCUUCCUUGAGAAUCAACUCCCGAAUGGACUGGACAUUGGGAACACACAAGCGGUCUUUGAACCAUAUCACGCCUUCUGCAUCUUCUCGAAAAUCUUUGCCUUUGCCUUCUAGAAUCAGUCGCCGGAUCUCACUGAUCUUCUCAUCAUUCUUCUGCGCUUCUUUGAUUUCGCGCUCCAAGUUAGGUUCCAACUCAACUGUGACUCCUCGCGAAUUGUUCAGAAAUCCGAGACUCAACCUGUCGAACUCUUUGGCCAACUCAUAAGGCAUCGGACGAGCGACCAUCAAAUUGACUUGACUCUUUCUGCUCAAAGCAUCUGCCACUACGUUUGCUUUGCCUGGAUGGUAAUGAAUCUCCAACUCAUAAUCUUUGAUCAACUCUAACCAUCCUCGUUGCCUCAUGUUCAACUCUGACUGAGUGAAUAUGUACUUCAGACUCUUGUGAUCUGUGUAAACAUCGCAUUUCUGUCCAUACAAAUAGUGCCUCCAUGACUUCAGCGCAUGAACCACUGCUGCCAACUCUAGAUCAUGGAUUGGGUAAUUUUUCUCAUGAACCUUCAGCUGUCGGGACGAGUAAGCCACAACUCUUCCCUCUUGCAUCAACACACAACCCAAACCCGUGUAACAAGCAUCGCAAUACACCGAGAAGGGCUUGUGCACAUCAGGCAAGACUAGGACAGGCGCUGUAGUCAACUUUUCUUUCAGCGCUUCAAAGGCCUCUUGGCAUUUCUGGGUCCACUUGAACUCAACUUUGUUGCCUAGCAACGCUGUCAUUGGUUUCGCAAUCUUCGAAAACCCUUCAAUGAAUCGCCGAUAAUAUCCGGCCAUUCCAAUGAAACUCUUGAUUCCUCUAGCAUCUGUUGGCGCUUUCCAGUUCAAAAUGUCUGCCACUUUCUUCGGAUCCACAGCCAAUCCUUCUUUGUUGAUUAUGUGACCCAAGAACAGGACUUCACUGAUCCAGAACUCACACUUGCUCAACUUUGCGUACAACUGGUGCUCUCGCAAUCUUUGCAAUACCAUCCUCAAAUGAUCUGCGUGCUCUUCUUCGCUUUGAGAAUAAACCAGAAUGUCAUCAAUGAAUACCACCACAAACUUAUCGAGAUAAUCCAUGAAUACACUGUUCAUCAAGUUCAUGAAGAAUGCUGGCGCAUUGGUCAAACCAAAAGACAUCACUGUGAACUCAUACAAACCAUACUUGGAAAUGAAGGCCGUCUUCGGAAUGUCCGAAGGUCGGAUCCUGAGCUGAUGAUAACCUGACCUCAGAUCAAUCUUGGAGAACACACUAGCUCCUCUCAACUGGUCGAACAGAUCUUCAAUUCUGGGCAAAGGAUACUUGUUCUUGAUCGUGACCUCAUUCAAAGCUCGGUAAUCGAUACACAUCCUCUUGGUGCCAUCUUUCUUCUCCACAAAUAGGACAGGGGCGGCCCAAGGCGAGGUGCUUGGCCGAAUGUAACCUUUCUCUGACAGCUCAUCAAUUUGCUUCUUAAGUUCAUCCAACUCUGGUCCAGAUAUUCUGUAAGCUCUCUUGAAGAUAGGGGCGGUUCCAGGAAGAAGCUCUAUAGCAAACUCAACUUUCCGCUCUGGUGGCAUACCCGGUAAGUCCUUUGGGAACACAUCCGGGAACUCAGACACAACCUUGAUACUCUCAAUUGGGUCUGCUCCACUGCUAUCAACAGCUAUCCGAUAACAACUUCCUUUCUUUGGCUCAGGCGGGACUAACUCGGUCACCACUUCCUCUCCUAGUGGGGACACCAACUUGAUUGUCCUUUUAUCACAACUGAUAACUGCCUGAUACUUAUCUAGCCAAUUCAUCCCUAGGAUGACAUCUAUUCCCUGAGUACCCAUUACUAUAAGGUUGGCGGGAAACGCUAUCCCCCUUAUUUUCACACUUAUAUUCAAGCAAAUGCUAUCGGCACGAAUUCUACCACCGGCUGAGUCAAUUUGAAUGGGGGUUGACAUGGUAGUAAUUGGAAGAUUAUGUGCUUCUACCCAUGAUGCAGUAAUGAAAGAAUGCGUUGCUCCAGUAUCAAAUAACACUUCUGCAAUAUGGGAGUCGACUGGGAACAUACCUACUAUCAUGCCGGGGGUCUCCUGAACUGCUUCAGCUUCCAAGUGGUUCAGUCUCCCAUGAUUAUAGCGCGGCUGAGAGCGAUUGCCUGCUCCAGGCUGAGGCACAUUCUGCUUUGCUGGGGCAUUGGGGCCUGACUGCUGCUGGGCUGCCUUCUUCGGACAUUGCAUCACCCAGUGGCCUUGCUCUCCACAGUGGAAACAUGCCCUGUUUCCAACCUGAGCUGGUGCUGCCUGACUGUUCUGCUGGGCUGUUGGGGCAGGAAGGCGAGGUGCCUGCUGAUUCUGCCUCUGAAACUGACCUCCUGACUGAUUGCUCUGACGGUUCUGAUACUGAUUCUGAGGGUACUGUCUUUGAAACUGCUGAUGCUGCUGAGGUGGACGCUGGUUCUGCCUGAACUGCUGAGGCUGAUUGCCUGAGAAACGAGGACGACUGCUGCUUCCAGGCUGGGGUCCACUGAUCUUGCGUUUACGAUCUUCCAUCUCCUUACGCUUUCUCUCCGUCAUGAUUGCUCUGUCAAUCAGGUGCUGGAAUGUCGGGAAGGUGUGAUUCAUCAGCUGAUACUGAAGAGGGUCAACCAAGCCUCUCAGGAAAUGGUACUGUCGCUUGGCGUCGGUGUUGACAUCUUCAGGAGCAUAGCGAGACAAUUGCAGAAACUUGUCUCGGUACUCACUGACAGACAAUGGCCCUUGCUUGAGGGCCAGGAACUCCUCCUUCUUCACUGUCAUCAGUCCUGCAGGCACAUGGUACUGACGAAAGCUACCUCUGAACUCUUCCCAGGUGAUGGCGUCAGGAUGGGCAUGGGUGGCGAGGUAAGACUCCCACCAUGACUGGGCUGCUCCUCUCAACAGACGGGGACCAUACAAGACUUUCUCCCUGUCAUCGCACUGAGCGGUAUGCAACUCCCGCUCCACAGUGCGCAGCCAAUCUUCAGCAUCCAUGGGGUCAGAAGAAUGAGCGAACGUUGGUGGAUGACCUCUCAUGAAUUCAGCACGCUUGUCUCUGGGCAUCUGAGGCAUCUGAGGCUGAGGUGGGGCCUGCUGCUGUUGCUGCUGCUGCUGCUGAAUGGCGGCCAAAGUCUGACCGAUGGCUUGAACUGCCUGGGUCUGCAUCAGAAACAUCUGCUCGAUCGACAUCGGGGGCGGGGGCGGCAGGUGCUGCUGCUGGGGCACCUCCUCCUGUUGAGCGGCUCGCUCCUGCUGAGCACGCCUUCCUCCUCUGCGCCUGUUCUCUGACAUCUGCAGAAUGCAACCACACAUCAGAACUGAUCUGGCAAAUCUUGCAGCAUAAGGAAAGAGAAUAGAAUUCUUCAACAGCACUGAACAGAUGAGCAUCUUCACUGAUCUCCAACACAGACCACACAGCUUCUCAGAUAGAAAGGAAAGUGGAAUAAAAGGGGUUUCCCAACUAUAUAACUAACUCCAUUAACAUAAUAGAUGAGCAGUGUGUCUAAGUCGAGCCAUCUACAAAAGACAUCGCAAGCAAAAGGGUGAGAACAGAAUUAAUAUGACCAGCAAAUAAUGAAUCAUAAGUAAAUGAAGGAUUAGAAUAAAACAUGAUUUUCAGCAAGGUAUAGUAUAUAGUAGAACAUAGGUUUGGUCGGUAUGACCAACUUUUGAAGGGAUAUCAAAGUCAAGGCAGAGACAGAGGUCUAUAGUCCUUAGAACGACCAUUCUACUCUAGGUCAGCGGUCCUACAGUCAGCACGGCUUUGAUACCACUUAUGUCACACCCGGUUUUAGAAGGCAAACCGAAUGCGAACCAUGUACGUGCCAGGAUCAGUUAUUCACGUACACAGCAGUUACAUAACAUGGACAUCAUCACACAGUGCUCAAAAUAGUAUUAAUAAGGGAAAUAGUCGAUUACAUUAUACGUCUGAGACGUCCAUAUAGUUCUUACAAUAAAUCAAAGUGCGGAAAAGAAACGUAGAUAACCGCGGCCUUCACAGGCAGCCGACUGGGGGUUGCCGCUAACCCACACCUAGAACUCGUCGUAAUCUUGGAACUCCUGGAAGUCUCCUUCCACAGCUUCAUCUUCGCCUGAGCAGUGGUUGCAAUGCUGACAACCUGGGGAUGGGGGGGGUUUGGUGUGUAGAGCAAGGGUGAGUACACAUCAACAUACUCAGCAAGUAUCCUGUUUGGCUGUAGUGGACUGGCUGUAUGUGGGGAUAAGUCAAGCAGUUGCUUUUAGUUGGUCAGAUUAUUACUUACUAGUAGAAAGCCAAGUUUUAGCAUUAACCCAAGUUAUUAACCCAAACGUACUCCUUUCCAAACGGAAAGAGUACCACUUACCUGCACCAUAGUCAUAACCAGAAUCAUCGAUCUCAUAACCACCUGUACCAAAGUAUCUCUGAUCAAGUACCACUAAUCACUGGAGCUCCCUUGGCCGCUCAUAACCGUGAGCACGGCUGAUAUAUCAGUUUUUCAAACACUCUGCAGAGGUUGUGCACUUUACCCACAAGCCGUGAUUCCCAUUCUGCCCGGAGAUCAUGACUCUCCAUUGAUCACUACCAAGGUGACCCAGCAGGGCAUCACUACGUAGCCUUUACAAAGAUUCCCCGGGGCUGUAGCCACCCGUUAGGUUUCCUAAAUGCACCGCACUCCUCCCCAAGGGGCGAACCCAAACUUGGCAGAGCGAGCCGCAUACACCGAGCCCCAUUGACGGCACGACGGCUAAGUGAAUUACACCCGGGAUCCUCUAAUUAUUCAGCUAAGGGCACCCCAUUCUACCCUCAUGGUUGCACUGUUUUCCCGGGCGGUCAUCCAUAGAACAGGUCCUUACGGAGAGGCACUCGAGAAACCGCUCGAGCCCCCUUGAUGACCACAAGCACAACAUCAUAAUAAGAGAAGGGAAAACAGCGUAUCAUAGAUAUUCUCAUCAUGUUCAUUGAUUAGAGUUGAGCAAUAGCAUAAAGCUAAACAGUAAUAAUCCAACCCAAAUAGGUAAACAAGGACAUGGAUAACAAAAGCUAGUCAAUCCUUAGGCAUAAAUGUGUAAAGCGGGAGGUGAAUUAAAUAAUGAAUAGGACAUAGAUAGGUCAAGGGACACUUGCCUCCACCCAACGACUGCUGCUCAGGGGCUUCUCCUGUGGGUUCCUCGGGCUCUUCAACCGGAUCGUUCUCUAUACGAGCGCAAACAUACAUACAUCCACACAUUUAAUACAAAAGAACAGUACACCAUACAAUAGAAUGCAAUAAGUAAACAGACGUUCCACGCAGGCUCGCGAGUACGGUUAAGAGAAAGAGGAAAAGACAGUCGAGAAACGAUAACGUUACAUGAUUAUAAAUUAACCACUCGCUUAAUGGACGGAAAUUUAAUGUAGACACUAUGUUUAGCGUAAAGUAAAGUCAUGUUUCAUGUCUAAUUAUUAUAAGCAGGUGGAGAUAAAUAAAAAGAUGGUCGCGCGGCGAAACGCGCGACAAAGCUCUCUAAAACAAAUUAAGAAGUUAACGACUCGUCGCGCGACCGAGCACGCAACGAGACACUUCACCUUAGUUACGAGGAGACGUUAAACGUCGCGCGACGAAGCGCACGACGGCAUACGUCGACUAAACUGAGUCCAAAGUGGAACAUCGCGUGAAUACACACGCGGCGUUACCCCUUAAACAACCUGAAACAAAAAUGGAUCGUCGCGCGACGAAGCGCACGACGCAACACAAGAUAGAAUCUGAAUUUAGACAAAUCCGUCGCGCGGCGAAGCGCGCGACGCAACACGCUAAUUAACGAAUAAUCACCGCGAGCGCGGGCGAGCGAAGAUACGGUCGGGCGAGGCCGGGACGGGGGAACGGGCGGGCGAGCUGGGGCCGGGGCGGUUGAACCGGCCAGGGGGGCGGUUGAACCGGCCGGGGCCGAGCGGGCGGGCCGAGGGCGGGCGCCGAGCGCCGCAGCGGGGAGGGGCCGGGCGGGCGAGCCGGGGCGCCGCCGCGUGGAGGGGCGGGGGCGGGAUCGCCGCGGGGAGAGGCGGGGGCGGGAUCGCCGCGCCGGGCAGGGGAGGGGCCGAGCGGGCGGGGCCGCCACGGGGAGGCCGAGCGGGCGGGACGCCGGGGAGGGAGGGGGAAGGGGGCCGAGCGCCGCCGGGGAGGGAGACCGGGCGGGCGCCGCCGGGGAGGGAGCGGGGAGGGGAGCCGAGCGCCGCCGUGGGAAGGGGCGGGCAGGGGGCCGAGCGCCGCCGCGGGAGGGAGCGGGGCGGGCGGGCGAGCGGGGCCGAGCGCCGCCACGGGCGAGCGCCGCCGGGGCCGGGGUCGCGCGCGGGCAGGGGGAGAGGGAGGGCGCGCGUGGGGAAGAAGAGGAGGGAGAGGGAGAGAGAGAGAAGGGGAGGGGAGGGGAGCUCACCUCGGGGUCCAAAAUCCGGUGAUCGCCGUCUCCAAAUCCUAGGGCACCACGGGGAGAGAGAGGUGGAAGAGGGAGAGGAGAGGUUGUUGCGCGGGAGAUCCAAAUGAGAGAGAGAGAGGGGAGGGGGGGCGCAUGGGGGGUUUUGGGCGCCAGGGGCGCGCAGGCCGGGGCGGGCCGGGCCGGCUGGGCUGGGCUAGGUUGGGCUGGGCCGGGCCACUUCGUGGAUCGAAAACCCACGACGAGCGCGACCACUAAACGGAAUUAAAUCGCGAACCGAAAUCCAGAACGGAACGAGACGAACAUUCAACAUCAGACAAAGAAAUGUGCUUCGGCAUGAUGCAACACCUAUGAGACUUAGGUUUUGGUUUAUACAUGACACGGACACCUGCCGCUAUACUGGUUUGAAAUUGGGAAGAAAGAGCAAACGGGGAAAGAGAAAAGAGAGUAACGCCCGAAUUUGGUGAGAGAAAAGAAGAAAAAAUUCUACCCCCAAAUUCAGGGCGUUACACCUGUGGUGCACCGGACAGUGUCCGGUGCACCAGGCUGGCUCUGGUGAACUUGCUGCUCUCGGGACUUCGACGGCGGUGUACGGCUAUAAAUCACCGGACAGUCCGGUGGUGCACCGGACUGUCCGGUGAGCCGUUCACAGGCGAAGUCGUCGCUCUCGGGAAGUGAUUAACGGCGUACGACUAAAAAUCACCGGUCUGUCCGGUGGUGCACCGGACUGUCCGGUGAGCCAACGGUCAGCCGGGCCAACAGUCGGCCGAGGAUUCCGCGCAUGACGCGUGGCCGAGCCAACGGUCACAUUGGAGCACCGGACAGUGUCCGGUGCGCCAACGGCUUUGAAUCUGCAACGGUCGGCUUCGCCAAAUAAGGAAAGAAAUCCACACCGGACAGUGUCCGGUGGUGCACCGGACUGUUCGGUGCGCCAGGUGACAGAAGGCAAGAAUUGCCUUCCUGGAAUGCUUUCAACGGCUCCUAGCUGCCUUGAGGCUAUAAAAUGGACCCCUAGGCGCAUGGAGGAGAACACCAAGCAUUCCCCAAGCAUUCUAAAGCACCAAGACCUCGAUUCCGCGCAUUUGAUUCUUUGUGAUAGCAUCUAGAGUUUUAUUUGAGUUGUGAACUCGUCGGGUUGUGUUGUGAGCUCUUGUUGCGACUUGUGUGCGUGUUGUCGCUUUGAUUUUGUGUCUUGUGUGCGUUGCUCAUCCCUCCCUUACUCCGUGCUUCUUUGUGAACAUCAAAGUGUAAGGGCGAGAGGCUCCAAGUUGUGGAGAUUCCUCGCGAUCGGGAUAUAGUAAAGCAAAGCAAAACACUGUGGUAUUCAAGUGGGUCUUUGGACCGCUUGAGAGGGGUUGAUUGCAACCCUCGUCCGUUGGGACGCCACAACGUGGAGUAGGCAAGCGUUGGUCUUGGCCGAACCACGGGAUAAACCACUGUGCCAUCUCUGUGUUGAUCUCUUGUGGUUAUUGUGUUUUGUUAAGACUCCUCUCUAGCCACUUGGCAUUAUUGUGCUAACACCUAACACUUAAACAAGUUUUUGUGGCUUUAAGUUUAAGUUUUUACAGGAUCACCUAUUCACCCCCCUCUCCAGGUGCUCUCAAUUGGUAUCAGAGCCGUUCUCUUCAAGAAAGGGACUAAUCGCCUGAAGAGAUGGAUCCUAAGGGGAAGGGAAUUGUGAUCAAUGAAAAGGAGAAGGAGUCCUUCGUCAACGAGCCGAAGGAGGACAAGCCCACUGACUCGGGCUCGGGCCACAAACGAAAAGAUGGGAAGAAGAAGAAGACAAGGCGCAUCAAGGAGAUCGUCUACUACGACGACAGCGACGAGUCCACUUCUUCCCAAAAGGACGACGACAACGACUACGAGAGAAGGAAGGCGGUUAAUUCAAACUUUUCCUUUGAUUAUUCCCGUAUUCCGCAAAGUACCAAUGCUCAUUUACUCUCCAUCACUUGGCAAACCUCCACACUUUGAUGGGGAGGACUACGGAUUUUGGAGUCACAAAAUGCGUAGUCACUAAUUCUCUCUCCAUCCAAACAUAUCGGAGAUUGUAGAGAGUGGAAUGAAAUUUGAUAGCUCGGAUAGUCCCAUGUUUAUAAAUGAACAAAUCCAUAGAAAUGCACAAGCUACUACUGUCCUUUUAGCAUCUUUGUUCAGGGAAGAGUACAAUAAGGUGAGCGGCUUGGACAAUGCCAAGCAGAUCUGGGACACCCUCAGGAUCUCACAUGAGGGGAACGACGUCACCAUGCUCACCAAAAUGGAGUUGGUGGAGGGCGAGCUUGGAAGAUUCGCAAUGAUAAGGGGAGAGGAGCCAACCCAAACAUACAACCGGCUCAAGACCCUCAUCAAUAAAAUAAGGAGCUACGGAAGCACACGAUGGACAGACCACGACGUCGUUCGCCUAAUGCUAAGGUCCUUUACUGUACUUGAACCACAUCUGGUGAACAAUAUUCGUGAAAAUCCUAGGUACACCAAGAUGUCGCCCGAAGAAGUUCUUGGGAAGUUCGUAAGCGGGCGAAUGAUGAUCAAGGAGGCGAGAUACGUGGAUGAUGCGCUAAAUGGCCCAAUCCAUGAGCCUCAAACCAUCGCCCUCAAAGCAACGAGAAGCAAGGAGACGCUACCUAACAAGGUGGCGCAAGUUGAGGCGGCGGGACUAAAUGAGGAAGAGAUGGCCCUCAUCAUCAAGCGCUUCAAGACGACGCUAAAGGGCCACAAGGAGCAUCCCAAGAAGAACAAGACGAAGGGAAAGCGCUCCUACUUCAAGUGCGGUAAGAUUGGUCAUUUUAUUGCUAAUUGUCCCGAUAAUGAUAGUGACCAGGAACAAGAGAAGAAAGGGGAAAAAAAGAAGAAGUACAAGAAGGCUAAGGGCGAGGCACAUCUUGGCAAGGAGUGGGACUCGGAUUGCUCUUCAUCCGACGAUGAAGGACUUGCCGCCACCACCUUCAACAAAUCGGCCCUCUUCCCCAACGAGCGUCACACAUGCCUCAUGGCGAAGGAGAAGAAGGUAUGUACUCGAAAUACUACUUAUGCUUCUUCAAGUGAGGACGAGUCUAGUGAUGAUGAUGAAAUAGAUUAUUCAUGUUUAUUCAAAGGCCUAAAUAGAACCAAGGUUGAUAAAAUUAAUGAAUUAAUUGAUGCCUUGAAUGAUAAGAAUAGAUUAUUAGAAAAGCAAGAGGAUUUGUUGUAUGAAGAACAUGACAAAUUUGUAGAGGCACAAAAAUCUCAUGCUUUAGAAGUUAAAAGAAAUGAAAUGCUUUCUUGUGAACUAUCUACUUGCCAUGAGACAAUUUCUAGCUUAAGAAGCAUAAAUGAUGAUUUGAAUGCUAAGUUAGAAAUAGCUAGUAAAUCAACAUCUGGUGUAGAAAAUUUUGUAAUUUGCAAUAGAUGUAAAGAUUUUAAUAUUGAUGCAUGUAGCAAACACCUAGCUUCAAUUUCUAGAUUGAAUGAUGAAGUGGCUAGUCUUAAUGCCCAACUUAAGACUAGCAAAAGUGAAUUCGAUAAGCUAAAAUUUGCAAGGGAUACCUACACGAUUGGUAGACACCCCUCAAUUAAGGAUGGACUUGGCUUCAAGAGGGAAGCCAAGAACUUGACAUGUCAUAAGGCUCCCAUCUCCAUCAAGGAGAAAGGGAAGGCCCCUAUGGCAAAUAGUAUUCAAAAGAACCAUGCUUUCUUAUACCAUGAUAGGAAAUAUUCUAGGAAUGUUCAUCAUGAUAGAAAUUGCAAUAAUGUUGUUUCACAUGCUUAUAAUUCAUAUGCUAUGACUGCUUCUAGUUCCCAUGUUGUGCAUGGUAGAGAUAUGCCUAGGAAAAAUAUUCAUCAUGUGCCUAGAAAGAAUAUUGUUCAUGUUCCUAGGAAAGUAAUACAUGAACCUUCUACAAUUUAUUAUGCUUGCAAUACGUCCUUUGCUAUUUGUAGAAAGGAUAAGAAGGUAAUUGCUAGGAAGUUAGGGGCAAGAUGCAAGGGAGAUAAAACUUGCAUUUGGGUCCCUAAGACCAUUGUGACUAACCUUGUAGGACCCAACAAGAGUUGGGUACCUAAAACCCAAGCCUAAAUUUGCCUUGCAGGUUUAUGCAUCCGGGGGUUCAAGCUGGAUUAUCGACAGCGGAUGCACAAACCACAUGACGGGGGAGAAGAAGAUGUUCACCUCCUACGUCAAGAACAAGGAUUCCCAAGAUUCAAUCAUAUUUGGUGAUGGGAACCAAGGCAAGGUGAAAGGGUUAGGAAAAAUUGCUAUUUCAUCCGAGCACUCUAUUUCUAAUGUGUUCUUAGUUGAGUCGCUUGGAUAUAACUUGUUGUCUGUGAGUCAACUUUGUAAUAUGGGAUAUAAUUGUUUAUUCACAAAUAUAGAUGUGUCUGUCUUUAGAAGAUGUGAUGGUUCACUAGCCUUUAAGGGUGUACUAGACGGCAAACUUAUUUAGUUGAUUUUGCAAAAGAGGAGGUCGGUCUAGAUGCAUGCUUAAUUGCUAAGACUUGCAUGGGCUGGCUGUGGCAUCACCAUUUAGCGCAUGUGGGGAUGAAGAACCUUCACAAGCUUAUAAAGGGAGAACACGUGAUAGGUCUAACUAAUGUGCAUUUCGAAAAAGAUAGACCUUGUGCAGCUUGUCAAGCAAGUAAACAAGUGGGAAGUACUCAUCACAUCAAGAACGUGAUGACUACAUCAAGACCCCUGGAGCUGCUGCAUAUGGACCUCUUCGGACCCGUCGCCUACCUAAGCAUCGGGGGAAGUAAGUAUGGUUUAGUAAUUGUUGAUGAUUUUUCCCGCUUCACUUGGGUAUUCUUUUUGCAGGAUAAAUCUGAAACCCAAGGGACCCUCAAGCGCUUCCUAAGGAGAGCUCAAAAUGAGUUUGAGCUCCAGGUGAAGAAGAUAAGGAGCGACAACGGGUCCGAAUUCAAGAACCUUCAAGUGGAGGAGUACCUUGAGGAGGAAGGGAUCAAGCACGAGUUCUCCGCUCCCUACACACCACAGCAAAAUGGUGUGGUAGAGAGGAAGAACAGGACGCUCAUCGAUAUGGCGAGGACAAUGCUUGGAGAGUUCAAGACGCCCGAGUGCUUUUGGUCAGAAGCCAUGAACACGGCUUGUCACGCCAUCAACUGGGUGUAUCUUUCUCGCCUCCUCAAGAAGACUUCGUAUGAGCUUCUAACCGGUAACAAACCCAAUGUGUCUUACUUUCGUGUAUUUGGGAGCAAAUGCUAUAUUCUAGUGAAGAAAGGUAGAAAUUCUAAGUUUGCUCCCAAAGCUGUAGAAGGGUUUUUGUUAGGUUAUGACUCAAAUACAAAGGCGUAUAGGGUCUUCAACAAAUCAUCGGGUUUGGUUGAAGUCUCUAGCGACGUUGUAUUUGAUGAGACUAAUGGCUCUCCAAGAGAGCAAGUUGUUGAUCUUGAUGAUGUAGAUGAAGAAGACAUUCCAACGGCCGCGAUUCGCACCAUGGCGAUUGGAGAUGUGCGACCACAGGAACAAAAGGAGCAAGAUCAACCUUCUUCCUCAACAAUGGUGCAUCCCCCAACUCAAGACGAUGAACAGGUUCAUCAAAAGGAGGCGUGCGAUCAAGGGGGAGCACAAGAUGAUCAUGUGAUGGAGGAAGAAGCACAACCGGCACCUCCAACCCAAGUUCGAGCGACGAUUCAAAGGAAUCAUCCCGUCGACUAAAUAUUGGGUGAUAUUAGCAAGGGAGUAACUACUCGUUCUAGAUUAGUUAAUUUUUGUGAGCAUUACUCCUUUGUCUCUUCUAUUGAGCCUUUCAGGGUAGAAGAGGCCUUGCUAGAUCUGGACUGGGAGUUGGCCAUGCAGGAGGAGCUCAACAACUUGAAGCGUAAUGAAGUUUGGACACUGGUGCCUCGUCCUAAGCAAAAUGUUGUGGGAACCAAGUGGGUGUUCCGCAACAAAUAAGACGAGCACGUGGUGGUGACAAGGAACAAGGCUCGACUUGUGGCAAAAGGUUAUGCCCAAGUCGCAGGUUUGGACUUUGAGGAGACUUUUGCUCCUGUGGCUAGGCUAGAGUCCAUUCGUAUUUUGCUAGCAUAUGCCACUCACCAUUCUUUCAGGUUGUUCCAAAUGGAUGUGAAGAGCGCCUUCCUCAACGGGCCAAUCAAGGAGGAGGUGUACGUGGAGCAACCCCCUGGCUUCGAGGAUGAACGGUACCCCGACCACGUGUGUAAGCUCUCUAAGGCGCUCUAUGGACUUAAGCAAGCCCCAAGAGCAUGGUAUGAAUGCCUUAGAGACUUUUUAAUUGCUAAUGCUUUCAAGGUUGAGAAAGCCGAUCCAACUCUUUUCACUAAGACUUGCGAUGGUGAUCUUUUUGUGUGCCAAAUUUAUGUCGAUGACAUAAUAUUUGGUUCUACUAAUCAAAAGUCUUGUGAAGAGUUUAGCAGGGUGAUGACGCAGAAAUUCGAGAUGUCGAUGAUGGGCGAGUUGAACUACUUCCUUGGGUUCCAAGUGAAGCAACUUAAGGAUGGCACCUUCAUAUCCCAAACGAAGUACACGCAAGACUUGCUAAAGCGGUUUGGGAUGAAGGACACCAAGCCCGCCAAGACUCCAAUGGGAACCGACGGACACACCGACCUCAACAAAGAAGGUAAGUCCAUUGAUCAAAAGGCAUACCGGUCAAUGAUAGGGUCUUUACUUUAUUUAUGUGCUAGUAGACCGGAUAUUAUGCUUAGCGUAUGCAUGUGUGCUAGAUUUCAAUCCGAUCCAAGGGAGUGUCACUUAGUGGCCGUGAAGCGAAUUCUUAGAUAUUUAGUCGCUACGCCUUGCUUCGAGAUCUAGUAUCCAAAGGGGUCUAACUUUGACUUGAUUGGAUAUUCAGACUCCGACUAUGCUGGAUGUAAGGUCGAUAGGAAGAGUACAUCGGGGACGUGCCAAUUCUUAGGAAGGUCCCUAGUGUCAUGGAAUUCUAAGAAACAAACUUCCGUUGCCCUAUCCACCGCUGAGGCCGAGUACGUUGCCGCAGGACAAUGUUGCGCACAACUACUUUGGAUGAGGCAAACCCUCCGGGACUUUGGCUACAAUCUGAGCAAAGUACCACUCCUAUGUGACAAUGAGAGUGCUAUCCGCAUAGCGGAAAAUCCUGUUGAGCACAGCCGCACAAAGCACAUUGACAUCCGGCAUCACUUUUUGAGAGACCACCAGCAAAAGGGAGAUAUCGAAGUGUUCUAUAUUAGCACCGAGAACCAGCUAGCCGAUAUCUUUACCAAGCCUUUAGAUGAGAAGACCUUUUGCAGGCUGCGUAGUGAGCUAAAUGUCUUAGAUUCGUGGAACUUGGAUUGAUUUAUAGCAUACAUGUGUUUAUGCCUUUGAUCAUGUUCCUUAUGCAUUUUGUUGUUUAUGUAUGGUGCUCAAGUUGUACAAGCACUCCCCGGACCUCACAAGUCCUUUUGCAUGUGAUGCACAUAUUUAGGGGGAGAUGUGCUACAACUUGACUCUUUGAGACUAACCGCGUGCUUGAGUUUGCUUGAUUUAGUCUCAAAGGAAGGUUGAAAGGGAAAAGAUGGACUUGGACCAUGAAAGACUUCCACUGCCCUCCGAUGAGAGGGUAACUUAUUCCAAGUUCAUCUCAUGUACUCUUAUUGCCCUUGUAUACUUAUUUGAAGAUUUUGGUGAGGCAAUGGGGUUCAAGGGCCAAGAUUGAUCCCGUUUUGGUGCUUGAUGCCAAAGGGGGAGAAAAUAAGGCCAAAGCAAUAAAUGGAUCAGCUACCACUUGAGAAAUUUUGAAAACAGUAGAAUAGAGCUUUUGGUUUGUCAAAACUCUCUUGUUGUUUCUCUUUGCAAAAGUUGGUCUCCUGUGGGGGGAAUGGUUGAUUAUGGGAAAAAGGGGGGAGUUUUUGAAUCUUUGAUCAAUUUCUCUUGGAAUACCUCUCUUUAUGUCUCUACAAGUGAAGUUGACUUAGAGAUAGGAAAUUGAGUUUGAUUUGCAAAAACAAACCAAGUGGUGGCAAAGAGUGAUCCAUAUAUGCCAAAUUUGAAUCAAAACAAUUUUGAGUUUUCAUUUGCAUUGAUAUUGCACUUGUUCUAGUUGCUUUAUGUUGUGUUGGCAUAAAUCACCAAAAAGGGGGAGAUUGAAAGGGAAAUGUGCCCUUGGGCCAUUUCUAAGUAUUUUGCUAAUUGAGUGCCAACACAAGUGCUUAAGUGUUAGAGUAUCCCAAGUGAUGGACAAAGUGCAAAUCAAAAGUAAAGGUAUGUUUCUAGACUUAGUACAUUGUUUUAUGGACUAAUGUAUUGUGUCUAAGUGCUGGAAACAGGAAAAAUCAAGUUGGAAAAGAGAUGGCUUUGUUCAGCCAAAGUCUGCUCAGUCUGGGUGCACCGGACUGUACGGUGGUGCACCGGAUAGUGUCAAGUGCACCAGGCUGGCUCUGGUGAACUUGCUGCUCUCGGGACUUCAAUGGCGGUGUACGGCUAUAAUUCACUGGACUGUCCGGUGGUGCACCGGACUGUCCGAUGAGCCGUUCACAGGCGAAGUCGUCGCUCUCGGGAUGUGAUUAACGGCGUACGGCUAAAAAUCACCGGUCUGUCCGGUGGUGCACCAGACUGUCCGGUGAGCCAACGGUCAGCCGGGCCAACAGUCGGCCGAGGAUUCCGCGCAUGACGCGUGGCCGAGCCAACGGUCACAUUGGAGCACCGGACUGUUCGGUGUGCACCGGACGGUGUCCGGUGCGCCAAUGGCUCUGAAUCUGCAACGGUCGGCUUCGCCAAAUAAGGAAAGAAAUCCGCACCGGACAGUGUCCGGUGGUGCACCAGACAGUCCGGUGCGCCAGGCGACAAAAGGCAAGAAUUUCCUUCCUGGAAUGCUCUCAACGGCUCCUAGCUGCCUUAGGGCUAUAAAAAGGACCCCUAGGCACAUGGAGGAGAACACCAAGAAUUCCCCAAGCAUUCUAAAGCACCAAGACCUCGAUUCCACGCAUUUGAUUCUUUGUGAUAGCAUCUAGAGCUCUAUUUGAGUUGUGAACUCAUCGAGUUGUGUUGUGAGCUCUUGUUGCGACUUGUGUGCGUGUUGUCGCUUUGAUUUUGUGUCUUGUGUGCGUUGCUCAUCCCUCGCUUACUCCGUGCUUCUUUGUGAACAUCAAAGUGUAAGGGCGAGAGGCUCCAAGUUGUGGAGAUUCCUCGCGAUCGGGAUAUAGUAAAGCAAAGCAAAACACCGUGGUAUUCAAGUGGGUCUUUGGACCGCUUGAGAGGGGUUGAUUGCAACCCUCGUCCGUUGGGACGCCACAACGUGGAGUAGCCAAGCGUUGGUCUUGGCCGAACCACGGGAUAAACCACUGUGCCAUCUCUGUGUUGAUCUCUUGUGGUUAUUGUGUUUUGUUAAGACUCCUCUCUAGCCACUUGGCAUUAUUGUGCUAACACCUAACACUUAAACAAGUUUUUGUGGCUUUAAGUUUAAGUUUUUACAGGAUCACCUAUUCACCCCCCCCCCUCUAGGUGCUCUCAUGAGGUCACCGGAGUUGAGGCUAGCGCGAGCUGGAGUGGCUACGGGGUCGCCGGAGUUGGGCAGAGAGGGAGAGGGCACCACGGCGAACUCAAUGGCGGGGAAGAGGCCAUGAAUCCACGUGCAGAGAAGGGAGAACGACGGUGAGAAGGUCUCGGGCAAGCCGGAGUAACUCUGGUGAGCCAUUCUGGCCACGGGAAGGGGACUUAAGGCGCGCUAAGGCCUGGGCUAGCUUCAGCAGAGGCAGGGUUGACAUAGGGACCUACUCCAAGGAACUAGACCGGGCUAAAUCGGCCGGCCACCGCGCGAGCACAGUGGACCGCCGCGGCCGAGCACUGGCGAAGGCGAAAUUGGCCGAGCACAGGGCGCAAUAAGUCAUGACGCAACAUGUCCAACACUAGUUUAGCCAAAUUCAAACUAGGUUUCAAAUUCAAAUAAAUUCAAACUUGUCCAACACUUCAAAGAAUAUUUUAAACUCAGCAUGAUGCAACAUGUCAUGACUCAUAAGGUUUGGACAAAAAUAAAUAAUUAACCUCCACUAGUUUAGGCUAUCUCUAAUCAAAAAGGAAAAAGGGAGAGAGAGAAAACCUAGAGUGAGAAAAAGAAGAGUAACACAUGAUUUUGGGUGAUAAUUAGAAAGAAAUUUUAUACCCUCAAAAUCAGGGUGUUACAGACCUAUCCCCCUUAAAAGAAUCUCACCCUCGAGAUUCAGGGCUGGCUAGAAAAGAGCUCAGGGUACUUGGCUUUUAAAUCAUCUUCUCUUUCCCAGGUUGCUUCUUCUUCUGAGUGAUGGCCCCAAUUGACUUUGCACAUUCUGAUGGUGUUCCUCCGGGUGACCCGAUCUGCUGUCUCCAGAAUUUGAGUUGGCUUCUCAAUAUAAGUCAGAUCUUCUUGAACUUCAAGAUCCUCUGCUAGCAACUGCUCUUCUGGCACUCUUAAGCAUUUCUUCAACUGAGACACAUGGAACACAUCGUGCACAGCUGACAGAUUCUCUAGUAAGCUGAGUUGAUAAGCCACUUCUCCACGUCUUGCAUGAAUCUGAUACGGGCCGAUAUAGCGAGGGGCUAGCUUGCCCUUGACUCCGAACCUCUUGGUUCCUCUGAUAGGUGACACCUUCAAAUAGACAUAAUCUCCCACUUCAAAACUGAGUUCUCUUCUUCUGGUGUCAGCAUAGCUUCGUUGUCUGGACUGUGCUGCCUUCAAAUUCUCCCGGACCAUUCUGAUGUUCUCUUCGGCUUCAAGCAGAAUAUCUGGUCUGAACACCUGUCUUUCACCAGGUUGGUCCGAAUGCAGUGCAGUUCUGCAAUUCCUUCCAUAAAGCGCUUCAAACGGUGACAUCUUCAGGCUGGCUUGGUAGCUAUUGUUGUAAGAGAAUUCUGCAUAUGGUAAUCUCUUGUCCCAACCUAUCUUGUCUUGUAAGGCACAAGCCCUCAACAUAUCCUCCAAAAUCUGAUAAGUUAUCUCUGUUUGACCAUCUGUCUGCGGGUGAUAAGCUGAGCUGAAUUUCAAAUGCGUGCCUAAAGCUUCAUGUAACUACUGCCAAAAAUGAGAGGUGAACUGGGUGCCUCUAUCUGAUACUAUCUUCUUCGGAACGCCAUGCAAGCACACAAUCCGAGCCAUGUAUAGUUCGUCCAACACCGCACUAUUGUAGGUGGUCUUGACUGGUAUUAAAUGGGCCGCCUUUGUCAAACGGUCCACUACUACCCAGAUAGAGUCAUAACCAGUACGAGUGCAGGGAAAACCGACUAUAAAGUCCAUUCCUAUCUCAUCCCAUUUCCACUGAGGAAUCUGCAAUGGUUGCAACAAACCUACAGGUCUCUGAUGUUCUGCUUUAAUCCUCUGACAAUUGUUACAUACAGCCACAUACUCUGCUAUCUCCCUUUCAUACCGUACCACCAAAAUAUUUUCUUCAGGUCUUGGUACAUCUUCUCACUACCAGGGUGUAUAGAGUAUGUUGUCUCAUGAGCUUCCUUGAGAAUCAGUUCCCGGAUUGGUUUGAUAUCAAGAACACACAGUCUGUCCUUGAACCAUACCACUCCUUCUGCAUCUUCACGGAAAUCCUUGCCUUAUCCAUCUAUGAUCAGCUGCCGGAUCUCGUUGAUUUUCUCAUCAUCCUUCUGACCCUUCCUGAUGUCUUUCUCUAGAGUGGGUUCCAACUCAAUUGUCACUCCUUGAGUGUUGUUCAGAAAUCCGAGACUCAACCUAUCGAAUUCCUUCGCUAGCUCAUAUGGCAUCGGGUGAGCGGCCAACAUAUUGACUUGACUCUUCCUGCUAAGAGCAUCUGCAACUACAUUUGCUUUGCCUAGGUGAUAAUGAAUCUCUAGCUCAUAAUCUUUGAUCAACUCUAGCCAUCUUCGUUGCCUCAUGUUUAACUCUGACUGAGUGAAUAUGUACUUGAGGCUCUUGUGGUCUGUGUAGAUAUCACACUUCUGCCCAUAAAGAUAAUGCCUCCAGGUCUUCAAUGCAUGAACCACGACUGCUAACUCUAGAUCAUGAGUAGGAUAGUUCUUCUCAUGAAUCUUCAACUGUCGGGACGAGUAUGCCACUACUCUCCCUUCCUGCAUCAACACACAUCCCAGUCUGGUGUACUAAGCAUCGCAAUACACUGAGAAUGGCUUGUGAUCAUCUAGCAGAAUCAGUACUGGUGCCAUUGUCAACUUCUCCUUCAAUGUCUCAAAGGACUUCUAGCAUGCUGGGGUCCACUUGAACUCAACCUUCUUUGCCAGCAAGGCUGUUAGUGGCCUGGCGAUCUUGGAGAAACCUUCAAUGAAACGCCGAUAAUAACUAGCCAUUCUGAUGAAACUCUUGAUUCCUUGGACAUCUUUUGGUGCUUUCCAGUCCAAGAUAGCUGUUACCUUCUUCGGAUCUACAGCCAAUCCCUCUCGGUUUAUAAUGUGACCCAAGAACAGGACUUCACUAAUCUAGAACUCGCACUUGCUAAGCUUGGCAUACAGCUGACAAUCUCGUAGCCUCUGAAGUACUUUCCUCAAAUGCUCCUCAUGCUCUUGCUCAUUCUGGGAAUAUACAAUAAUAUCAUCAAUGAACACCACUACGAACUUGUCGAGGUAGUCUAUGAACACACUGUUCAUCAGGUACAUGAAGUAAGCUGGCGCAGUCGUCAAUCCAAAUGACAUAACCAUGAACUCAUAUAGUCCAUACUUAGUGAUGAAUGUUGUCUUCGGUAUAUCUGCAGGUCGGAUCCUGAGCUGAUGGUAACCUGACCUCAGAUCUAUCUUUGAGAACAUAGUGGCUCCUCUCAACUGAUCAAAUAGGUCUUCAAUUCGAGGCAGAGGGUACUUGUUCUUGACAGUGACUUCAUUCAAAGCUCUGUAAUUGAUGCACAUCCUCUUCGUGCCAUCCUUCUUCUCCACAAAUAACACUAGGGCUGCCCAAGGUGAGGUACUUGGUCUGAUGUAGCCUUUCUCUAACAACUCAUCAAUUUGUUUCUUGAGUUCCACCAACUCUGGUCCGGACACUCGAUAAGCUCUCUUGGAAAUAGGGGCGGUGCCUAGGAUAAGCUCUAUGGCAAAUUCAACUUUCCUUUCAGGUGGCAUGUCUGGUAACUCUUCAGGGAAUACAUCAGGGAAUUCUGACACAAUCCUAAUUGCCUCAAUCAGAUUGGACUCCUUGUCAUCUACUGAUAAAUGGUGACAAGCUCCUUCUUCUAGUUUAGGUAAGUACAGCUUGGUUACUACUUCCUUUCUGGAUGGGGACACCAACUUAAUUGUUCUCUUGUCACAACUGAUAGUGGCUUGAUUUCUGUGUAGCCAAUUCAUCCCUAGGAUGAGAUCUAACCCUUGGGUUCCCAUGACUACUAGGCUAGCGGGGAAGGCUAUCCCCCUUAUUUCAAUCCUUAGAUUCAGACAAAUCCUAUCAGACUGAACUUUUCCCCCAACUGAAUUAACUCUCAAAGGUGGGAUCAUUGGUUCUAUGGGGAUGUUAUGUGAUUCUACCCAAGAUGCAGAAACAAAAGAAUGUGUGGCACCCGUAUCAAAUAGUACUUUGCUGGGUAGGAUUCGACUGGAAACAUACCUACUGCCAUGUCCUGAGCCUCCUGGAUUGCUUCGGCCUCUAGGUGAUUCACCUUCCCACGGUUGUAGGCCUAACCACGGACUCCUGGUGCUUGCUGUGGUGCUCCUUGUCUUGCUGGGGCAUUGACUGCUGGCGGUUGCUGGGCUGCUUUCUUUGGACAAUUCUUCGCCCAGUGAUUUUGUUCUCCAUAGUAGAAGCAUGCAUGACCUCCUACUUGUGCUGGGGCUACUUGGCCAUUCUGGUUGGUUGUGGGGGCAGGAAUUUGAGCUGCCUGGUUGUUCUGACGUUGGUACUGAUUUCCUCAUGGCUUAGUGUUCUGAUGGUACUGCUGCUGCUGUUGCUGAGGAAACUGCCUCUGGUACUGGUGCUGGUGCUGACUGGUGCUAGUGGCCUUAGUUGAAUUGAUGUGGCUAGUUGCCUGAGUAGCGGGGACGACUGCUACUCCCGGCCUAAGGUCCACCAAUCUUGCGCUUCCUAUCCUCCAUCUCCCGACGCUUACUUUCAGUCAUGAUUGCUCUGUCGAUCAAAUGCUGGAAGGUGGGGAAAGUGUGGUUCAUCAGCUGAUAAUGGAGGGGAUCAACCAAUCCUCUCAGAAAGCGGUACUGCCUCUUGGCAUCUGUGUUGACAUCUUCUGGGGCGUAACGUGAUAGCUGUAAAAACUUAUCCCUGUAUUCACUAACGGACAAGGGACCUUGCUUCAGGGCGAGAAACUCCUACUUCCUCACUAUCAUCAGUCCCUCGAGCACAUGGUAGCAACGGAAGUUGUCCCUGAACGCCUCCCAAGUAAUGGCUUCAAGGUUGGCAUGGGUGGCGAGGUAAGACUCCCACCAAGAUUGUGCUGCUCCCCUAAGCUGUCGGGGACCAUACAACACCUUCUCACGGUCGUUGCACUGGGCAGUGUGUAACUCAUGCUCCACGGUAUGCAGCCAAUCUUCCACGUCCAUGGUGUUAGCAGAGUGGGCAAAGACAGGGGGAUGGCCCCUCAUGAAUUCUGCCCGCUUGUCUCUGGGCACUUGUGGCAUCUGGACUUGCACUAGAGGCUGAGGUGGUGGUGGCUGCUGCUGAACUUGCUGCAUCGCUACUAAUGUCUGACCAAUUGCUUGAACUGCCUGGGUGUGCAUCAAGAACAUCUUCUCAAUGGUCAUCGGGGGUGGCGGUGGCAAAUGCUGCUGCGGAGCUGCCUCCUCUUAGGAUGCCUGCUGCUCUGGCUGUGCACGCCUCACAACUCUGCGCCUGUUCUCAGACAUAUGUAGGAAUCACACACAUAUCAGAUCUGACUUUGCAGUCUUUCAGCAUAAGAAAAGAUAUACGGAAAUCUUCACAACACUGAACAAUUGAUCAUCUUCACUGACAACUUCUCAGAUAAAGAGGAAAGUGGAAAUAAAUGGAUUACCCAACUAAAUAACUGACUUUAUUAAUAACUACACCAAGUUGCAGGAGAUACCCACCCCUUGGUGACAAUCAUUACAAAGAUCCAACUUCAUUACAUGUUCAUCAUGACAAACAUUCCAACAUAUGAUAAGCAAACUAACUCGAACUAAGACUAACUAGACUAAGGCACUGAAUUCAUUAUUACAGACUCUGACUCCACGGAUCUAUGGAUCUAAAUCUAUGCGGGUCCUACAGUCUGGGGUACCAUAGUCGAAGCGACCACGGGGCGGUGAACGGUAAGGGUGCUAAAUCCCUAUAGGGGCGGGAGAACCACCAUCAAGAUAGUGGCAUGCCGCGCAUUCAGCACGCAAUUCCGCAACCUCUGCCCGAACCUUGCCUAACUCGUCAAGGGCGUGGUCCAACUCUGUGUGGAGCACGACGGCCAAGUUGACCAUGCUACUUAGCCUGGGAUUGCCCUCAUCGACUGGCGAGACAAUCACACCUCCAGCACUGCCGAUCAAACGACGAGGGUAGUACUUCAGGUCAAGGCCAUCAGCCCCGCUGAACAACGAGCAAUACUGAGAAAGUGCCCAUCAUGCUGCAUCUUGCAUGGCUGCCUCGGUAGUAUCCCUCUCAGUGAUAGAAUAGUGCUCUGAGAAGUCCUCUGCACCUCGGAGAUCAUCGUCCGGACGACGCACCAAGCAAGUAGCCUCCCACUAGUUCGGGUAUAGCUUGCGAUGAUGCUGGUAGACUACACAACGGUACUUGAUAGACCAAGUGUGCCGGUCGAAAGCCCAACGCAACAAGGUAUCGAGAGCGUCGUGGAAGUGACACCCGCGAGCAGCGUCACGAGUGAUGGGUCUCGCGAUCCAUCCCUCCGGCUCUGGCUCCUUCGAAUGCUCCGUGCCGUGGCUCAAACUGCCACCGGCGUCGUCGCCAUCCUUGUCUCCGUUGGGGUCUCCUCCAGCAGCCGGGAUGCCCUGUGGUGGUGCAGGGGGCAUCUCUGGCUGAGGUGCAGGGGAAGGCGGCCUCUCAGACUCCACCUCCCACUGAGGCAAGGGGGAAGAGUCCUACUGCUCCUGCUCCAACUCCUGGCGUCGGCGCUCCUGCUCCUCGUGUAGGUGACGAUGCAGUCUCUCCAGCUGGAUGGACUGGCCUGACAUCGUGCAACGCAGUGGACGCUCCGCCAGGUGAGAAGGCAAAAAGGGGAUCACAGACUUAUGUGCAGUGCACCUAAUACAGGCCAUCUACAAAAGACAUCGUAAGCACAAGAGUAAGAGUAGAACUAUGAGACUAGAAAGUAAGCAGAAAGAAAAGUGAGACGAAACUUUUUGAGAUAAGCAAAUAACAUAGAGUUGGUCAAGGUGACCAACUUUUGAAAAGACACUAAGGUCAAGGUAAGAGUAGGGGUCUAUAGUCCUUAGGUCGACCAUUCUAGUCUAGGUUAGCGGUCCUACAGUCAGCAAGGCUUUGAUACCACUUAUGUCACACCCGGUUUUGGAAGGUAAACCGAAUGCGAACCAUGUAUGUGCCAGGAUCAGAACUCACGUACACAACAAUUACAUAAUUGGACAUCAUCACACAAUGUUUGAAUUAAAUAGCGGAAAGGUACUUAGUUACAUCAAGAUGUCUGAGACAUUCACAGAGUCUAUUACAUAAACAUAGUGUUCAAUAUUAAAUCAAAGCGCGGAGUAUCGAAACGUAGAAGAUAAGCCUACACAGGCAGCUAACUGGGGGUUUGCCACUAAAGUAAACUAGAACUCGUCGUAUUCCUGGAACUCCUCGAAGUCAUCCAUGUUGCCAACUUCACCUCCUAAGCACUGAGAACAGUGGGGACAACCUAGGGUGGGGUGGUUUGUAAAGCAAGGGUGAGUACACAUCAACGUACUCAGCAAAUGUCCCGUUUGGCUAAGGUGGACUAGCGGUAUGUGGAGUUAAGGUUAAGUAGUUGCUUUUAGUUGGUCAAGUUUUAUUAUUAUAAGUAGAGCCAAAUUUUAGUAAUAACCCAGUUAUUACCUAGAGGCACUCCCUCCAAGAGGAAAUACCGGAGAUCAGGAUUAUAAUCACCAUUGUUAAUCAUCAUCAUAAAAGUAACCAUUGUUCUUCUAAUCGAAGAGGAUCCCAAGGCUGCUCAUAACCGUGAGCAUGGCUGAUAUACCAGUUUCUAACACUCUGCAGAGGUUGCACACUUUACCCACAAGCCGUGAUUCCCAUUCUGCCCGGGGUUCUAGCCUCCCCAUUGAUCACUACCAAGGUGACCUAGCAGGGUCUCACUAUGUAGCCUUUACAAAGAUUUCCUAGAGGUCAUAGCCCCCCAUUAGGUUUCUCUAGUUUGAUAAACACAGUACAUCUCCCCAAAGGAAGGGUGACUAACAAAACCAAAUCAAAGAACCUUUGCAACCAACCUCGGCAGAGCAAGUACUGUGCCUGGACCCCAUUGACGGCCCUAGGCGAAGCCAACUACUCAUCUGGUUCCUCUAAUUAAUCAGCUAAGGGCAUCCCAUUCCACCCUCAUGGUUGCAUUGUUAUCCCGGGUUGUCACUCCCCAAACAGGUCCUUACGGAGAGGUACUCAGAAAAGAGCCUGAGCCCCCUAAAGUAAUCACAAGGACCCCAUCGGUAUAACAUCAUCGUAUCAUAAAAGAUCACAUCAUGUUCAUUGAUUAAGUUUAAGCAAAAGCAUAAGCUAACCAUGAUUAACCCAAAAAGAUAAACAAGAGUAAGGGAAAUACAAACUAGUCAAUCCUUAGGUUUCAAUAGAGUAAUGCGGGACAGUGAAUUAUAAAGUAGAGUAGGACAUGAUAGGUCUGAGGACACUUGCCUUUACCAGGUUGUUGCUCAGAGGGAUCUUCGGCAACACACUCACGAACCAUGAGCUGCUCGUUGUCUAAGUAAAGCGAGCAUACAUUCAAUACAUUUGGAAGGUAAAAAUGAACAUCACAUCACACAUGUACAAAUAUUGGCACACAACUCAAGAAGGUAUAGUAUUAAGUACAGAGGAAUGAGGUCAAGUUAUAAAAAUGGACUAAUCCUAAUUGGGGAAUUGAUUACUCUCUAAAUGUUUGGAACAUAGCUCAAAAAGGUUAAGUAGUGAUUAAAACAAAUGAAAGCUAGAAUUAUAAGAUAAACUACUCUCAUUUAGAAAUUUGAUUAUCUUUUAAGUAUUAUCCAUAAUUACAUUCCAAAUUCUAUUUAUGUCAUUAAGGUCUAGAGGAUAAGCCAAAAAUAAAUCCAAGUAAUGCAUAACACUAAUCUCACAAGAUUGAAUAUACUUUAUUCAUAGGGUUCUCCUUUUAUUUAUUUCAUUAAAUAAAUAAAUUAACAUAUACUUUAGAUGAAAUAUGAAAUUAGGGCUAAAUCUGUGAUUAAAUAAAAGUCUAGGGGUCUAAUUAAAACAAACCAGGGACCUAUGCGCUAAAACAGAGGAUGGCGGGUUGAUUUCCUAAAAUUCUGGGGAUUCUUAAGCAAAACAGCCACGCGAAGGGGUAUCGGGCUCCCUCAACCGUUGGAUCAGAAACCGACGGUUGAGAUUAGAUCGCGUGGGCGCACGCGGGGGCGCAGGCGCGCAGGCGUGGCUAACAAGCGAGGCCAGGGGCGUCAGCGGCAGAGGGGGAGGGCGCACUGACCGAGCGAGCCCAGCGCAAGAGGACUUAGGCGCUGACAGGCGGUCCAGGGCGUCAGGGCACGCGUGCACGAAGCGUUAUCCGUGGUCCGAGCCAUUCGAUCUGAAUCGGACAGAGGGGACCAGACCAGGGGGAAACUGACGGCUGCGGGCGGCGCCGGUCCUCUCCAUGGCGGUGAGGUCGCCGGAGUUGAGCAGAGAGGGAGAGGGCACCACGGCGAACUCAAUGGCGGGGAAGAGGCCAUGAAUCCACGGACAGAGAAGGGUGAACGGUGGUGAGAAGGUCUCGGGCGGGUCGAUGUAACUCCGGUGAGCCAUUUCGGCCACGGGGAGGGGACUUAAGGCGCGCUAAGGCCUGGGCUAGCUUCAGCAGAGGCAGGGGUGACUGAAAGGGAAAUGUGCCCUUGGGCCAUUUCUAAGUAUUUUGGUGAUUGAGUGCCAACACAAGUGCUUAAUUGUUAAUCUAUGCCAAUUGAUGGACAAAGUGCAAAUCAAGAGUAAAGGUAUGUUUCUAAGACUUAGUACAUUGUUUUGAGAACUAAUGUAUUGUGUCUAAGUGCUGGAAACAGGAGAAAUCAAUUUGGAGAUGACUUGGCUCUUUCAGCCAAAGUGUGCACAGUCUGGGUGCACGGGACUGUCCGGUGGUGCACCGGACAGUGUCCGGUACGCCAGGCUGGCUCUAGCGAACUUGCUGCUCUCGGGACUUCGACGACAGUGUACGGCUAUAAAUCACCGGACUGUCCGGUGGUGCACUGGACUGUCCGGUGAGCCAUUCACAGGCGAAGUCGUCGCUCUCGGGAAGUGAUUAACGGCGUAUGGCUAUAAAUCACCGGACUGUCCGGUGGUGCACCGGACUGUCCGGUGAGCCAACGGUCAGCCGGGCCAACGGUCGGCCGGGGAUUCCGCGCAUGACGCGUGGCCGAGCCAACGGUCACAAUGGGGCACCGGACUGUCCGGUGUGCACCGGACAGUGUCCGGUGCGCCAACGGCUCUACAUCUGCAACGGUCGGCUUUGCCAAAUAAAGAAAGAAAACCGCACUGGACAGUGUCCGGUUGUAACACCCCAGGUUCCACAAACAACCCAGAAUGCUACUGAACUACACUUCUGACGUCCAUAUAUAAAAUUUCGGCAGCAUCCCCUUUGCAAGAUUGCAUAAAUAAGGGGGCAACAGGGUAUAAACAUAUAUCAUGACAAAAACAUACUAAGUAUUAUUAAUCGGCUAGCAAGGGAAGAUAAACGUACGACCUGAACUGAAUUAACCAGUGCGCACGACUAUAUAAAAAAACAAACUUCCUUUGACAAUAAGUUUCUAAUUAAAUCAUGGCUGCGCCUGGGCAGCGUUAUUGUGAGAGUGUAAGUGGUCGUGCUGCUACUCCCCUCAUUCCCAACAUGUAUCAAGUACCUGCAUUGAGUAAUGCAAGAGUGAGAUGACACAUCUCAGCAAGUAAAAUAAUAUCAAACUAUUCAACCACAUAAGAACAUUGUUUUACCACCACCUGAUUCCACAACCUUCUUAUUACCAAGAUGCAGCACAUAUACAACGUACAACACACCUAGUUACCACACCUCGCAGGUAGAAACCACAAUAGUAACAUAGUAAUGUCACACUUCAUAUAUUCCUCAUGAAUGCAAAUGUCUGCAAAUGCAAGGAUGACUUCUGCCUUCAUACCUCUAAGGAUAUGAAGCCGCAUCGUACCCCUCCUCGGGCAACGUACGAUGCUAAGAAUGUACCGGUACGGUCGGACCAUAAGAUCACGACAUAACUUCAAAAUGCAAGAUGGAUGAUGCGAUGUGCAUGUCAUGCCUACAACACUUCAUAUAACGUGAUUCAAAAAGAUACUUCAACUUCAUCCAAGAUGGGAAUCAACCACAUAUAUCAUAACCAAAUUAUGAUCAUCCACAAUAUUACACAAUUGAGAACUAAUACUUCCAAACAAAUAAACUUCAUCAUAGAAUUCAAUGAUUAACAUAAAUAAAAACUUAUGCAUACUCAAUGACAGGGAAUAGGAUGCAACCCAAACGGUAGCAACCGCCACUAUAUUUACUUGCCUUUACCGGAAGUUCGGGCAAAUCCCUAAGUACGAUCCGGAAGUCCACCACCUGUUUUUUGACACAUAACUUAGUGCACCUAUUUCACAUAAUCAGGCUCAUAAACGACGCCGCACCUACGCACAAACUCAAACCCCGCCGCGGGUUACAUCUCUCCCCACACCCACCAAACUGCAGCGGCGCUGCUUAAUAAUUUCAUAACUUUAAAAUUAUGACAACAGUGGUAACAAACAAAAACUCCAGAGGCAUCUACAUAAAAUUCCCCACAAGUUUUGUAUACAAUUUAUAAUUAAAUUCUAAUAUCUAAUUAGCCCAAAACAGUCCACAAGAUGAACCCUGUAAUCUGUUUUUUUGUCUUUUGGACAGCGACAUACCCGGAUUCAAACAGCGAUAUCUUUUAAAAUAUAAUUCCAAAUCAAGCGCAUAAGUACUCAUUAGAAAGAUAAGACAAAGCCCUACAUGAUUAUCAUACUGGUUAACACUAAUUACCCACGAAAAAUUCACAGAAACUGCUAAUACUACUGCUAUUCACCCACCUGAAAAAUCUGUUUUUUUUUUACAGCAACAUAACCGGAUUCAAACAACGAUAUCUCCUAAAAUAUAACUCCGAAUCGAGCGCAUAAGUACUUGUUGGAAAGGUAUGACAAAGAUCUAUAUGAUUCUCAUAUUGAUUAUCACUAAUUUCCCACGAAAAAAUCCCCAGAAACUGCUAAUACUACUGCUGUUCAUUCACCUGAAAAUCUGUUUUUUUGGACAGCAACAUAACCGGAUUCAAACAACGAUAUCUCCUAAAUUAUAACUCCGAAUCGAGCGCAUAAGUACUCGUUGGAAAGGUAUGACAAAGAUCUACAUGAUUCUCAUAUUGAUUAUCACUAAUUUCCCACGAAAAAUCCCCAGAAACUGCUAAUACUACUGCUGUUCGUCCUCCCACAAAAAUCUGGACAGCACCUAUACCGAUUCGCAUAGGUAAACAUGUAAACAAUUGGAUUGCAGCACAAAUACUAAAAAGAAUGAUCUUAAAAUCACCUUGGGUUCCUCCUUUCCUCCUUCCAUUCUUCCUUCUUCCUCCCUCCAAACUCCAAUGGAAGACUCGCACCCACACGACGGGGUACCAAGCGGGGAGGAUGCACCAUGGAGAGGAGGAGGGGGGGGGCGGCUAGGGUUGAGGGGUGGUGCUGCAAUCACUUGGGGGAGAAAGAGAGGGAGAGAGAGGGGGGGUGGCGGCCACAAAGGGGAAUAGGGAAGGGGGGGCGGCUGCAACCAAAGGGGAAUAGGGGAGGGGGCGGCUAGGGUUAAGGGGGGAGAACUAAUGGGCUCCCCACCGCCGGAUCGAGAUCCACGGCCCAAACUCGCUCUCACGACCGUUCCCGAUCCCAGGGCACCAGUCCAACAAGAAUUCUACUGUUUUACUAGUGAAUGCUUCCUAAAAGUUCCAAUCCCCUGUAGCACAGGACCCGAAAGAGAAAACAAGGAAAAAAAGAAUAAUCUUCAAUUUCUCUUCCUUUUGGAAAUUGGGUAUCACACUCUACCCUCCUUAAAAAGAAUUCGACCUCGAAUUCUGACGCUUCUAUCGGAAUGACAAAAAAAAAUUAAUGAAUCAACAAAACUCACACAUAACGAAAAGUUUGGGUACUUCUGCCGCAUCAGCUCCUCAAGUUCCUAGGAUUCUAAGAUACGCAGCAGACGACACUCUAGAGUCUGCUCUUGCUACACAGGAAUCGGUUCUAGCUCGAUUUGAUGGUCUGGAUUCCGCAAAUACUUCCUCAACAUAAAGACAUGGAAUACUUGGUGUACUCUGAUCAUAGAUUCCGAUAAUUACAUGCGCUAAGCCCAGCUGCCAACUCGGCCAAGAUAGUAGACGGUCCUAUAUACCUCGGACCAAGCUUUCCUGACACCAAAUCAAUCAUUGACAUAUGCAAGUACUUCAAGGAAUGUAUAUAUGAAUGCAAGGCAUAUAAUGUUCCUAUAGGCUAAACCAAACUUAGCCACACACGAGCAACUUCAAGAGAGUAACUUAAUGCUUGCAUAUUUCUAGAUAGCAGCACAGCGGUUAAUUGUUUUGCACCUAACUCACAAAAAUAUGCAUCGAAAAUUAGUAAACUAGGACUUUAUGGAAAACUUAUAAAGUCCACUAUACCCUUGGUAUUAUCAUCACAACAAGAUUUGACACUUAGAAAGGUCAAACAGUGCUAAACGUAAAUUCUGUCCAGACUUGGACAUAAUUCAACUACUCAAUUCAAAAAUCCAUAAUUGGAGUCUCAAUCAUCCAAUUCAGGUGCUCCCAGACUUUUUAGAAAGCUAGUAGAAUUGUCUAUAAUUUAUUUAUAAACAUAUCAAGUUAAUUCAAUGCAUAUUAAGGUCAAAAGACAUGAGAAAGGCUCUGCUGUCCAAAUUUGGACAGAUUCAGAGAUCACACUUAAAACAGCUGUAACUUAACUUAUAGAUCUCCAAAAAAAAAUUAAUCCAAAAUUUGUUGUAACGAUUAAGAAAAGUACUACAACUUAUUUAUAAUUUAUAAUAAGUUAUUCGAAGUUUAAAUUGGGCAAACAAGGCCAGCUUCGAAAACUGUAUAGAAUCUGCACAGAUUUCAAGACUGGACUUGAGAAAAUCAUAACUCCCAAACUACUAGACAUAUGGUCAUGAAAUUUUUACACAAGUAAUAUAAAGAAGUUGGCUACAACUUUUAUAUAUAACAUCUCUACAGAAAAGAUGGUUUACUUCACUGAACUAGCUGCAUAACUAAAACUGGUCAUGCAGUCCCAAUAGCAAGCAAUAGAUUUUAUCAGGUUCAUUACUCUUCUAAGAUUAAGCGUUCAUUGAAAGACUAAUAACUUUAGGUUCUUCAUUACGAGACACCUAGAACAAAUAUAAGUAUAGAAGCAAUAUGAUAACCUUUUAAAUCAUUUAAGCCUAAUCUCACAUCAUGCAAACAAGAAUCAAUUUAAGCAUGUUAUGUCUGCCCACAUAUUCAUCCAAACACAUUCUAUACAUGAUAUCAACUCCCUGCAGCUAACAAAAAUUUGCAAAUAUAAACUCACUGAAAAGAUUAUAACAUUCCCUAGAACUUUUAUUAUAAUGAGUGUCUCGGAAUUGGUUUUCAAACCGAUAAAACAAUGCAACUCUUUUGUUUCAAAACUGAUAAGAUUGAAACAAUGGACAACUAAAAUUCAAAAACCUAUAACUCCUGCUAUACUCAACUUAAACUACAACGAACACGCGUUGGAAAAGUUUAGAAAAUUGUCCACGACUUUUGCAAUAAAGUUGCACCCAAAUUUAUCCUUAUAGCCCACAACUCUGCAUGACCUACAGCUAAACUCAGCCUGAGAUACUGCACAUUAGAGAUUCGACUUAUAUCCGGGCAACCACCUCUCCAAAUCUAUUUAACAGACAGUUACAAGUAAAUACCCAUUAAAAAGGUACUGAAAAUACCUACAAGUUUUGCUUAAAGAGAAUUCGCAAAUUUGUGCUCUGCAACUAUCAAAACGUGGUCGAUUUAUUGGUGAUUAUAACGACGCCUAAAGUUCAGACACAACAGUGCAACAACUUCAGAGCAACCUAACUCCAAUUAUAUGCAAUGAGAAUUAGAAACCCAUACUCUUUGAAAAGAUCAUGAAAUUACUAAAACUUUCAUAAUCCACAAAGACCAAAUUAUACCGUCUUCAAUGUCUACUCUUCCGUACAAAAUUAAAGACUCACUCUUCUAGAGACACCAACAAAGAUGUUUUAAGAAACCCAUAUCUCUCAAAUGUUUAGACCAAACAUGGUGAUUAAGCAUCCUAUGGAAAGAUGCAGAAACAUACUACAAAACAUUCUAGAUAAGUGAAGCCUGAUUCAGCCUCCAACUAAUUUAAAAUGCCUCCCGAAACCAAACAACACAUUAUCAACAAUAAAAAAAACAAUAUAAAAUGAAACCCAAGUCAUUGGCAGGUGCCAUCAACACUAGGAUUUUCCACUACCAAACUGGGAUGCAACUCCAUAAAGUCUUUAAAUAACACUCUACCAAAUAGGUUAGAACACUAAGCACAACAAUCAAUGAAUUCAACAACCUCGUUUGUUAAUGCCACUAAGGUCAAACAUCCAUGUACCGACAAUGUAUGAAACACCUGACAUACCCGUCUCCAGCUCUAUAAAACAUGGUUGUUAUUACACUAGAAUCCAAGUACUAGAAAUCUCCAAAACUAUUCUGUUGACGUGAAGCAAAUGGUGCUCAUGUCAUAUAACAUCUUUUCCCCCUCUCAAAAGAGAUAAAAUUUGCAAUACUCAUAAAGCAAUGGAGGGAUAACAACAAGAAAAAACUAAUGUACUUCUUGACACAGACUCAUGCAAAAGCUUCAUAAAUAUUACUUUCAACACUAAAAUAAUAACACGAUACUAUGCUCAACAGGAGUAAUUGGACUUCAAUAAGAUAAUCCACCUAACCCAACUACUUUGAUUAACCUCACAUACAACAAUACCUCCUAUUAUUGCACUUGAACAAUUUGUACCUACUGAUGUCAUAGGAUGAAUUCAAAGUAGUAGACAUACAUGAUCUAUCAAACCAUCAUUCAUAUAAUAAAAAUCUCCAUCUAAUGCAACAACCACAUCAUUAUAGAGAUAGAUGACUAACAAACAUAAGCAACUUCCAGUUAAACAUUGACUUUGUUUAAGAUAAAGCGGUCCAAAUAAUAAUUCCACAAGCAUGCAUAGAGAACUGAUCAUAAAAAAAACUACCAUGUAUCAUCGGCGAUUAAAAACAAUAUGAAACGGGUUGUCCAUAUCGUCUGCAUGACUAGCCUCCAACAAAUAAAAAUUAUGCAUAACCUUUUUGGCUAUAGAAACAAACCAUAGAAGGAAAACAUGCAUGCCUCUUCAACUAUAAUAUAGACAUAAAAUCCACUUGAAAUCACCCUAUUUAUUAUGAAAGAUAAGGUUGCACACAAUAAGAAAACCUAUCAUGUAAACAUGGUUGGACUUAUCUACCCACGUCAUCUUGCAAAUUCACUUGAGUUCUUCUAGUCUCAAGAUUUCAUAGACAGUACAACAUUGCCUUUGCUCUAUGGAGACAAACCUAUUGUACUCUAAGAUCAAGUUGGCAAGUAGCCACACUAGCCAAAAAAAAGGUGAGGUGUAAAGCACUGCACCCAUGGAAAUAUUACAUUGAAAAGUUGGGUUGUAACCCAACAGUCAAUCAAACUCAACAACACCAUAAAACUUCAUUGUAUAGUGUUUUCACACUACACCAAGUCGGAUUAGAUCCUCUAUACACAAGCUCAAUAAACAAUCGGUCCUACAAGUACUAGAACCCAAGAAUCCUUUUGGGAAAAAAACAUCCACAGUCAAGCAUAUAGAAAUAUAUGAUGGUAAUAGCUCAGAGAUUAGUAAACAUUGCAUCCCAAAAAAACAUCAUGACGAUAUGUAUAUAAAACAAGUACAUUAGUAGCUUCACUCGCAUAAUAAUUUCAAUAACAAGCACAUCAAGAAACCAAUAUUAAAUAGAAGUAACAUUUCAUAUCAAGCAUUACGUCGUUAACGACAUACCUCUUCAAACCAUAAAGGGGUUUGGAGUAAGGAAAUUCUAGUCAUCUAUACAAUAAAAUACUAAUAUGAAAGAUAUAUGAACCCAUACCCUUCCUAUAUGUGCAAGUGUGUCAAAUUUAUCUACAAAUUGCGUAGAAUCUAAAGCCUAUCCUUUAAUACCAACUGUAACACCCCAGGUUCCACAAACAACCCAGAAUGCUACUGAACUACACUUCUGACGUCCAUAUAUAAAAUUUCGGCAGCAUCCCCUUUGCAAGAUUGCAUAAAUAAGGGGGCAACAGGGUAUAAACAUAUAUCAUGACAAAAACAUACUAAGUAUUAUUAAUCGGCUAGCAAGGGAAGAUAAACGUACAACCUGAACUGAAUUAACCAGUGCGCACGACUAUAUAAAAAAACAAACUUCCUUUGACAAUAAGUUUCUAAUUAAAUCAUGGCUGCGCCUGGGCAGCGUUAUUGUGAGAGUGUAAGUGGUCGUGCUGCUACUCCCCUCAUUCCCAACAUGUAUCAAGUACCUGCAUUGAGUAAUGCAAGAGUGAGAUGACACAUCUCAGCAAGUAAAAUAAUAUCAAACUAUUCAACCACAUAAGAACAUUGUUUUACCACCACCUGAUUCCACAACCUUCUUAUUACCAAGAUGCAGCACAUAUACAACGUACAACACACCUAGUUACCACACCUCGCAGGUAGAAACCACAAUAGUAACAUAGUAAUGUCACACUUCAUAUAUUCCUCAUGAAUGCAAAUGUCUGCAAAUGCAAGGAUGACUUCUGCCUUCAUACCUCUAAGGAUAUGAAGCCGCAUCGUACCCCUCCUCGGGCAACGUACGAUGCUAAGAAUGUACCGGUACGGUCGGACCAUAAGAUCACGACAUAACUUCAAAAUGCAAGAUGGAUGAUGCGAUGUGCAUGUCAUGCCUACAACACUUCAUAUAACGUGAUUCAAAAAGAUACUUCAACUUCAUCCAAGAUGGGAAUCAACCACAUAUAUCAUAACCAAAUUAUGAUCAUCCACAAUAUUACACAAUUGAGAACUAAUACUUCCAAACAAAUAAACUUCAUCAUAGAAUUCAAUGAUUAACAUAAAUAAAAACUUAUGCAUACUCAAUGACAGGGAAUAGGAUGCAACCCAAACGGUAGCAACCGCCACUAUAUUUACUUGCCUUUACCGGAAGUUCGGGCAAAUCCCUAAGUACGAUCCGGAAGUCCACCACCUGUUUUUUGACACAUAACUUAGUGCACCUAUUUCACAUAAUCAGGCUCAUAAACGACGCCGCACCUACGCACAAACUCAAACCCCGCCGCGGGUUACAUCUCUCCCCACACCCACCAAACUGCAGCGGCGCUGCUUAAUAAUUUCAUAACUUUAAAAUUAUGACAACAGUGGUAACAAACAAAAACUCCAGAGGCAUCUACAUAAAAUUCCCCACAAGUUUUGUAUACAAUUUAUAAUUAAAUUCUAAUAUCUAAUUAGCCCAAAACAGUCCACAAGAUGAACCCUGUAAUCUGUUUUUUUGUCUUUUGGACAGCGACAUACCCGGAUUCAAACAGCGAUAUCUUUUAAAAUAUAAUUCCAAAUCAAGCGCAUAAGUACUCAUUAGAAAGAUAAGACAAAGCCCUACAUGAUUAUCAUACUGGUUAACACUAAUUACCCACGAAAAAUUCACAGAAACUGCUAAUACUACUGCUAUUCACCCACCUGAAAAAUCUGUUUUUUUUUACAGCAACAUAACCGGAUUCAAACAACGAUAUCUCCUAAAAUAUAACUCCGAAUCGAGCGCAUAAGUACUUGUUGGAAAGGUAUGACAAAGAUCUAUAUGAUUCUCAUAUUGAUUAUCACUAAUUUCCCACGAAAAAAUCCCCAGAAACUGCUAAUACUACUGCUGUUCAUUCACCUGAAAAUCUGUUUUUUUGGACAGCAACAUAACCGGAUUCAAACAACGAUAUCUCCUAAAUUAUAACUCCGAAUCGAGCGCAUAAGUACUCGUUGGAAAGGUAUGACAAAGAUCUACAUGAUUCUCAUAUUGAUUAUCACUAAUUUCCCACGAAAAAUCCCCAGAAACUGCUAAUACUACUGCUGUUCGCCCUCCCACAAAAAUCUGGACAGCACCUAUACCGAUUCGCAUAGGUAAACAUGUAAACAAUUGGAUUGCAGCACAAAUACUAAAAAGAAUGAUCUUAAAAUCACCUUGGGUUCCUCCUUUCCUCCUUCCAUUCUUCCUUCUUCCUCCCUCCAAACUCCAAUGGAAGACUCGCACCCACACGACGGGGUACCAAGCGGGGAGGAUGCACCAUGGAGAGGAGGAGGGGGGGCGGCUAGGGUUGAGGGGUGGUGCUGCAAUCACUUGGGGGAGAAAGAGAGGGAGAGAGAGGGGGGGUGGCGGCCACAAAGGGGAAUAGGGAAGGGGGGGCGGCUGCAACCAAAGGGGAAUAGGGGAGGGGGCGGCUAGGGUUAAGGGGGGAGAACUAAUGGGCUCCCCACCGCCGGAUCGAGAUCCACGGCCCAAACUCGCUCUCACGACCGUUCCCGAUCCCAGGGCACCAGUCCAACAAGAAUUCUACUGUUUUACUAGUGAAUGCUUCCUAAAAGUUCCAAUCCCCUGUAGCACAGGACCCGAAAGAGAAAACAAGGAAAAAAAGAAUAAUCUUCAAUUUCUCUUCCUUUUGGAAAUUGGGUAUCACACCGGUGGUGCACCGGACUGUCCGGUGCGCCAGGCGAUAGAAGGCAAGAUUUGCCUUCCUGGAAUGCUCUCAAUGGCUCCUAGCUGCCUUAUGGCUAUAAAAGGGACCCCUAGGCGCAUGGAGGAGAAGACCAAGCAUCCCUUGAGCAUUGUUGAUCACUCACACUUCAUUCUUGCGCACUUGUUCGACAUUCUUAGUGAUUUGAGCUCCGUUCUAGUGAGAACCUCGUGAUAUUCUUUUGAGCUCAAGUCUGGGUCUUGUGUGUGCGUAUUUGCUGUGAUUUUGUGUCUCGUGUGAGUUGCUCAUCCCUCCCUUACUCCGUGCUUCUUUGUGAACAUCAAAGUGUAAGGGCGAGAGGCUCCAAGUUGUGGAGAUUCCUCGCGAGCAGGAUAUAGUAAACAAAGCAAAACACUAUGGUAUUCAAGUGGGUCUUUGGACCGCUUGAGAGGGGUUGAUUGCAACCCUCGUCCGUUGGGAUGCCACAACGUGGAGUAGGCAAGUUUUGUACUUGGCCGAACCACGGGAUAAACCAUUGUGUCUAUCUGUGUUGAUCCUCUUGUGGUUGUGGUGUUUUGCAAGAACUCCUCUCUAGCCACUUGGCCUUAUUGUGCUAACGCUUAAUCAAGUUUUUGUGGCUUUAAGUUUAAGUUUUUACAGGAUCACCUAUUCACCCCCCUCUAGGUGCUCUCAAUUGGUAUCAGAGUCGUUCUCUUCACGAAGGGACUAAUCGCCCGAAGAGAUGGAUCCUAAGGGCAAGGGGAUUGUGAUCAAUGAUAAGGAGAAGGAGUCCGUCGUCAACGAGCCGAAAGAUGACAAGCAUACUGACUCGGGCUCGGGCCACAAAAGAAAAGACGGGAAGAAGAAGAAAACUAGGCGCAUCAAGGAGAUAGUCUACUACGACAGCGACGAAUCUUCCUCUUCCCAAAAGGACGACGACAAUGACUACGAGAAAAAGAAAACGGUCAAUUUGAACUUUUCUUUCGAUUACUCUCGUAUUCCGCAAAGUACAAAUGCUCAUUUGCUCUCCAUUCCACUUAGUAAACCUCCUCACUUUGAUGGAGAGGACUACAGAUUUUGGAGCCACAAAAUGCGUAGUCACUUGUUCUCUCUCCAUCCAAGCAUAUGGGAGAUAGUCGAAAGUGGAAUGAAAUUUGAUAGUACUGAUAGUCCCAUGUUUAUAAAUGAGCAAAUUCACAAAAAUGCACAAGCUACUACUGUUCUUCUAGCCUCAUUGUGCAGGGAUGAAUAUCAUAAAGUGAGCGGCUUGGACAACGCCAAGCAGAUUUGGGACACCCUCAAGAUCUCACAUGAGGGAAAUGACGUCACCAUGCUCACCAAGAUGGAGUUGGUGGAGGGCAAACUUGGGAGAUUCGCGAUGAUCAGGGGCGAGGAGCCAACCCAAACAUACAACCAGCUCAAGACCCUCAUCAACAUAAUAAGGAGCUAUGGAAGCACGCGAUGGACGGACCACGACGUCGUCCGCCUAAUGCUAAGGUCUUUUACUGUCCUUGAUCCACAUCUUGUGAACAAUAUUCGUGAGAAUCCUAGGUACACCAAGAUGACGCCCGAGGAGGUACUUGGAAAGUUCGUAAGCGGGCGGAUGAUGAUCAAGGAGGCUAGAUACGUUGAUGAUGCGUUGAAUGGCCCAAUCCAAGAGCCUCAAACCAUUGCUCUCAAAGCAACGAGGAGCAAGGAGGCGCUACCUAGCAAGGUGGCGCAAGUGGAGGCGGCCGGGCUUAAUGAUGAAGAAAUGGCCCUCAUCAUCAAGCGUUUCAAGACGACGCUAAAGGGUCGCAAGGAGCAUCCCAAUAAGACCAAGACAAAGGGGAAGCGAUCAUGCUUCAAAUGUGGUAAGAUUGGUCAUUUUAUCGCUAAUUGUCCCGAUAAUGUGAGUGACCAGGAACAAGGGAACAAGAGAGAAAAGAAGAAGGCAUACAAGAAGGCUAAGGGUGAGGCACACCUUGGCAAGGAGUGGGACUCGGAUUGUUCGUCGUCCGACUCCGACAACGAAGGACUCGACGCAACCGCCUUCAACAAGUCAUCCCUCUUCCCAAACGAGCAUCACACUUGCCUCAUGGCAAGAGAAAAGAUGGUAAGCACUCGUGAUACUAGUACUUACGCUUCCUCAAGUGAUGAAAAAUCUAGCGAUGAUGAAAUAGACUAUUCAUGCUUAUUCAAGGGCUUAGAUAGAACUAAAGUUGAUAAGAUUAAUGAAUUGAUUGAUGCCUUGAAUGAUAAGAAUAGAUUAUUAGAGAAGCAAGAGGACCUUUUAUAUGAAGAACAUGAUAAGUUUGUAGAGGCUCAAAAAUCCCUUGCUUUAGAAAUUAAACGGAAUGAAAUGCUUUCUUGUGAAUUGUCUACAUGCCAUGACUCUAUUUCUAGCUUAAAGUGCAUAAAUGAUGAUUUGAAUGCUAAGUUAGAAAUAGCUAAUAAAUCAACAUCUUGUGUAGAACAUGUUAUAAUUUGCAAUAGGUGUAAAGAUUUUAAUGUUGAUGCUUGUAGUGAACACUUAGUCUCAAUUUCUAAAUUGAACGAUGAAUUGGCUAGUCUUAAUGCCCAACUUAAGACUAGCAAGAGUGAAUUUGACAAACUAAAAUUUGCAAGGGAUGCCUACAUGGUUGGUAGACACCCCUCAAUUAAGGAUGGUCUUGGCUUCAAGAGGGAAGUCAAGAACUUAACAAGCCAUAAGGCUUCCGUCUUCGCCAAGGAGAAAGGGAAGGCCCCUAUGGCUAGUAGUGCUAAAAAGAAUCAUGCUUUCAUGUACCAUGAUAGGAGACAUUCUAGAAAUGCGUAUAGAAGUUAUGAUGCUGUUGAUUCUCAUGCCAUGUUUGCUUCUAGUUCUUCUAUUAUGCAUGAUAGAAAUUUAGCUAGAAAAAAUGCUAUGCCUAGAAGAAAUAUUGUUCACGUUCCUAGGAAAGUAAACAAUGAACCUUCUACAAUUUUUCAUACUUGCAAUGCUUCCUUUGCUAUUUGUAGAAAGGAUAAGAAGGUAAUUGCUAGGAAGUUAGGGGCAAGAUGCAAGAGAGAUAAAACUUGCAUUUGGGUCCCUAAGACCAUUGUGACUAACCUUGUAGGACCCAACAAGAGUUGGGUACCUAAAACCCAAGCCUAAAUUUGCCUUGCAGGUUUAUGCAUCCGGGGGUACAAGCUGGAUUAUCGAUAGCGGAUGCACAAACCACAUGAUGGGGGAGAAGAAGAUGUUCACCUCCUACGUCAAGAACAAGGAUUCCCAAGAUUCAAUCAUUUUCGGUGAUGGGAACCAAGGCAAGGUGAAAGGGUUAGGAAAGAUUGCUAUUUCAUCCGAGCACUUCAUUUCUAAUGUGUUUUUAGUUGAGUCGCUUGGAUAUAAUUUGUUAUCUGUAAGUCAACUUUGUAAUAUGGGAUAUAUGCUUGUUCACAAAUAUAGAUGUGUCUGUCUUUAGAAGAUGUGAUGGUUCACUAGCCUUUAAGGGUGUACUAGACGGCAAACUUUAUUUAGUUGAUUUUGCAAAAGAGGAGGCCAGUCUAGAUGCAUGCUUAAUUGCUAAGACUUGCAUGGACUGGCUGUGGCAUCGCCGUCUAGCACAUGUGGGGAUGAAGAACCUUCACAAACUUCUAAAGGGAGAACACGUGAUAGGUCUAACUAAUGUGCAUUUCGAAAAAGAUAGACCUUAUGCAGCUUGUCAAGCAGGUAAACAAGUGGGAAGUGCUCAUCACAUCAAGAACGUGAUGACUACAUCAAGACCUCUGGAGCUACUGCAUAUGGACCUCUUCGGACCCGUCGCCUACCUAAGCAUCGGGGGAAGUAAGUAUGGUUUAGUAAUUGUUGAUGAUUUUUCUCGCUUCACUUGGGUAUUCUUUUUGCAGGAUAAAUCUGAAACCCAAGGGUCCCUCAAGCGCUUCCUAAGGAGAGCUCAAAAUGAGUUUGAGCUCAAGGUGAAGAAGAUAAGGAGCGACAACGGGUCCGAGUUCAAGAACCUUCAAGUGGAGGAGUACCUUGAGGAGGAAGGGAUCAAGCACGAGUUCUCCACUCCCUACACACCACAGCAAAAUGGUGUGGUAGAGAGGAAGAACAGGACGCUCAUAGACAUGGCGAGGACGAUGCUUGGAGAGUUCAAGACCCCCGAGCGAUUUUGGUCGGAAGCCGUGAAUACGGCUUGCCACGCCAUCAACCGGGUCUACCUUCACCGCCUCCUCAAGAAGACUUCAUAUGAGCUUCUAACCAGUAACAAACCCAAUGUGUCUUACUUUCGUGUAUUUGGGAGAAAAUGUUACAUUCUAGUAAAGAAAGGUAGAAAUUCUAAGUUUGCUCCCAAAGCUGUAGAAGGGUUUUUAUUAGGUUAUGACUCAAAUACAAAGGCGUAUAGAGUCUUCAACAAAUCAUCGGGUUUGGUUGAAGUCUCUAGCGACGUUGUAUUUGAUGAGACUAAUGGCUCUCCAAGAGAGCAAGUUGUUGAUCUUGAUGAUGUAGAUGAAGGCGACGUUCCAGCGGCCGCAACACGCACCAUGGCGAUUGGCGAUGUGCGACCACAGGAACUCGAGGAGCAAGAUCAACCGUCUUCCUCAACAAUGGUGCAUCCCCCAACUCAAGACGAUGAACAUGUUCAUCAAGAAGAGGCGUGUGAUCAAGGGGGAGCACAAGAUGAUCAUGUGAUGGAGGAAGAAGCACAACUGGCACCUCCAACCCAAGUUCGAGCGACGAUUCAAAGGAAUCAUCCCGUCGACCAAAUUUUGGGUGACAUUAGCAAGGGAGUAACUACUCGUUCUAGAUUAGUUAAUUUUUGUGAGCAUUACUCCUUUGUCUCUUCUAUUGAGCCUUUCAGGGUAGAAGAGGCCUUGCUAGAUCCGGACUGGGUGUUGGCCAUGCAGAAAGAGCUCAACAAUUUCAAAAGAAAUGAAGUUUGGACACUAGUGCCGCGUCCCAAGCAAAAUGUUGUGGGAACCAAGUGGGUGUUUCGCAACAAACAGGACGAGCACGGGGUGGUGACAAGGAACAAGGCUCGAAUUGUGGCAAAAGGUUAUGCCCAAGUCGCAAGUUUGGACUUUGAGGAGACUUUUGCUCCUGUGGCUAGGCUAGAGUCCAUUCGUAUUUUGCUAGCAUAUGCCGCUCACCAUUCUUUCAGAUUGUUCCAAAUGGACGUGAAGAGCGCUUUCCUCAACGGGCCAAUCAAGGAGGAGGUGUACGUGGAGCAACCCCUAGCUUCGAUGAUGAACGGUACCCCGACCACAUAUGUAAGCUUUAUAAGGCGCUCUAUGGACUUAAGCAAGCCCCAAGAGCAUGGUAUGAAUGCCUUAGAGACUUUUUAAUUGCUAAUGCUUUCAAGGUUGGGAAAGCCGAUCCGACUUUAUUCACUAAGACUUGUGAUGGUGACUUAUUUGUGUGCCAAAUUUAUGUCGAUGACAUAAUAUUUGGUUCUACUAACCAAAAGUCUUGUGAAGAGUUUAGCAGGGUGAUGACGCUGAAAUUCGAGAUGUUGAUGAUGGGCGAGUUGAACUACUUCCUUGGGUUCCAAGUGAAGCAACUCAAGGACGGCACCUUCAUCUACCAAACGAAGUACACGCAAGACUUGCUAAAGCGAUUUGGGAUGAAGGACGCCAAGCCCGCAAAGACUCCGAUGGGAACUGACGGACACGUCGACCUCAACAAAGGAGGUAAGUCCGUUGAUCAAAAAGCAUACCGGUCCAUGAUAGGUUCUUUGCUUUAUUUAUGCGCUAGUAGACCGGAUAUUAUGCUUAGUGUAUGCAUGUGUGCUAGAUUUCAAUCUGAUCCAAGGGAGUGUCACUUAGUGGCUGUGAAGCGAAUUCUUAGAUAUUUAGUCGCUACGCCUUGCUUCGGGAUCUGGUAUCCAAAGGGGUCUACCUUUGACUUAAUUGGAUAUUCAGACUCCGACUAUGCUGGAUGUAAGGUCGAUAGGAAGAGUACAUCAGGGACGUGCCAAUUCUUAGGAAGGUCCCUGGUGUCGUGGAGCUCUAAGAAACAAACCUCUGUUGCCCUAUCCACUGCUGAGGCCGAGUAUGUUGCCGCAGGACAGUGUUGCGCGCAACUACUUUGGAUGAGGCAAACCCUUCGGGACUUUGGCUACAAUCUGAGCAAAGACCCACUCCUAUGUGAUAAUGAGAGUGCUAUCCGCAUAGCGGAUAAUCCUGUUGAGCACAGCCAGACAAAGCACAUUGACAUCCGGCAUCACUUUUUGAGAGACCACCAGCAAAAGGGAGAUAUCGAAGUGUUUUAUAUUAGCACCGAGAACCAGCUAGCCGAUCUCUUUACCAAGCCGUUAGAUGAGAAGACCUUUUGUAGGCUGCGUAGUGAGCUAAAUGUCUUAGAUUCGCGGAACAUGGAUUGAUUUAUAGCUUACAUGUGUUUAUGCCUUUGAUCAUGUUCCUUAUGAAUUUUGUUGUUUACUUAUGGUGCUCAAGUUGUACAAACACUCCCCGGACCUCACAAGUCCAUUUGCAUGUGAUGCACAUAUUUAGGUGGAGACGUGCUACAACUUGACCCUUUGAGACUAACCAUGUGCUUGAGUUUUCUUAAUUUAGUCUCAAAGGAGGUUUGAAAGGGAAAAGGUGGACUUGGACCAUGCAAGACUUCCAAUGCACUCCGAUGAGAGGGUAGCUUAUUCCAAGUUCAUCUUCAUGCUCUUAUUGCCUUGGUACUCUUACUUGAAGAUUUUGGUGAGGCAAUGGGGUUUAAAGGGCCAAAAUUGAUCCCGUUUUGGUGCUUGAUGCCAAAGGGGGAGAAAAUAAGGCCAAAGCAAUAAAUGGAUCAGCUACCACUUGAGAAUUUUGAAAAUAGUAGAAUAGAGCUUUUGGUUUGUCAAAACUCUUUUGUUGUCUCUUUUGUCAAAAGUUGGCCUCUUGUGGGAAGAAUAGUUGAUUAUGGGAAAAAGGGGGAGUUUUUGAAAUCUUUGAUCAAUUUCUCUUGGAACAACUCUCUUUAUGUCUCUACAAUUGUGUUUGAAUUAGAGAUAGGAAAUUGAGUUUGAUUUGCAAAAACAAACCAAGUGGUGGCAAAGAAUGAUCCAUAUAUGCCAAUUUUGAAUCAAAACAAUAAUGAGUUCUCAUUUGUAUUGAUGUUGCACUUCUUUUAGUUGCUUUUUGUUGUGUUGGCAUAAAUAACCAAAAAGGGGGAGAUUGAAAGGGAAAUGUGCCCUUGGGCCAUUUCUAAGUAUUUUGGUGAUUGAGUGCCAACACAAGUGCUUAAUUGUUAAUCUAUGCCAAUUGAUGGACAAAGUGCAAAUCAAGAGUAAAGGUAUGUUUCUAAGACUUAGUACAUUGUUUUGAGAACUAAUGUAUUGUGUCUAAGUGCUGGAAACAAGAGAAAUCAAUUUGGAGAUGACUUGGCUCUUUCAGCCAAAGUCUGCUCAGUCUGGGUGCACCGGACAGUGUCCGGUGCGCCAGGCUGGCUCUGGCGAACUUGCUGCUCUCGGGACUUCGACGGCGGUGUACGGCUAUAAAUCACCGGACUGUCCGGUGGUGCACCGGAAUGUCCGGUGAGCCAUUCACACGCGAAGUCGUCGCUCUCGGGAAGUGAUUAACGGCGUACGGCUAUAAAUCACCGGACUGUCCGGUGGUGCACUGGACUGUCCGGUGAGCCAACGGUCAGCCAGGCCAACGGUCGGCCAGGGAUUCCGCGCGUGACGCGUGGCCGAGCCAAUGGUCACAAUGGGGCACCGGACUGUCCGGUGUGCACCGGACAGUGUCCGGUGCGCCAACGGCUCUACAUCUGCAACGGUCGGCUUCACCAAAUAAGGAAAGAAAUCCGCACCGAACAGUGUCCGGUGGUGCACCGGACUGUCCGGUGCGCCAGGCGACAGAAGGCAAGAUUUGCCUUCCUGGAAUGCUCUCAACGGCUCCUAGCUGCCUUGGGGCUAUAAAAGGGACCCCUAGGCGCAUGGAGGAGAAGACCAAGCAUCCCUUGAGCAUUGUUGAUCACUCACACUUCAUUCUUGCGCACUUGUUCGACAUUCUUAGUGAUUUGAGCUCCGUUCUAGUGAGAACCUCGUGUUAUUCUUUUGAGCUCAAGUCUGGGUCUUGUGUGUGCGUAUUUGCUGUGAUUUUGUGUCUCGUGUGCGUUGCUCAUCCCUCCCUUACUCUGUGCUUCUUUGUGAACAUCAAAGUGUAAGGGCGAGAGGCUCCAAGUUAUGGAGAUUCCUCGCGAGCGGGAUAUAGUAAACAAAGCAAAACACUGUGGUAUUCAAGUGGGUCUUUGGACCGCUUGAGAGGGGUUGAUUGCAACCCUCGUCCGUUGGGACGCCACAACGUGGAGUAGGCAAGUUUUGUACUUGGCCGAACCACGGGAUAAACUACUGUGUCUAUCUGUGUUGAUCCUCUUGUGGUUGUUGUGUUUUGCAAGAACUCCUCUCUAGCCACUUGGCCUUAUUGUGCUAAUGCUUAAUCAAGUUUUUGUGGCUUUAAGUUUAAGUUUUUACAGGAUCACCUAUUCACCCCCCCUCUAGGUGCUCUCAGUGACACAGGGACCUACUCCGGGGAACUAGACCGGGCUAAAUCGGCCAGACACCGCGCGAGCACGGUGGACCACCGUGACCGAGCACCGGCGAAGGCGCAAUUGGCCGAGCACAGGGCGCAAUAAGGGAAAUUGGGCACGGGGACGGGUGUCUCACCUCGGGGUGGAGCUCGGGGAGGCUUGGAGCAGUCUCUAGUGAGCUGGAUGGCCGGGAACACGGGCGCGGGUCUCCGGCGGCGGCUGGCGGCGUGGGCAGAGCGCGAGAGAGGGUGAAGCAGCGCGAAAUGAGGUGAGGGGUGUGCACGGGGCACUUGCGGGGCUCUAAGAAGGGAGAUGGGCGCGUAGGCGGGCGUCGUGGCCGAGAAAUCUGGUGACGUGCGCGAGUGCACACGCGCUGGUCCACGGCGAGUGCGGAGGGGGCGGAACAGACAGGUAGGGUCCACGGCGCAGAGAGAGAAGAAAGGGGCGUGCGGGGCAACGGCUCGGCGACUAGCGGACCAGGCCCGCGAGACAAAGAGAGAGAGGGAGCGCGCGCGCGCAGAAAACUGGCGCCAACAGGCUGGCCCCACUGGGCAGCGAGCGAGGGAGGGAGGGCACGCGUGAGGGAGAACUGCCGCUGACAGGCGGGGUCCGCCUGUCAGACGGCGCGGGCGCGCGGCCUGGCUGGGCCGACUGGGCUGGUUUGGGCUGCUUUCUCCUUUCUUUUUCUUUGAAUUUUCUAAUUCCUUUUUCAUUUCUUUUUCUAUUGGGUUUUUCAAAUCCAAAUUCAAACUAGGUUUCAAAUUCAAAUAAAUUCAAACUUGUGCAACACUUCAAAGAAUAUUUUAAACUCAGCAUGAUGCAACAUGUCAUGACUCAUAAGGUUUUGGCAAAAAUAAAUAAUUAACCUCCACUAGUUUAGGCUAUCUCUAAUCAAAAAGGAAAAAAGGGAGAAUGAAUCUAGAGAGAGAGAAAACCUAGAGUGAGAAAAAGAAGAGUAACCCAUGAUUUUGGGUGAUAAUUAGAAAGAAAUUUUAUACCCCCAAAAUCAGGGUGUUACACUAGCCAUUCACCUCGGCAGUGUUUAUGGGUCUGAUCAACCCAGACUAGAUUGGAUACAUGGCUUGUGGGUAAAGUUGUACCACCUUUGCAGGGUGUAAAACUGAUAUGUCAGCCGUGCUCACGGUUAAGAGCAACCUGGACCCUCACAUGAUAAUUGAACUUAAAGAUGGAAAAUAAAUCAUGAUCUGAGGAUCUACCAGUGGUUUGCUUAAGUGAUUUCACUUAAGUGUUUUUGAUACAAUCUUAUGCCUUUGAUUAAUUGUGAAAUUUGGGAUACACACUUAUUAGUAAGACAGGUGUUGCUAGUAAAAUAUUGACCAACUAAAAUGCUUACCGCUUAUCUAUAGCCUACCUUGUUAACUUGCAUUAAUUUCUCCCACUUGCUGAGCCCCAACCAUAAGUGAGCUCACCCUUGCUAAUAUUUUGAUCAGAGGGUGAUGACGAAGACUUCGCAGAUGACGUUGAUGAGUUUUGAAUCUAACGAUGCGCCAGUCACCUUCCUAUGGAAGAGUGUCCAUGUUUAGUUUCGUCAUACUUUGAUUAUGAUACUUGUUAAGAUACAAUGUUCUGGAUGAUGUAAUAAAGUUACUCUACUCUCUUUACGCCUUUAUUGCAUUGUCUUUUGAUAUAUUACACUUGUGACAUCAACAUAUGUGUGGAAAAUGGAUCCUGGCUCACAAAUGCUAUGCGUUCGGUUUUGCCCCUAGAACCGGGUGUGACAGAAGUGGUAUCAAAGCUAUGCUGACUCUAGGUCGUUAGACUAGUUAGAAAUAGAAAGCCUAGUCUGUUCAAAACAUGCUAAUUUUGUUCUUACAAAAUUAUUUUAUUAACCUUACCUCUUUAAACAUCAACUAAGUUGACAUUUUCUCUUAUAGAUGGUUCGUACGAUUCAAACCACUCGAAUCAACACCAACUACAUCCCUCCGGCACGCCAAGUUCCUGUCUACCCAGUGGUAGUUGAGGAAAUCCUUGUGAAUCUCCCUCACAUUCGUGUGGUGAACAGAGUCAUUCUGGAGGACAGCUCGGAGGAGUUUCUGCAAUAUCCCAAAAAAAUGUUGACCAAAAGUUAAUCUCUGGUGCGUGGAUGAGGUAAAUGGUUGUGGGCCAUUGGAUGCAAAGAUAGAAGUCAUCUGAGGCGUCGUUUCUUUCUCCCACAAAAACCCUAGGUGGCCACCCCUUUUUUUUCCCUUCACCCCCCCUCUUGGCCGCCACCCCCUUUUCUCCCCCUUGGCUGGACGCCCCCUCCCCCUAUGGCAGCCAUCAUCCAUUGCUUCCUCCCCCAAGAUCUCCCCCUACGCAGCAAGGAUCGAGAAAAGGAGGGGCACGUUGAAUUGAAGAGGAAGAGAGGAUCAAGGAGAUGUUCUUCCCCAUCUCUUCUUGAAGAUUUCUUGGGGAAACCCUAGGUAUGGAUGAGAUCCUUGUUCCUCCCUGUAAUUAUAGGCUUUUGGAGGUUGUGGAUCAUGGGAAUUAAAGGAUUAGAGGUUGGAUUUGAUGUGGGGUUAGGUUUUGAUCCCGAAUUUAGUUUUCUGCAGAAUGGCAGAUUCGACAGUUUCUGUUCAUGCCAGUUUUCCGUGGUCUUAGUGGCCUCAAAAAAAUGAAAAGUCUAUGUAUGAGUCGUAGAUGAUUUGUAGAUCUUUCCGUGGCCGCGAAGAACACCUCAAUCGGACAUCCGACCAGAAAGUUAUUGCAGUUUUACUAUAGCAGUUUUUCAGUCUCAUAAUUCUGUGCAGAAUCUGUUCUCUUAAGAUUUAGGAAAUUUUAUCAACAGAAUUAAACUGUGGGUUGGUAAAAGAAGUUGUAGAUAAUUUCAUAAGCUUUCCAGAUUGUUAAAGAGUGCAUUCAUAUGAUUUGUGAAACUCCAGUUAUGUUUGUUUUACUGUGGCUGUUUCUGUUUACCUGACAAAAAUGAGUGGGUCUGUUCACUGGUGGGUUUCAUCUAGUAAAUGGCCGAAUUGGCUCUUCCAACUAUGGAGACUUUUGUAGAGGAAUAAAAGUUCUUACUUCCAGCAGAAUUUCAUAAUUUUUGGUUCAGUAGUUUGGGAGAUAUCGAAUUUUAAAGUUAACCAUACUGCUGUCUAAAACAGAUUCAGUCAGUUAUCUUGUCAGAUGUUUUAGAACUUGUAGAUGGCAGAAUUUAAUUAUCUAUUGAAUACUGAAGUUGUAGAGUAUUUUGUGUAGAUACUCCUAGAGUAUUUGUUUGAUAUCACCGCUGUUUUAAUUUUAAAGAUACAAAAUUAACAAACAGCGUUGCUGCUGUAUGGCAUGUGGUUCAGGGUGGGAGUCUUUCCACUGGGUCUUGGUUUCAAGUGUAGGAGUGUUUUGUUGAUUGAUGGCAAAUGUUUGUGAAAUAUUUGUACUAAGUUUUAUGCCCACUAGCAGGUGGCUACACUCCAGAUCAUGUCUAGUACAUUUCUUCUUCUUCAAUGAAGGCAAGUGAAUGUAGCGGUGGUUGCUUCCGUUCUGACCUGUUAUUUCUAUUGCCUACACUCUAAUAUUCAGAAGUAUCAGAUUCUUUCAUAAUUGGACUCUAUGGUGAUGCUUUACUUGCUUGCAUUAUAUUGAUGCUCAAUCAUAUAUUGAUGAUGAUUAUGAUUUGAGUAUGACUCACGAGAUUAAUUCACAUAUCUGAAGGUAAAUGAAGUAUUAUUUGAGGUUGGUAUUGUAUCUGAAGAUAAAUGAAGUAUUAUUUGAGGUUUGUGUUGUAUCUGAAGGAAGUGAAGUUUAUUGAUAAAUGUAGCAUGCCAUAUACAUUGCAUGACUCAUUUGCAUAUGAAGUUUUGUCGUGACCUAUGGUCCGACCGUACCGGUACAACUUAGCAUCGUACGUUGCCCGAGAAGGGGUACGAUGCGGCUUCAUACCCUUAGAGGUAUGAAGGCAGAGGACAUAUGCAUUGCAUUCAUAUGCAUUCAUUGAAGUGAUAUUUGCAGAUGAUGUGGUUUUAUACCCCCAGAGGUAUGAAGAUAGAGUACCUACGCAUUGCAUUCAUAUGCAUUCAUUGAAGUGAUAUUUGCAGAUGAUGUGGUUUUAUACCCCCAGAGGUAUGAAGAUAGAGUACCUACACAUUGCAUUCCUAUGCAUACAUUGAAGUGAUAUUUGCAGGUAUUGUUGACGCAGGGAAGUGUUAUAGAACCUAUUGUGGUUGUUCGAGGAAAUGAGAUGGUAUUGGUUAUAGUGGGACUACUGUGUUCUAUAUCUACAAGUAUUUCUGAUUUUUUAUUGUGUCUCUUUUAAAAUGUUGAUGAAUUCAAUUUGUGGUUUAAAUAUCUCGUCAGAACAAUUAGCUUGCUGAGAUGUUUCAUCUCACUCUUGCAUUACUCAAUGCAGGUGCUUGUUGCUCAUCAAGGGGAGUGGGAAGUAGCAGCACAUCCACCUUCACUCUCAUAAUAAUGCUGCCCAGACACAGCCAUGAUUUAAUUAGAAACUUCUUGUCAAAGGAUGUUUGUUUUUAACUAGUCGUGCGCACUGAUUAAUUUAGUUCAUUGUUGUUAUGGUUGUCUUCCCAUUGCUAGCAGAUUAUUAAUGUCUUAUAUGUUUUCUUAUCAUGAUAUCUAUUUAUACUUUGUUGCUUCCCCCGUUUAUGCAAUUUUCAAAGGAGAUGCUGUCGAAAUUUUAUAUAUGAAUGUUAGAUGUGUAGUUUAGUAGCAUUCUGGGGUGUUUGUGGAUCCCGGGGUGUUACAGUUGGUAUCAAAGCAUAGGCUUUAGAUUCUUGGCAAUUUGAAGAUAAAUUUGACACACUUGCACAUAUAGGAAGGGUAUGGGUUCAAAUAUCUUUGAUAUAUAUUAAUGUCUUUGGAGUGCAGAUGACAAUAGUUUCACCCCUCCCUAUUCCUUUACGGUGAUGUGGUAAGUUGUUUAUGGCUUAAUGCUUGAUAUAAUUUAUUUCUGAAAUUUUGAUAUUGUUUUAUUAAUGCGGUAGAUAUCGCUGGUCAUUGGUGAGAAUGAAGUUGUUAUUAUGCUUGUGAUAUACAAGUAUGCCUAUGUCGUUUUCACCAUGUUUUUCAUGGUUGAGUUUUAUUACAAUAAUAUUGUUAUAUAUGCUUGAUUGUGGAUGUUUCUAAGAGGAGUGUGAAUUGCGUGUUUUGGGGUACAAGGUAAUCAUCAAUUUGAAUUUAAGUUGUUGAGCGGUUGGUGGAUAGCUCCAACUAUCAUUGCAAAGAAUGAUUGUUUAUGUUGAGAAACCAGUUUUGAAAGAAAUGAAUAUUGGUACUUUAUAUGGAUUUUUGGGGGAAGUCUUUUCAUAGCCAGAAUGGCUUACAUGUCUCUCUCAUAUUGUGUGUUCUAGUUGCCACAAAGCCUAGAUGUGGUUUAAAGUGGUUGCCUAUUAGUCAUACUAAUUGUAGAAUAAAUCUUUGAUUCUCUUGAUCCAUUGAUUAUGUAUUGAUACAUUGAGGAUCUGAUGGUUCCCUUUUCGAUGCAUGCUUGUGGAGCCAUUUUUUUAGACCACCUAUCUAUUGGUUUGAAGGAAGUCCUUGCCUAGCCUAGAGUUGGUUGGGUGUGGCUAGUCACCUACUCCUAGAUGAUGUGGUGUUUACAUCAGCUUAAUAUGUUUGUCAAAUGUGUGAAGGAUUAGGGGUUAUUAUUAUUGACUUUGUAUGUCUGGUACUUUGAGUGCAUCGUAUGAUAGAAUGAAAUGUAAGUUUCUGAACUACAGUAGAUGAAGACUUAUAUUAUGUGUAGGUUAUCCUUACUAGUUGGAUAUUUUUCUUAGUUGAGAUGUUGAAUGAAGUAUAGUGACAUGGGUUAAGCAAGUAUUGUGUUGUUGUUGGGCUAUCAGUGCUCUAUGUAGAGUUUUUGGCAUUUCUUCGAUGAACUAUGCCGCACAAGAUGUUAUUGGCUUCUUUUGGCUUUAUUGCUCCAUUAGUUCUAUAGAUUUUCUCCCUUUUGGUGGGGUGUAAGGAAUGUUAGAUUACAUGAUUAUCUUUUCAUGAUGGCAAGAAUAAGGUUUAGAAAGAUUAGGAGUUUUGUUCCAAUAGAACUACUUGUUUCAUGGUGCUUUAAGGUGAGGUGUUUGAUCUUAUUAUACAUUCGUCGGGUGUAGAUGUUUCACCAUUUAAUUAAAAUUAAUGGUUGAAGUUGGUAAGGGUUGUGCUUGGUCCAUAUUACCCCUUCAUAAAAGAGUGUUGUCUUAAGGCAUUGAUGUUGAUGUAUAGCUGCAUCCAAAUUUGAUGGUGUGAAAUUGUAGUGUUGAUUGCAACUAUGACAUGCUUUGAGCUUCAUUACAUGUUGUUUCAUGCUUGAUGUCAGGUCGUGUAGUUUCCUUAGACAAUUAGUCCAAGGUAGAAGUUCUUGUGUUAAUUAAGACCAAUAAUGGAUCCAUGUUUUGAAUUGUGGUGCUAUAUGGGGUACCUUGGGUGUUUUGCUUGGAGUGGCCGAAUUCGAGGUCGAAUUCUUUUUAAGGGGGGUAGAGUGCAAUAUCCCAAAAAAAUGUUGACCAAAAGUUAAUCUCUGGUGCGUGGAUGAGGUAAAUGGUUGUGGGCCAUUGGAUGCAAAGAUAGAAGUCAUCUGAGGCGUCGUUUCUUUCUCCCACAAAAACCCUAGGUGGCCACCCCUUUUUUUCCCUUCACCCCCCCUCUUGGCCGCCACCCCCUUUUCUCCCCCUUGGCUGGACGACCCCUCCCCCUAUGGCAGCCAUCAUCCAUUGCUUCCUCCCCCAAGAUCUCCCCCUACGCAGCAAGGAUCGAGAAAAGGAGGGGCACGUUGAAUUGAAGAGGAAGAGAGGAUCAAGGAGAUGUUCUUCCCCAUCUCUUCUUGAAGAUUUCUUGGGGAAACCCUAGGUAUGGAUGAGAUCCUUGUUCCUCCCUGUAAUUAUAGGCUUUUGGAGGUUGUGGAUCAUGGGAAUUAAAGGAUUAGAGGUUGGAUUUGAUGUGGGGUUAGGUUUUGAUCCCGAAUUUAGUUUUCUGCAGAAUGGCAGAUUCGACAGUUUCUGUUCAUGCCAGUUUUCCGUGGUCUUAGUGGCCUCAAAAAAAUGAAAAGUCUAUGUAUGAGUCGUAGAUGAUUUGUAGAUCUUUCCGUGGCCGCGAAGAACACCUCAAUCGGACAUCCAACCAGAAAGUUAUUGCAGUUUUACUAUAGCAGUUUUUCAGUCUCAUAAUUCUGUGCAGAAUCUGUUCUCUUAAGAUUUAGGAAAUUUUAUCAACAGAAUUAAACUGUGGGUUGGUAAAAGAAGUUGUAGAUGAUUUCAUAAGCUUUCCAGAUUGUUAAAGAGUGCAUUCAUAUGAUUUGUGAAACUCCAGUUAUGUUUGUUUUACUGUGGCUGUUUCUGUUUACCUGACAAAAAUGAGUGGGUCUGUUCACUGGUGGGUUUCAUCUAGUAAAUGGCCGAAUUGGCUCUUCCAACUAUGGAGACUUUUGUAGAGGAAUAAAAGUUCUUACUUCCAGCAGAAUUUCAUAAUUUUUGGUUCAGUAGUUUGGGAGAUAUCGAAUUUUAAAGUUAACCAUACUGCUGUCUAAAACAGAUUCAGUCAGUUAUCUUGUCAGAUGUUUUAGAACUUGUAGAUGGCAGAAUUUAAUUAUCUAUUGAAUACUGAAGUUGUAGAGUAUUUUGUGUAGAUACUCCUAGAGUAUUUGUUUGAUAUCACCGCUGUUUUAAUUUUAAAGAUACAAAAUUAACAAACAGCGUUGCUGCUGUAUGGCAUGUGGUUCAGGGUGGGAGUCUUUCCACUGGGUCUUGGUUUCAAGUGUAGGAGUGUUUUGUUGAUUGAUGGCAAAUGUUUGUGAAAUAUUUGUACUAAGUUUUAUGCCCACUAGCAGGUGGCUACACUCCAGAUCAUGUCUAGUACAUUUCUUCUUCUUCAAUGAAGGCAAGUGAAUGUAGCGGUGGUUGCUUCCGUUCUGACCUGUUAUUUCUAUUGCCUACACUCUAAUAUUCAGAAGUAUCAGAUUCUUUCAUAAUUGGACUCUAUGGUGAUGCUUUACUUGCUUGCAUUAUACUGAUGCUCAAUCAUAUAUUGAUGAUGAUUAUGAUUUGAGUAUGACUCACGAGAUUAAUUCACAUAUCUGAAGGUAAAUGAAGUAUUAUUUGAGGUUGGUAUUGUAUCUGAAGAUAAAUGAAGUAUUAUUUGAGGUUUGUGUUGUAUCUGAAGGAAGUGAAGUUUAUUGAUAAAUGUAGCAUGCCAUAUACAUUGCAUGACUCAUUUGCAUAUGAAGUUUUGUCGUGACCUAUGGUCCGACCGUACCGGUACAACUUAGCAUCGUACGUUGCCCGAGAAGGGGUACGAUGCGGCUUCAUACCCUUAGAGGUAUGAAGGCAGAGGACAUAUGCAUUGCAUUCAUAUGCAUUCAUUGAAGUGAUAUUUGCAGAUGAUGUGGUUUUAUACCCCCAGAGGUAUGAAGAUAGAGUACCUACGCAUUGCAUUCAUAUGCAUUCAUUGAAGUGAUAUUUGCAGAUGAUGUGGUUUUAUACCCCCAGAGGUAUGAAGAUAGAGUACCUACACAUUGCAUUCCUAUGCAUACAUUGAAGUGAUAUUUGCAGGUAUUGUUGACGCAGGGAAGUGUUAUAGAACCUAUUGUGGUUGUUCGAGGAAAUGAGAUGGUAUUGGUUAUAGUGGGACUACUGUGUUCUAUAUCUACAAGUAUUUCUGAUUUUUUAUUGUGUCUCUUUUAAAAUGUUGAUGAAUUCAAUUUGUGGUUUAAAUAUCUCGUCAGAACAAUUAGCUUGCUGAGAUGUUUCAUCUCACUCUUGCAUUACUCAAUGCAGGUGCUUGUUGCUCAUCAAGGGGAGUGGGAAGUAGCAGCACAUCCACCUUCACUCUCAUAAUAAUGCUGCCCAGACACAGCCAUGAUUUAAUUAGAAACUUCUUGUCAAAGGAUGUUUGUUUUUAACUAGUCGUGCGCACUGAUUAAUUUAGUUCAUUGUUGUUAUGGUUGUCUUCCCAUUGCUAGCAGAUUAUUAAUGUCUUAUAUGUUUUCUUAUCAUGAUAUCUAUUUAUACUUUGUUGCUUCCCCCGUUUAUGCAAUUUUCAAAGGAGAUGCUGUCGAAAUUUUAUAUAUGAAUGUUAGAUGUGUAGUUUAGUAGCAUUCUGGGGUGUUUGUGGAUCCCGGGGUGUUACAGUUUCUGCCUAUGCCCACCCCGUUGGUAGAAUCACUAGCCUUCGCAGCUGGAUCGUCAGCUUCAGCACUGCCAGCACUAGCAGUCCAAGCCCCUGCUCCUGGAGGCAACGACCCGGACGACUCUGGUGACGACGAUGAUGACAAAGAAGAAGAAGUAGAAGAAGAAGAAGAGGAGAACAUCAACGAUGAAGCCAACGAUGAAUAGCAGGACCACUACGUGGGGUUAUGGCCUGUCACUGAACAUUACACAUCAAUGUCCGAGACAGGGCACUUCCCUAACCUGCUGCAGGAUGUUCUGCACUCGUUGGGUACCGACGUCCGACUCCUGUAUGAGACAAGGCGAGUGUACGAGCUUCCUCGGGCUUGCUACUAUAUCACUCACAUUCAUGUCUGGGUGAUGGAUGCAGGUGAUAGAGGGUUCAGGACUCUAUCAGCACAUGAGUCUCUGACGCCGCUAUCCACUUACGCUGCUUCGGUCAGUGACGCUGCUCGGCGAACUCUAUGGUCCCUCAGCCCACCUACCGGUAGCAGCUGUGAGAGCACCUAGAGGGGGGGUGAAUUGGUGAUCCUGUAAAACUUAAAAACUUAUAUCCACAAAAACUUGAUUAGGAGUUAGCACAAUAAUGCCAAGUGGCUAGAGAGGAGUCUUAACAAAACACAAUAACCACAAGAGAUCAACACAGAGAUGGCACAGUGGUUUAUCCCAUGGUUCAGCCAAGACCAACGCUUGCCUACUCCACGUUGUGGUGUCCCAACGGACGAGGAUUGCAAUCAACCCCUCUCAAGCGGUCCAAAGACCCACUUGAAUACCAUGGUGUUUUGCUUUGCUUUUCUAUAUCCCGUUUGCGAGGAAUCUCCACAACUUGGAGUCUCUCGCCCUUACACUUUGAUGAUCACAAAGAAGCACGGAGUAAGGGAGAGAUGAGCAACUCACACAAGACACAAAUAUCACAGCAAAUACGCACACACAAGACCCAGACUUGAGCUCAAGAGACUAUCACGAGUUUCUCACUAGAACGGAGCUCAAAUCACUAAGAAUGUCGAACAAGUGCGCAAGAACGAAGGUACCGUUUGGUUCAAAUAUUUGUAACGUAAUGGGUAAAUGAUUACGUUAAAUCAUGUUUGUUUUAGUCCAACCGUAAUCAGAUACCGUACUAAAAUUUGAUACCGGACUAUUCAAACUUGUUACCGCCCGUAAUCAAGUGUAAACCAUUACCAUUACCCUUUACGUUACAUUUCGUGAACCAAACAGCACCGAAGUGUGAGUGAUCAACUAUGCUCAAAGAAUGCUUGGAUGUCUUCUCCAUGCGCCAAGGGGUCCCUUUUAUAGCCCCAAGGCAGCUAGGAGCCGUUGAGAGCAUUGUAGGAAGGCAAUUCUUGCCUUCUGUCGACUGGCGCACCGGACAGUCCGGUGCACCACCGGACACUGUCCGGUGCACCAGCGGACACUGUCCGGUGCUGAUUUCUUUCCUUCUUUGGUGAAGCCGACCGUUGCAGAUCCAGAGCCGUUGGCGCACCGGACACUGUUCGGUGCACACCGGACAGUCCGGUGCACCAAUGUGACCGUUGGCUCGGCCACGCGUCACGCACGGAAUCCUCGGCCGACCGUUGCCCCGGCUGACUGUUGGCUCACCGGACAGUCCGGUGCCUCACCGGACAGUCCGGUGAAUUAUAGCCGUACGCUGUUGAUGGCUUCCCGAGACCGACGACUUCGCCUGUGAACGGCUCACCGGACAGUCUGGUGCACCACCGGACAGUCCGGUGAUUUAUACCGUACACCGCCGUCGAAGUCCCGAGAGCAGCAAGUUCUCCAGAGCCAGUCUGGCGCACCGGACAGUCCGGUGCACCCAGACUGCGCAGACUUUGGCUGAACAAAGCCAUCUCUUUUCCAAUUCGAUUUCUCCUGUUUCCAGCACUUAGACACAAUACAUUAGUCCAUAAAACAAUGUACUAAGUCUAGAAACAUACCUUUUGACUUGAUUUGCACUUUGUCCACCACUUUGCAUAGAUUAACACAAAAGCACUUGUGUUGGCACUCAAUCACCAAAAUACUUAGAAAUGGCCAAGGGCACAUUUCCCUUUCAAUCUCCCCCUUUUUGGUGAUUUAUGCCAACACAACAUAAAGCAACUAGAACAAGUGCAAUAUCAAUGCAAAUGAAAACUCAAAAUUGUUUUGAUUCAAAUUUGGCAUAUAUGGAUCACUCUUUGCCACCACUUGGUUUGUUUUUGCAAAUCAAACUCAAUUUCCUAUCUCUAAGUCAAACACACUUGUAGAGACAUAAAGAGAGUUGUUCCAAUAGAAAUUGAUCACAUGUAUCAAAAACUCCCCCUAUUUCCCGUAAUCAACCAUUCUCCCCACAAGAGACCAACUUUUGACAAAAAGAGCCAAUAAGAGUAUUUUGACAAAACAAAAGCUCUAUUCUAUUAUUUUCAAAAUUCUCAAGUGGUAGCUGAUCCAUUUAUUGCUUUGGCCUUAUUUUCUUCCCCUUUGGCAUCAAGCACCAAAACGGGAUCAAUCUUGGCCCUUGAACCCCAUUGCCUCACCAAAGUCUUCAAAUAAGAAUACAAAGGCAAUAAGAGUACAUGAGAUAAACUUGGAAUAAGUUACCCUCUCAUCGGAGUGCAGUGGAAGUCUUUCAUGGUCCAAGUCCACCUUUUCCCUUUCAAACCUCCUUUGAGACUAAAUUAAGAAAACUCAAACACAUGGUUAGUCUCAAAGGGUCAAGUUGUAGCACAUCUCCCCCUAAAUAUGUGCAUCACUUGCAAAUGGACUUGUGAGGUCCGGGGAGUACUUGUACAACUUGAGCACCAUAAGUAAACAACAAAAUGCAUAAGGAACAUGAUCAAAGGCAUAAACACAUGUAUGCUAUAAAUCAAUCCAAGUUCCGCGAAUCUAAGACAUUUAGUUCACUACGCAGCCUGCAAAAGGUCUUCUCAUCUAAAGGCUUAGUGAAGAUAUCGGCUAGCUGGUUCUCGGUGCUAACAUAAAACACUUUGAUAUCUCCCUUUUGCUGGUGGUCUCUCAAAAAGUGAUGCCGGAUGUCAAUGUGCUUUGUGGGGCUGUGCUCAACAGGAUUGUCCGCUAUGCGGAUAGCACUCUCAUUGUCACAUAGGAGUGGGACCUUGCUCAGAUUGUAGCCAAAGUCCCGGAGGGUUUGCCUCAUCCAAAGUAGUUGCGUGCAACACUGUCCUGCAGCAACAUACUCGGCCUCAGCGGUGGAUAGGGCAACAGAAGUUUGUUUCUUAGAGUUCCAUGACACCCGGGACCUUCCUAAGAAUUGGCACGUCCCCGAUGUACUCUUCCUAUCGACCUUACAUCCAGCAUAGUCGGAAUCUGAAUAUCCAAUCAAGUCAAAGUUAGACCCCUUUGGAUACCAGAUCCCGAAGCAAGGCGUAGCGACUAAAUAUCUAAUGAUUCGCUUCACAGCCACUAAGUGACACUCCCUUGGAUCGGAUUGAAAUCUAGCACACAUGCAUACGCUAAGCAUAAUAUCCGGUCUACUAGCACAUAAAUAAAGUAAAGACCCUAUCAUGGAUCGGUAUGCGUUUUGAUCAACGGACUUACCUCCUUUGUUGAGGUCGGUGUGUCCGUCAGUUCCCAUCGGCGUCUUUGUGGGCUUGGCGUCCUUCAUCCCAAACCGCUUUAGCAAGUCUUGCGUGUACUUCGUUUGGGAGAUGAAGGUGCCAUCCUUGAGUUGCUUCACUUGGAACCCAAGGAAGUAGUUCAACUCGCCCAUCAUCGACAUCUCGAAUUUAUGCGUCAUCACCCUGCUGAACUCUUCACAAGACUUUUGGUUAGUAGAACCAAAUAUUAUGUCAUCGACAUAAAUUUGGCACACAAAAAGAUCACCAUCGCAAGUCUUAGUGAAAAGAGUUGGAUCGGCUUUCCCAACCUUGAAAGCAUUAGCAAUUAAAAGUCUCUAAGGCAUUCAUACCAUGCUCUUGGGGCUUGCUUAAGUCCAUAGAGCGCCUUAGAGAGCUUACACACGUGGUCGGGAUACCGUUCAUCCUCGAAGCCAGGGGGUUGCUCCACGUACACCUCCUCCUUGAUCGGCCCGUUGAGGAAAGCGCUCUUCACAUCCAUUUGGAACAACCUGAAAGAAUGGUGAGCGGCAUAUGCUAGCAAAAUACGAAUUGAUUCUAGCCUAGCCACAGGAGCGAAAGUCUCCUCAAAGUCCAAACCUGCGACUUGGGCAUAACCUUUUGCCACAAGUCGAGCCUUGUUCCUCGUCACCACCCCGUGCUCGUCCUGUUUGUUGCGGAACACCCACUUGGUUCCCACAACGUUUUGCUUGGGACGAGGCACCAGUGUCCAAACUUCAUUCCUCUUGAAAUUAUUGAGCUCCUCUUGCAUGGCCAAUACCCAGUCCGGAUCUAGCAAGGCCUCUUCUACCCUGAAAGGCUCAAUAGAAGAGACAAAAGAGUAAUGCUCACAAAAAUUCACCAAUCUAGAGCGAGUAGUUACUCCCUUGCUAAUAUCACCCAAUAUUUGGUCGAUGGGAUGAUUCCUUUGAAUCGUCGCUCGAACUUGGGUUGGAGGUGCCUGAGGUGCUUCUUCCUCUUCGACUUGGACAUCCUGUGCUCCCCCUUGAUCACUCCUCCACUUGAGGUACCUGUUUGUCAUCUUGGGUUGGGGGAUUCACCAUCGUUGAGGAAGAAGGUUUAUCUUGCUCUUUUUGCUCCUGAGGCCGCACAUCUCCAAUCGCCAUGGUGCGUAUCGCGGCCGUUGGAACGUCUUCUUCAUCUACAUCAUCAAGAUCAACAACUUGCUCUCUUGGAGAGCCAUUAGUCUCAUCAAAUACAACGUCGCUAGAGACUUCAACCAAACCCGAUGAUUUGUUGAAGACUCUAUACGCCUUUGUAUUUGAGUCAUAACCUAACAAAAACCCUUCUACAGCUUUGGGAGCAAACUUAGAAUUUCUACUUUUCUUCACUAGAAUGUAGCAUUUGCUCCCAAAUACACGAAAGUAAGAUACAUUGGGUUUGUUACCGGUUAGCAGCUCAUACGAAGUCUUCUUGAGGAGGCGGUGAAGGUAGACCCGGUUGAUGGCGUGGCAAGCCGUGUUCAUGGCUUCCGACCAAAAGCGCUCGGGGGUCUUGAACUCUCCAAGCAUCGUCCUCGCCAUAUCGAUGAGCGUCCUGUUCUUCCUCUCUACCACACCAUUUUGUUGUGGUGUGUAGGGAGCGGAGAACUCGUGCUUGAUCCCUUCCUCGUCAAGAUACUCCUCCACUUGAAGGUUCAUGAAUUCGGACCUGUUGUCGCUCCUUAUCUUUUUCACCUUGAGCUCAAACUCAUUUUGAGCUCUCCUUAGGAAGCGCUUGAGGGUCCCUUGGGUUUUAGAUUUAUCCUGCAAAAAGAAUACCCAAGUGAAGCGGGAAAAAUUAUCAACUAUAACAAGACCAUACUUACUUCUUCCUAUACUUAGAUAGGCGACGGGUCCGAAGAGGUCCAUAUGAAGCAUCUCCAAGGGUCUUGAUGUGGUCAUCACAUUUUUUGUGUGAUGAGAGCUUCCCACCUGUUUGCCUGCUUGACAAGCUGCACAAGGUCUAUCUUUUUCGAAAUGCACGUUAGUUAGACCUAUCACGUGUUCUCCCUUUAGAAGCUUGUGAAGGUUCUUCAUCCCCACAUGUGCUAAACGGCGAUGCCACAGCCAGCCCAUGCAAGUCUUAGCAAUUAAGCAUGCAUCUAGACCGGCCUCCUCUUUUGCAAAAUCAACUAAAUAAAGUUUGUCGUCUAGUACACCCUUAAAAGCUAGUGAAUCAUCACACCUUCUAAAGACAGACACAUCUACAUUUGUGAAUAAACAAUUAUAUCCCAUUUUACAAAGUUGACUAACGGAUAACAGAUUAUAUCCAAGCGACUCAACUAAAAACACAUUAGAAAUAGAGUGCUCGGAUGAAAUAGCAAUCUUCCCUAACCCUUUUACCUUGCCUUGGUUCCCAUCACCGAAUAUGAUUGAAUCUUGGGAAUCCUUGUUCUUGACGUAGGAGGUGAACAUCUUCUUCUCCCCCGUCAUUUGGUUUGUGCAUCCGCUGUCGAUAAUCUAGCUUGAACCCCCGGAUGCAUAAACCUGCAAGGCAAAUUUAGGCUUGGGUCUUAGGUACCCAACUCUUGUUGGGUCCUACAAGGUUAGUCACAAUGGUCUUAGGGACCCAAAUGCAAGUUUUAUCUCCCUUGCAUCUUGCCCCUAAUUUCCUAGCAAUUAACUUCUUAUCCUUUCUACAAAUGGCAAAUGAAGCAUUGCAAGCAUGAUAUAUUGUUGAAGGUUCAUUGAUUUUCCUAGGAACAUUAACAACAUUUCUCCUAGGCAUAUGAUGAACAACAUUUCUCCUAGACAAAUCUCUACCAUGCAUAUAGGAAGAACUAGAAGCAAACAUGGCAUGAGAAUCAAAAGCAUCAUAACUUCUAUAGGCAUUCCUAGAAUGUCUCCUAUCAUGAUACAUGAAAGCAUGGUUCUUUUUAGCACUACUAGCCAUAGGGGCCUUCCCUUUCUCCUUGGCGGAGAUGGGAGCCUUAUGGCUUGUUAAGUUCUUGGCUUCCCUCUUGAAGCCAAGUCCAUCCUUAAUUGAGGGGUGUCUACCAAUCGUGUAGGCAUCCCUUGCAAAUUUUAACUUAUCAAAUUCACUCUUGCUAGUCUUAAGUUGGGCAUUAAGACUAGCUAGUUCAUCAUUUAACUUUGCAAUAGACACUAGGUGUUCACUACAAGCAUCAACAUUAAAAUCUUUACACCUAGUGCAAAUCACAACAUGUUCUACACAAGAGUUAGAUCUAUUUGCUACUUCUAGUUUAGCAUUUAAAUCAUUGUUAACAUCUUUCAAACUAGAAAUUGUCUCAUGGCAAGUAGAUAGUUCACAAGAAAGCAUUUCAUUCCUCUUGAUUUCUAAAGCAAGGGAUUUUUGAGCCUCUACAAACUUAUCAUGUUCUUCAUAUAAAAGAUCCUCUUGCUUUUCUAAUAAUCUAUUCUUAUCAUUCAAGGCAUCAAUUAAUUCUUUAAUCUUAUUAACCUUGGUUCUAUCUAGACCCUUGAAUAAACAAGAAUAAUCUAUUUCAUCAUCAUCACUAGACUCAUCCUCACUUGAAGAAGCAUAAGUAGUAUUGUCUCGAGUACAUACCUUCUUCUCCUUCGCCAUUAGGCAUGUGUGACGCUCGUUGGGGAAGAGGGAUGACUUGUUGAAGGCGGUGGCGGCGAGUCCUUCAUUGUCGGAGUCGGAUGACGAACAAUCCGAGUCCCAUUCCUUGCCAAGGUGUGCCUCGCCGGCUCGCCCUUAGCCUUCUUGUAUGCCUUCUUCUUCUCCCUCUUGUUCCCUUGUUCCUGGUCACUAUCAUUAUCGGAACAGUUAGCGAUAAAAUGACCAAUCUUACCACAUUUGAAGCAUGAGCGCUUCCCCUUUGUCUUGGUCUUGCUUGGCUGCCCCUUGCGACCCUUUAGCACCGUCUUGAAGCGCUUGAUGAUGAGGGCCAUCUCUUCAUCAUUGAGCCCUGCCGCCUCAACUUGCGCCACCUUGCUAGGUAGCGCCUCCUUGCUCCUCGUUGCCUUGAGAGCAACGGGUUGAGGCUCAUUGAUUGGACCAUUCAACGUGUCGUCCACGUAUCUCGCCUCCUUGAUCAUCAUUCGCCCGCUUACGAACUUCCCAAGAACUUCUUCGGGCGACAUCUUGGUGUACCUAGGAUUUUCACGAAUAUUGUUCACCAGAUGUGGAUCAAGUACAAUAAAAGACCUUAGCAUUAGGCGAACGACGUCGUGAUCCGUCCAUCACGUGCUUCCGUAGCUCCUUAUCUUGUUGAUGAGGGUCUUGAGCCGGUUGUAUGUUUGGGUUGGCUCCUCUCCCCUUAUCAUUGCAAAUCUCCCAAGCUCGCCCUCCACCAACUCCAUUUUGGUGAGCAUGGUGACGUCGUUCCCCUCAUGUGAGAUCCUGAGGGUGUCCCAGAUUUGCUUGGCAUUGUCCAAGCCGCUCACCUUAUUGUACUCUUCCCUGCACAAAGAUGCUAAAAGGACAGUAGUAGCUUGUGCAUUUUUAUGAAUUUGUUCAUUUAUAAACAUGGGACUAUCCGAGCUAUCAAAUUUCAUUCCACUCUCUACAAUCUCCCAUAUGCUUGGAUGGAGAGAGAACAAGUGACUACGCAUUUUGUGACUCCAAAAUCCGUAGUCCUCCCCAUCAAAGUGUGGAGGUUUGCCAAGAGGAAUGGAAAGCAAAUGUUUAUUUGAGCUAUGCGGAAUACGUGAAUAAUCGAAAGAGAAGUUUGAGUUAACCGUCUUUCUCUUGUCGUAGUCGUUGUCGUCGUUGUCCUUUUGGGAAGAAGUGGACUCGUCGCUGUCGUCGUAGUAGACGAUCUCCUUGAUGCGUCUUGUCUUCUUCUUCCCGUCUUUUCGUUUGUGGCCCGAGCCCGAGUCGGUAGGCUUGUCGUCUUUCGGCUCGUUGACGAAGGACUCCUUCUCUUUAUCAUUGAUCACAAUUCCCUUCCCCUUAGGAUCCAUCUCUUCGGGCGAUUAGUCCCUUUCUUGAAGAGAACGACUCCGAUACCAAUUGAGAGCACCUAGAGGGGGGGGUCAAUAGGUGAUCCUGUAAAACUUAAAAACUUAUAUCCACAAAAACUUGAUUAGGAGUUAGCACAACAAUGCCAAGUGGCUAGAGAGGAGUCUUAACAAAACACAAUAACCACAAGAGAUCAACACAGAGAUGGCACAGUGGUUUAUCCCGUGGUUCAGCCAAGACCAACGCUUGCCUACUCCACGUUGUGGCGUCCCAACGGACGAGGAUUGCAAUCAACCCCUCUCAAGCGGUCCAAAGACCCACUUGAAUACCACGGUGUUUUGCUUUGCUUUUCUAUAUCCCGUUUGCGAGGAAUCUCCACAACUUGGAGUCUCUCGCCCUUACACUUUGAUGAUCACAAAGAAGCACGGAGUAAGGGAGGGAUGAGCAACUCACACAAGACACAAAUAUCAUAGCAAAUACGCACACACAAGACCCAGACUUGAGCUCAAGAGACUAUCACGAGUUUCUCACUAGAACGGAGCUCAAAUCACUAAGAAUGUCGAACAAGUGCGCAAGAACGAAGUGUGAGUGAUCAACUAUGCUCAAAGAAUGCUUGGAUGUCUUCUCCAUGCGCCAAGGGGUCGCUUUUAUAGCCCCAAGGCAGCUAGAAGCCGUUGAGAGCAUUGUAGGAAGGCAAUUCUUGCCUUCUGUCGACUGGCGCACCGGACAGUCCGGUGCACCACCGGACACUGUCCGGUGCUGAUUUCUUUCCUUCUUUGGCGAAGCCGACCGUUGCAGAUCCAGAGCCGUUGGCGCACCGGACACUGUCCGGUGCACCAAUGUGACCGUUGGCUCGGCCACGCGUCACACGCGGAAUCCUCGGCCGACCGUUGCCCCGGCUGACCGUUGGCUCACCGGACAGUCCGGUGCCUCAUCGGACAGUCCGGUGAAUUAUAGCCGUACGUCGUUGAUGGCUUCACGUGACCAACGACUUCGCCUGUGAACGGCUCACCGGACAAUCCGGUGCACCAUCGGACAGUCCGGUGAUUUAUACCGUACACCGCCGUCGAAGUCCCAAGAGCAGCAAGUUCGCCAGAGCCAGCCUGGCGCACCGGACAGUCCGGUGCACCCAGACUGCGCAGACUUUGGCUGAACAAAGCCAUCUCUUUUCCAAUUCGAUUUCUCCUGUUUCCAGCACUUAGACACAAUACAUUAGUCCAUAAAACAAUGUACUAAAUCUAGAAACAUACCUUUUGACUUGAUUUGCACUUUGUCCACCACUUUGCAUAGAUUAACACAAAAGCACUUGCGUUGGCACUCAAUCACCAAAAUACAUAGAAAUAGCCAAGGGCACAUUUCCCUUUCAAGCUGCACAACACGAAGUACAUGCAUCUUCCUCUGCGUAUUCGUGGAGAAAACCAGACCAACAUUGUUCCAGUUGGAGCUAGAGAAGAUCGCCUCAACACCCUAGCUGGUGUGCUGGCAGGUCUUAACACCGACCUAGAUAGUGCUACCCUGGACCUCUCUAGGGUACACUUGGAGAUGGAUGAUGCACACGCAAGGAUCGUAGACCUGAAAGCUUAGCUUGAUGGAAGGAAUCCCCCUGAAGUUCAAGUCCCUGCCAUGGCGUUAUCCCCUCCCCGCAAGAGGAUCCGCUAUGGAGAACCAGGAUCCAUCACCAGGCUGCGUUAGAUUCUUCAAUUAUGUUGUAAUAAGUUAUUUUUCACGUUAGACCAAAAACACCUUUAUAUUACUACACCAUUAAUAAUAACAACCAUGUGAUGGUGUUGUUUGAAAUGAUUGAUUUGGAUUUUUGCUUUAGUGCAAUGGUCUUAUGGAACGAUGGCCAUAAGAGCAUAAAAAAUAAUAAUAAUAAAUUUCACCUUAAUAAUAAGCUAUUUCCCCUAGAAUCUUCUCUACUCCUCACUUACCUCGGGAUUGCACUUUCUAACCAACCACAUGGUGAACACUCGAUUAGGUCCCAAUAACCAUCAGAACUAGUGUGGUCAGCAGUUGCCACCACCACCACCCAACCCCAGUAUGGAUCAAUUCAUCAAAGCGCAGAUGCAACUUCUGCAAGGACUCACAGCUUCGGUGCAGCAGAUUCGACAAAAUCAACAGAACCAACAGUACCAACAACAACAACAUGCACCCCAAGCUAGAGACAAGCACUCGGACUUCAUGAGUCAUCACUCGCCUGCUUUCUCUCAUGCAGUAGACCCUUUGGAUGCCAAUGACUGGCUUAAGGUCAUUGGGAAGAAAUUGGACAUCACCAAGUGCAAUGACCGAGAAAAGGUCUUGUAUGCUUCAGGAAGACUCGAAGGAGCCGCGUCCGAUUGGUGGGAUGCCUUCAUCGUGGCACAUGCCAUAACCUAGCAUGAAUUUUAGGUGAACUUCUAUGCUCACCAUAUUCCCUUGGGAAUAAUGAAGCUCAAGAAAAAGGAGUUCCUUUCCCUCACACAAGGGAACAUGUCCGUUAGUGAGUAUCAUGAUUGCUUCACCCAUCUUUCACGCUACGCCCCAGAAGAAGUGGACACUAACGAGAAGCGCCAAGAACGUUUCUUAGAAGGUUUGAUUGGGCCUUUAAACUAUCAGCUACAGAGCCACAACUUUCCCAACUUUCAGACCUUGCUUAACAAGGCAAUUGGCCUUGAAAGCAAAAGUAAAGAGUUGUCGGAUCACAGGAGAAAGUACCAAGGGCAGACCAGUAGGAAUACCCGUCAAAACAACUCCCAAGGUUCUCAGUUCCGCUCCGGAAAUCAGAGUGGAAACAGCAACUACCAGGUACGGUGCUCUGGACAACAAGGUCAGAGAAGCAACCAAUACCCAAACCAACAGACAAGCAGCACUCAGACCGGUCAAAGGUCUAGUGGUCAACAACAAAAUCGUCAAGGAAGUGUCCCAAACAAACCGGCCAGAAACAACAACACAACUACCCCAGUUCAACCUAAUGGUUGUUUCAAGUGUGGCGAACUUGGCCACUAUGCCAACAACUGCCCAAGGCGUAAUCAACAGACACCCCAAAAGAACACCAACCAGAGGACUGACCAGAACACAUCUCCUCGUGGAUCUGCAAAGAACAAGACUUCACAGAACCAGAGUAGAGGAAGAGUCAAUCUUGUGACAGCGGAAUCGGUUCCUGAGGAUGCCGACAUGGCGUAUGGUAUGUUUCUUAUUAACUCCAUACCUACAUCAGUUUUAUUUGAUUCUGGAGCAUCUCACUCCUUUGUAACAAAGUCAUUCGUGGAAAAACAUAAUAUACCAAACUAUCCCUUGAAGAAGAAACUAUUAAUUCGAUCACCAGGAGGUGAAUUUAGAGCCACACGCUCAUGCCUUCAGACUAAGAUUGAAAUUAGAGGCCUAAGCUUUCUAGUAGAGCUGAUAAUUUUGGAAUCGAUGUGAUACUUGGAAUAGACUACUUGACCAAGUAUGAUGGAAUAAUAUCCUAUGCCAAAAGGAUGGUUUCAUUAACCAGUCCGCAAGGAGAAAGAAUUGAAGUCAAUGUCAGUAUGCCAGCAAUAGCAGAGGUAAUGGUAAAUUAGUUGGAAGAGAAAUCUUUGGAGCACAUCAGAAUAGUGUGUGAAUACCCAGAAGUAUUUCCGGAAGAAUUACCAGGUAUGCCACCUGAUCGUCAUAUAGAGUUUUCUAUUGAACUAUUACCUGGAACCGCACCAAUUUCAAUAAAAGCUUACCGAAUGGAUGUCAAAGAUUUAAUUGAACUGAAGAAACUAAUAGAAGAAUUACUAGAAAAAGGUUUUAUUCGCCCCAGUUUGUCUCCAUGGGGAGCCCCAGUUCUAUUUGUGAAAAAGAAAGAUGGUUUAAGGAGAAUGUGUGUGGACUAUAGAAGCUUGAAUGAAGUAACGAUUAAGAAAAGUAUCCGUUACCUCGGAUUGAAGAUCUGUUUGAUCAGAUGAGAGGAGCUAAAGUAUUCUCAAAGAUAGAUCUAAGAUUAGGAUAUCAUCAGUUGAAUAUUCGAACCGAAGAUAUACCUAAAACAACUUUCACUACAAGAUAUGGACUAUAUGAAUUUUUAGUCAUGUCUUUUGGACUAACUAAUGCACCAGCUUACUUUAUGAACUUGAUGAAUAAAGUAUUCAUGGAAUACCUUGACCAGUUUGUGGUGGUAUUCAUCGACGACAUACUAGUAUACUCUCAUAGUGAAGAAGCACAUGAAGAUCAUCUGAGAUUAGUUCUACAGAAACUUCGUGACAAUCAGUUGUAUGCGAAAUUUUCGAAGUGUGAUUUUUGGUUGAAAGAAGUUGCUUUCCUAGGUCAUAUUACCACCAAUGGAGGAAUCAAGGUAGACCCCAGUAAAAUAAGUGAAAUACUAAAUUGGAAACAACCCACAGAUGUGUCCAAGAUCAGAAGUUUUCUUGAAUUAGCAGGAUACUACAGAAGAUUUAUUGAAGGCUUCUCCAAAAUAGUGAAACCCCUUACUUCACUGUUGGAGAAAGGUAAAGAGUUUAAGUGGGAUGAAGCAUGUCAGAAAUGUUUCGAGGAAUUAAAGGAAAGGCUAACCACUGCACCUGUGUUAAUUAUGCCUGAUAUUCAUAAAGGAUUUGAUGUGUAUUGCGAUGCAUCAGAUCUAGGACUUGGAUGUGUGUUAAUGCAAGAAGGAAAAAUGAUUGCCUAUGCUUCAAGGCAGUUACGGAAGCAUGAAAAGAAUUAUCCUACGCAUUAUUUGGAAUUAGCCAUCGUAGUGCACGCUUUGAAGAUUCAGAGGCACUACAUGAUUGGAAACAAGUGUAAAAUCUUCACAGAUCACAAAAGCUUGAAAUACAUCUUCACACAGAAAGAACUCAACCUAAGACAGAGAAGAUGGCUUGAGUUAAUUAAAUACUAUGAUUUGGAAAUACAAUAUCACCCAGGAAAAGCAAAUAUAGUGGCAGAUGCUUUGAGCCGUAAAGGUCAAGUGAACAGCAUCACUACUCAUUUGAUGUCACAGGAAUUGUGCUAGGAAAUGGAACAACUCAACCUUGGAAUGCUCAAUAAUAUGGAAGCAACAGUUAUGGAAGUUGAGUCUACUUUAGAAGAAGAAAUUCGUAAAGGAUAAGAGUCUGAUGAGAAAAUCAAGGAAAUUAAGACACAAAUUAGUUUGGGAAAAGCCCCAAAUUUCACAGAAGAUGAACAAGACACAGUAUGGUUUAAAAAGAGAAUCUAUGUACCAGAGAUCGAGCACCUACGCCAACUUAUUUUAAGGGAAGUCCAUGAUUCGGCUUAUUCUAUUCACCUUGGAAGUACUAAGAUGUACCAGGAUCUAAAGGAAAAGUAUUGGUGGUACGGUUUGAAAAGAGAUGUGGCUACUCAUGUUGCACUAUGUGACGUGUGUCAAGAGUUAAAGCCAAACACCAAAGACCAACAGGAUUGCUACAACCUCUCAAGGUACCGGAAUGGAAAUGGGAAGAAAUCAGUAUGGAUUUCAUAGUUGGAUUACCCCGUACUCAGGAUGGCUAUGAUUCAAUAUGGGUUAUAGUGGACAAGUUGACUAAAGUGGCACACUUUAUACCUAUGAAGACAACCUACUCGAGAGCCUAGUUAGCAGAGUUAUACAUGUCAAGAAUUGUUUGUCUGCAUGGAGUACCAAAGAAGAUCGUAUCAAAUUGAGGAACCCAAUUUACCUCGCGCUUUUGGAAAAGACUACAUGAGUCCAUGGAUACCAAGCUAAACUUCAGUUCAGCUUAUCAUCCGCAAACGGAUGGGCAAACGGAAAGAACAAACCAAGUGUUGGAAGAUAUGUUAACAGCUUGCGCUCUAAAGCAUGGUAGAAGCUGGGAUAAAAGUUUGCCUUAUGCAGAAUUCCCGUAUAACAAUAGUUAACAGGCAAGUCUAAAAAUGGCACCGUUUGAAGCACUUUAUGGAUGAAAGUGUAGAACACCACUUUAUUGGAAUCAGACUGGAGAAAGUCAAGUAUUUGGCCUAGAAAUUCUCCAAGAAGCAGAAAAGCAAGUAUAGAUUAUCAAAGAGAAUUUGAAAUCAGCACAGUCGAGACAGAAAAGCUAUGCUGAUAAUAGAAGAAGAGAGUUGAUCUUUGAAGUAGGAGACUUUGUAUACCUUAAAAUUUCACCGAUGACAGGCAUGAAAAGAUUUAAGGUUAAGGGUAAACUAUCUCCUCACUACAUUGGCCCGUUCAAAAUUUUGGAAAGAAAAGGUGAAGUAGCAUACCAGUUAGAGCUACCCGAUAGUUUGUCGGAUGUGCAUGACGUAUUUCAUGUGUCACAACUUAAGAAAUGCUUAAGAGUACCUGAAGAACAAUUACCUAUGGAAGAACUCAAUGUUAAGGAGAAUUUGACUUAUUCGGAAUACCCUAUUAGAAUUUUGGAAGCAUUUUGCAGAAUUACAUGGAGUGAAGUUAUCAACAUGUGUAAAGUUAUCAACACCACAAAAACCAUCAACUAAAAAUAAUGCAUUUAGAUUAUUAGUGGUAAAUAUGGUAAUGAAUUUUUUUUCAAGUGUUUGAUUUUUAUUUGCAUUUAGAGUAAUUUUGUUUGCUCAUAUUUGAUUUAUGGAGUAAAAUUUCUUUUAUAUUGAGAAUCCAAUUAAUUAAUAUAGAAGUAUUGGUCCAAAAAUAAAUAUUUUAGUUAUAAAUAAUUUUGGAAUAAUUAUUAUGAUUUUUUUGAAUUAUUUAAUAUGGCGGAACCACCCAAAUUAUUCCAGCUUAAGUGCCCAAGUCACAUCCUUAAAAGUAGCAACACACUUAAACCGGAAUAACCUGUUAGUCCCUCGAAUAUAGUCCGAUAAAGCCACUUACCAAGGAUCGAAUACCACUAGCUCACUCAAAGGUGAGGCACAGAGAAAUGCAAUAAAGCAUAAUACCAUAAAUUAAGAAAGUAUCAUUAGUGAUUACAUUAUCAGAGUUUCAAAAAUAAUAACCAUAAAUUUUAAUGCAGCAGAAAUAACUAACGGAGAAAACGAGUAACAUGGUGAAGCCUGGCCACGCUACUCCUCCUGGUCCUCUCCUGUGGAAGCAGUCACCCACUCGACCGUCUAUCGCGGUGGCGGGGAUGAAGGCCAAGUCACACCAUCAACCAAAUCAAGGAGGUACCUGCAAAAAUUAUGCCACAAGCAAGGCUGAGUAUACUAAUACUUGGCUAGACUUACCCGGUGUGAGGAGUCUACUCCUCUACCUCUAGACCAUGAAGUUGUUUGGCUGAGGGGUUUGUUUCGCCAAAAGCACUAGCUGAGUCUAAAAUCAAGUUUUAUCUUUUCAAGUUCUAGGAUAAUAAUUUAGACUAGAUGAGCACCUGACUAACCAUACAUGGUAUCAAGCAAUUUAGUCAAUCAACAUCUUUUGCCAGUAACCUCAUUUCACUUCUUACUCGAUGCAGCAGCAUGGAUCAAACAGUCUCAUUAGUUGCGAGAAGCAGACGAUUCGAAUAGAGUUUUAACCUUGCAAGGUGAACCUAAACACACGACAUGUAGGGGCACUCCAUCCCCACACACAUCAACCGUCCCCAUCGAUUCCCUAGCAAUAGAAUAGGGCCCACAACCUUGGCAUACAAUGCUUCACUAACCUCGGCUGCCGCCGUACAGUGACCGCACUUGUACCCACCAUCACUAGCAUGGGAGACCACGUCUCAGGUUAGGUGAGGAGAGAAGUCUACGGGCAGGUUCACUCAGGUACUAGGCUUAACAAUUUACCAUAUUUCUUGGCAUGUGUUUGGUACGUUCAAACGCUUGACACACGGUACCACACAUUAAUCCUUAAUCCAAUUUCGUCUCGUAGACAACGCAUCCCCAUGGAUCCAUGUCCACAGACCAUCAUCAUUCUGUUAUCAAAAUGGAUACAACCAAUUCCUGACCUCGCGCGAGUGCUAGAAAAAUCACUCGACUUCUACCGAGAUCCUGAUUUAACAUAGCAGCUACUCGACCUAGCUUACUAGUAUCCAUCUCAAAAGGAAUCCUGAGUUCAUGCAACUAGGGUUUUAGGCAACUCCUACACUUAAGUGCACAGUACAAGCCUACAAAUAUUAAGUGCAGUAAAAUAGCAUAUAUAACGGUUAUGUAUAAAACCGGGGGCUUGCCUAGAAUUCAACACUAGAUAGUGUCUACUAGAGGGUACUCGCUUGGUGAGCAUCCAUUGGUCAUAUCCAUCCUUCUUUGGGUCAUCCACCAACUGCAUCUUGUGGUUGACACCACAUCACUUGCACGAUCAUCAUCUCUCGGUCCUAAAUGAGAUACAGGAUGCAUAUGUAUGAAUAUGAUGAAAGUAGAAAAAGGUAUUCAAAUACACGGUAGCGAACUAAACACCAAUUAGUAAGACACUGCAACAGCUAUACGCAAGCGCUAGUUAUUUAUGUCAUUGGGCACACGUAAACACUACCACUGGAAAGAUGAUGACACUUACUAUACUUAAUCAAUGCAAUCAUGACAUCACAAGUAUGAGCAUUUAUUUAAUUUGCUACGACUUUUCAUUAGUUCUUCUAUUAAUCACACAAAAGCAUCCUAGACAACACAAGUUUAAUAGAGGACAUAGACAUCAAUGUCUAUGGAACUCCUAUAUCACAAUCAACUAGAGAAAGAAACAUAUAAAACAUGUCACACAUUCAUUAUUAAGCUUAUUCAUGGCAAGUCUACAUUAAUCAAGUGCUAACCAAACAUUUUUAGCAAAAUGGGUGAACUAAACAAUCAAAUGUGCGCUUGCAGAUUUUUGGACAGCAACACAACAGUUAUCGUUUUAAUCAUUACUCUUUAAAUAUUAAUAAAAAAGUAGCAAACUAAGACUUUCUAGAAAGCUUAAAAAAUGAACUACAACUUUGGUAUUUUUAUCUCAACAUGAUUCAAUACUUAUCAAGGCCAAAAAGUGCUAACACGACAGCUCUGUCCAGAUUUGGACAGAUUCAGACUUGCGACUUUAAAAUUUAUAACUAGAGAUUCAUGCGCCCAAUCCAGGUGAUCCCAGAUUUAUAGAAAGAUAAUGAAAUUUCCAACAGAACAUUUAUAAACAUCUCAAGGUGAUUCAAUAUGCAAUUAAGGAUAAAAGACACUAGAAGGCUUUGCUGUCCAGAUUUGGACAGAUUCAGACUUCACACUUCAAACACCUAUAACUUAAUCUUCAGACCACCCAAAAGAGUGAUCCAAGACUUUUUGAAAAGCUUAGCAAAAGUAUAACAUAACUUUUAUAAUCACCAAGAAGUGAUUCUAUGUUUAACUAAAUCAAACAAUACAGUUUUCAAAAUCUGUUCUCACAGUGGACAUAACACAACAACCAUUUUGUAAAAUUCAUAACUCUUGAACUAUCAGGCCUAUGGUUAUGAAAUUUUAACACAAGCAAGAUAAUAAAAGCAUCUACAACUUUUGUAUAACUACCAUGAACUGAUUGUAACAUUAACUUAAGAAAGCAAUGCAAUCUCUGAAAUCUGUACAUAAAUUGGACAUAUUCAGGUACUGGACUUGUGAGAAACAUAACCUCUAAACGAUCAAACUUAUGGCUGUCAAAUUUUAACACAAGCAAGAUAAUAAAGUUAUCUAUAACUUUUAUAUAUGACUUUUCUACAGAAAAUAUAAUUUAGUUCAUUAAACAAAUAGCACGGCGAAAAUAGUGUGUGCAGCCCAAAACAACAACUAAUAAAUUUUAGCUCCUAUUUACUUCAAGAAUGACCAUAUUGUAGAGACUUGAAUUACUCUAAGGUGCCGUUUGGUUCAUAUAUUGGUAACGUAAUAGGUAACCGAUAACAUUAAAUCAUGUUUGUUUAAGUCUAACCGUAAUCUAUACCACACUAUAAAUGGAUACCGCCUUAUUCAAAUUUGUUACCACCGAUAUUCAAGUGUGAAUCAUUACCAUUACCAUUUACGUUACAUUUUGUGAACCAAAUGGCACCUAAUACUUUACCAUUUAUUAAAGUUAAAACAAUCAAAGGAGGACCAAUAAGUCGACUUACAAAUUUCAUCCAAGUCAUUUCAUCCGCUAGAAUUACCACACACCAUUAACAACGCCUUCACCACAAUAAUCAUACCCGAUAUAUAUGUAUAUAGAUGCACUCUUCACACAGUAAUUUUGCAUUUUUACUUAGACAUCACAUGAACACUACUACUUUUCACCUGCGACUAUAACCAUGCGCCUUUAGACUACACCAAGCAAAUCAUCGUGACCACGAGCUUAACCAAAGCCAUCUAACAAGUCGGCUAACCAGAGCAACGACAUAGUCCGCUAUACAACAUACAUGUCGGCUUGUCUAUUAUUAUCAAAAUCUGAGACACAACAUACACUACAACAUUUUUAUAAACAUACAUAUUCACACAUAUAUUCUCACAUCGACCAAAUCAUACGAACUGUAAACCACCAAUCUCCAACUCGCAACCACCAUGCACUUACUUCCCAAAUCAUGAACACAUACAUGUUUAUCAUAUUAAUAGAGCAUUUCAAUAAUUAUCCCAAAAUAGCUAACUCCAUUACACAACUUGUAUCAUGAACUGUUGGGGGCCUUCGGCUUCCGAAGGUCCUCAAAAACAUGAUUUAACAAUGUUUCUGGAAGUAUAAUGCAUGAACAGGUACCUUCGAACAUGGACUCUUCGGACGAGUCAAAAUCGUUGUAUGAAGAAACACAAAGAGAACGAAGGAUGGAACAGAGCCGAAGCUGUGCGUAAGGAAGCUUCGGCAUGAUGGCAGAAAAGAGGAAACCGACUUAAAGAGGAAAAGACUAUCUAGACCUCGAUGGAUUACUAUAGAGUUAUUAUCAAAAGCAAAGGACCUGGAUGUAAUUUUACAUGGGCUGCGACCCGUGCCUAUAAAUAGGUGAACAGUACUCCCGUACUGUUCACGCUGACUUGGCAUUCACUUUUGCGUCACACCUGUAUUUUUUCCUUCAAGCCGAAGGUAUAUUUGCAAUAUGUUGUCAUUUCUAUAAUAAUAAAAAUAAAAAGGAGUUAAUAAUAUUUGAAUAUUUAUUUAUGCCAUUUUUCAUACUUUAUAUGAAUCUCUUUUUCAUCAUUUGUUAUACUGAUAAAGGUACGUUCUUCAUAACCUUCGUGCGAAACCCAUUAUGUCCUAAGGGAAAUAAUGCUUUGAGGGACGAAGGACUUUAACAUUUAACGAUUUCUGUGUUGCCUUGUUCUUAAUUCAUAGCAUUUAAGGACAAGUCCCAAACAUGAACCUACUUGAUUACUUGAAGCGUUUACUCGGCGUCUUGAACACAACCCUACACUAGGUGCGAAGUGUAUCUCGAUGAACACAUAAUGUGCAUUGACUCGACUUAUAAACAUAGAGGAGCGAUGACUACUUUAGCAUGUCGCCACCUCUCUAUCUAAGCCAAAACAAUUUCUACCUACACCGACCGAACUUUCGUGUUGAGCACACCUUAUAUUACCUUGUCUCGCAUACAACCAUGUUGCGGCGUGUACUCGAGACACUUCUGUUCAAUUCAACGCAAUCACUACUACAACACACUUCGGCGCACAUGCUUGACAACAUUUAUCAACCAGACGAGUCAAACACCAAACUAAUUAUUCGCAACUCUCGACCUCAAAACCCCAAUCAUAGGUCACAUAAUUUACAUUUUCAACCCAAUCUAACCUACAUCAACGAUGAAUACAUAAAAUAUAAUUAUCAAAGACUAGACUUAUUAGCCGACUGCGGAAGCCACCAAGCAUGCCUUGUGCUUUAUUAAAUUUUCCACAACUAACACACUACCUAACGACGACACCUUUUAAUAAUCCAUCAAUACAUUCGCGACCUAUCCUUGCAACACACAAAAGAACUAUCAUAGCCACACAUCCAUCGAAUCCAACAACAAAAUAACAUAUCAGCUCACCAUAUCAAACCCCGGUCGUGGUCGCUGCUCAGAUGGCGUGAAGACAAACGCACCGUCGAGCACGGGAGACCGAAGUGAAGUCGGAGGAGCACGACGGGAACCGUGGGCGUGGCAAGAGGGAGCACAAGCCACGGAGGGGCUGCUGUGGCUGCCGGUUGGUGCGGCAAAACAGCAAGAACAACGACGUCACGAACAUAGCUUGAGCAUGGUGCAGAGGGGGGCUGCGCCAGCGAGGUUGACGACCAGUUAGGUAGCUCGUCGAGCACCUAGCGGAGCGCGUCACUGCGCGGGACAGCAGGGGAAAACUCGGCUGUAAGGGCCGGCUAUGGAAUGGACAAGGAGAUGGAGCUUGAUGAUGCGUGCAUAGCGAAGUUUGCCGAGCGCGUGCUACAGGGAACGGCGACGUCCAGAUGGGGCUGCGCAACACAUCGAGCACCCGGCGGGCAUCACGGCUUGCUGUCCAUUGCGCAGCACCCCACCUAGACAUUUCGCCGAAUGCUUGGCACACGCGCAGUGGUGGCAAUGAGACGAAGCAAGGGAAAGUCCCCGGGGCUGCAAGGGAAUCCCGGCGGCGAGGGGAUGCGCUGUCCCGGCUUGCUGCACCCUUGGGACAUUUUGUCGAACGACUUACAAGCACGGCGGCUUAUGGGCUUCAGGUAGCAGCACAAGGAGGAAGGGGCGAGCUGCUACAAUGGAGGAAGGUUGUCGACCAUGGGGAAGAUGCAGGGGUGAGCUCACCAGCUGCUGCUGCUCUAUGGUUUGGGCAGAGACGAGGAAGAGAGGAGGGGAGCAGUGGGCAUUUGCUGCUGCAACAGGGAGAAAGGAGGGAGGGAGGGGGCGAGCACCACCAUUGGAGAGGGAGGGAGCUCAGCCACCAUUGUUGUGCUUGAGGAUGAAGAAGGGGGAGGAGGGGAGGGCGCCAUGGACAGGGAAGAAGUUUCCCGCGCCAUGAACAGAGAGGUGGGAGAGUUGUGUGUGAGAGGAAAAAUGGGAGAGGAGAGAGUGGCGGCUAGGGGUGGGAAAUGGAAAAUUUCCAAGCUGAAACAUAUUUAUAGCAGGUAAUUAGGGUUAGCUUUUUAGUGGGCUGGGCUGGGCUGGCACAAAACACUUAAUCGGGUUGCGCUAAUUAUUUCCAUUUUAUUUUAUGUCGUUCGAUUAAACACGGAUUAUCUGAACACUAAUUAUUACCCUCGUACAUAAUUUAGUCUGAUAACACGCACAACCUGGGUCAUGAACUUCAAGCGCAUUCUAAAUAUGACAUUAUAUUUUUAUUUUUCGAUGAGAGUUCAAUUUAGAUAGCGAUUAAAUCGGCUUUGGUUUUUUUUGCGGAGAAGGCGAAUCGUGACAUUUUAAAAUCGCUGUCGGAGUGGGUUUUGAAUUUGGUUCAGACACAAAGAUACUAGGAUGAGUCGAGUAAGAAUUAAUUAGAGGACGACAUACUGAGUAUUCUGUUUGAGAGUACGGAUCCGGAUAAAAUAGCCAAACAUAGAUCAAAGUUCGAGAAAUUGGACUGGGGCUCAGAUCAAAUAACAGCCGUCGAGAGUUUGAUUAAAUGAGCUUUGGAUGAGAUUUACAAGUCAAGAAUGAUUUUUGAGUUUGCAUUCGUCUCGAGAAAUAAAAGUUUUAACAGGCUCCAAAUUUGGCCUCACUCUCUCGAGAUCGAAUAAAAUUAGAGAUCGGUGAAACCUUCACACGUAACUUGAUAAAAGGAGAUAGAUACGAUCGAGAAAUAGAAAUUUUUACUAAGCUUCCGAGAUUAGGAUAAAUCUCCCGACAUAACACAAAAUAGACACCUGAGGUGUCACAUUUAAAAAUAUAUUUAUUUAUAUUUUUAAAUAGAAAAGAAAAGAAAAAAACUGAAAACCCUAAACCUAACAGGCCAUUUCGGCCCAUCAAGCCCAUCAACCGCUGCUGCCCCUAUUCCCUCCCCCUCUCUCACCGACCAGUGGGGCCCACCCGUGGCCCCUCUCCUUCGUCUCCCUCCCGCGCCCGGCCGAGCCACGCCACGCCAGCUCCUCGACGUCUGCGCCCGUCCGUUUCCCCGAACCGGAAUCCGCCAGCCUCGUUUCCCUCUCUCCCUCCCCCACUUCCCUCUCCUUCAAGCUGGCAACGGCCAAGUUAUUGGCCGCCUCCAUUGAUGGCGUUGAUGGUCGACCGUCUCUCUCUCCCCCCUCGGCUCUCCCUCUCCUCCCCUCUCUCUAUAAAACCCGCUCGAGCUGCCUCCUCUCUCCCUACCCGAGCUCUCUCCCUCACUCCUUGUGCUCUCUCUCCCUCGCCGAACCGCCGACCACCGGAGCCUCGCCGUCAGCGCCCGCUCGCUGUCGAGCCUCGCCAUACGCGCCUCGCCCCGCCUAGGCCACGCUCAUUCCCUACCCGACCAAGACCACCGUGCCCUGCUACCCUGCUCGCCGAGCUCCAUCCGUGCGCGUGAGCAAGAGCUCAUGGUAGAAGAAGCACAUUUUGCAUUUUAAUCCCUGCAUGUAAAUAAAAUUAAUUCCGAGAUUUUCAGUUCAGAAACUAUUGAAAAGAGACCCCGAUGUAUAUGCUAAAUCGUGAACUAGCCCCUGCAAUAAUAUUUUGACACGAGUAUUAUUUUAUUUUUCAAAAACAAAUAAUGUCACUAUUCACUAACUUGGUGAUUUAAAUAUUAGAAAUGUUCACGAUUAACUUCGCUUUAGCACAUGGAACAAUAUUUGUUAGUAGUAAUUUAAGUAUUUUAUUGAUAUAAGAAUGUAGAAGAAAUACUAGGCCACGUAUUUUUGGUCAGAUUAAAAAUAUAGGUUUUACUAGUCAUGAUUAAUGUAUUCAUAUGUAUAGCACUUAAUUACUUAGAAUUAGUAAAAUAUUUCUUUAUGUCAAAAUCAUCAUGAUUAUAUUACUAAAGUCCAAUUAGUAGUCUACAUUAACUCUUGGAAUAUUAAUGUUAGGUGAUUUAGAAAUAAACAUUUUUAGCUAUACGUAAAAUUUCUAUCUAGAAAGAAAAGGAUAAAACCCAAAAGUCUAUUAUUAGUAAUAAAAACAAUUAUUUUCCGUAAAGUUUGUUAAGUCAUUUUUAUUUACAUUAUACUAGAUAAACUAGCGUCAUAGUCACCUACUCAUAUUUCCACCAAUGAUAACUCAAAGUAGAAGCCAUAGUGGAUUAAUAAGUAUUUAUGCUUUGGACGUAUUUAUGAGUAUAGUUGUGUGAUGUAUGAAUGUAUAUAUAAUGGUGAAUGAUUACCCAUGUAAUGGUGUAUGUUUAUUUAUUUGGCGUACGUAUUCUUUUGUAUGUAUGAUACGCAAAUCGAUGCUAGAAGUUGACUAUGAGGUAGACGAACCAAACACGUUCGAUGACGACCCAUAGGACACUUUCGAGCAAGGCAAGUGGAUUCUCCCUCUGCAUUUCUAUUUGUACCGAAAUAAUGCAUACAAUAAUGUUUACUUUUGGAUAUAUAUUGCAUAAUUUGAUGGGAUUUUCCUAAAUAAGGAUUUCCUAGAAUUACCAACCCUAUUCCUUGAAUUACCCUGGGAUAAAUGCUAUGCUUAGCAAUUUUUGCUAUUGCUCAACUUGAUAAAUAUGUUGUCACUCUUUUAAAUGAUACUAUGUUUCGGAAAUGAAGUUUUAUUAUGAGGUUAACCCGAUGGCUAAACAAGAACAUUUUGUGUUAAAUGGAACAUGGAGUGACCACCUAGGAUAACAGUGUAACCACAAGUGCUAUAAUGGCUCUGACUUUGGUAAUUAGCUCUAUAGACUUAGUGCUUAGCAACCCUACCUAAAAGAUGGGCAAGAGGGGUGGCAGUGGUUUGGUGGCAGCUCAUGUUAACAUGGGUUGGUAGUCUUGGCUAAGUUACCUCACCCAAAGAGCCAUCAAUACUGACGUGGAAACCUUAGCAGGUGACUUUGUACUAAGUAUAUUUUGUGAAGGCCUCAUAAUGGAUCCCUAGCCAUUCACCUCGGCAAUGUUUAUGGGUCCGAUCAACCUAGGAUAGAUGGGAUACAUGGCUUGUGGGUAAAGUUGUACCACCUCUGCAGAGUGUAAAACUGAUAUGUCAACCGUGCUCACGGUUAAGAGCAACCUGGACCCUCACAUGAUAAUUGAACUUAAAGAUGGAAAAUAAAUCGUGAUAUGAGGAUCUACCAGUGGUUUGCUUAAGUGAUUACACUUAAGUGUUUUUGAUACAAUCUUAUGCCUUUGAUUAAUUGGGAUAUUUGGGAUACACACUUAUUAGUAAGACAGGUGUUGCUAAUAAAAUAUUGACCAACUAAAAUGCUUACCGCUUAUCCAUAGCCUACCUUGUUAACAUGCAUUAAUUUCCCCCACUUGCUGAGCCCCGACCAUAAGUGAGCUCACCCUUGCUAAUAUUUUGAUCAGAUGGUGAUGACGGGGACUUCGCAGAUGACAUUAAUGAGUUUUGAGUGUAACGAUGCGCCAGUCACCUUCCUGUGGAAGAGUGUCCAUGUUUAGUUCUGCCAUACUUUGAUUAUGAUACUUGUUAAGAUACAAUGUUUUGGAUGAUGUAAUAAAGUUACUCUACUCUCUUUACGCCUUUAUUGCAUUGUCUUUUGAUAUAUUACACUUGCGACGUCAACAUAUGUGUGGAAAAUGGAUCCUGGCCCACGUAUUCUAUGCAUUCGGUUUUGCCCCCAGAACUAGGUGUGGCAAUAUGUUGAGUUAUUUCAAAGAUAGAAGCAGUACAAACGUUAAUUUCAAACAAAAAUGGAACACGAAUUGGAUAAGUACUUCAAAUCAUAUGGCGUGUUUCCUGUGAUUCCAUGCAACGACUGAUUCAAAUUCCAUAUUUCUUGAGUUGUAGGAAUCAUCGUACAACUAAGAGGGAUCCACAAAGGUAACGGUGUUGGCAAAGCUCAAGUUUCUCUGUUUCAAAAGCUUAUUUCAAAAAAACAAAUCUUUGGACCUUUCGUGCGAGUCCAACUGGUUCGAGGUUUUGUUGUUGGACUUCCUCUCUGGUCAAAGGCACUUGAACAUACCCUCAGGCGUAGGUCAACUCGCCCAAGCCAGUGGAGCUCUCUGCUCAAAACGGGUUGAACUGACCCUAGGGUGGUUCAACCGAGUUUUCACCAUAGACCUCUUUGCUCAAACCCAGUUGAGUCGGCCCCUUUGGAGUUGUUCAACCACUAUCUCAGCAGUUGGUCAUUUUGCCAAACCUUGUAGCACAGUCUGGCAGCUGUAUUGCAAAGGAGGUUGAACCGGCCAGCUAGUGGCGGCUCAACUAUCCCUCGGUCAGAGGACCAUUCUGCAAAGUCCUGCUAAAUAGGCAGUUGAAUGGGCCCUUAGGGGCGGUUCAACCAGGGUAGGAUGAUUGAACUCCCCAAUUGAGUUGGCUUGUUGAACCAAGUUUAGUUUUGCUAAAAACUAGUUCAAUUGGCUUUGGGGUGUAGUUCAACCGCAUUUCACGCAAAAAGUUCGAACAGUCAACCCCAUUUGAGAGGCCCCUAUAUAUACACUCUCCUCUCUCUCUCCCCCCUCAUUUACUCCGGCUAACCAACACAUUCAUUGUUCACCAAACUUGAGACAAAAAGCUCUAACUUUUCUCUCACACCCCAACUCUCUCCCUCGUCGAUGUUUGAGGCUAAAACCAGUUCAAUUGAUUGAAGGAGCCUUGGUGUGAGGUUUGAGUUCUUUGAUUUCAGACAUGGUUUUUGAUCUCCCUCCUCUUUAUCCAUCCCUUGAGCUUGUUGCAAACACUCUCUUGUGUGGGUUUGUUACUCUUUGAACCUCGUGUUCCAUGACGGUUGAGGUUGCUUAGGAGUCUCUGAAUUUGUGGACAACCCGAAGAAGUUUGUAUCACAUGCUCUUUGAGCAAGUUUGAGAAAGUGGUUGCAUUGACCUUGUUGGUCGGCCUGUGAAGGGCUAGGGCUGGAAAAGACCGGGCCGUAUGUGGGCUGCUCAACAGGGAUUAGGGCACCUUUGUGGUGUGUCCGAACCUCGGCAUAAAUCUCGUGUAUUUGUGUUGUUGCUUUGUUCAUGCGCUGCACUUUAUCUUUGUCAAGAAAGACAUCGAGCGAUUCGUUGUGUGUGUGUGUGGAUUUUCACUUAGAUUAUGCCCUGUUUUUUCGAUUCAAAGAAUCUCUCAUUAUACUUCAUGUUGUUCUUAGCUAGAUCUAUUCUCUCAACUGGACUAGUUCAACAGCCCCUAGUAGCGUUUCAACUGGCCUACACUAAACUAUUGAUUUGACAUCAUUUCCAAGUUUUUGGUGAAUUUUUUAGGUGUAGCCUAUUUACCCCCUUCUAGGCUACUUUCAAUGGUGAAAAUAGUGAAGUUUUAUAUGGAGCUCACCGGGUGUUCACUGUAAUGUCUGAAUCAAAAUCGCCACAUUCUAUCACAAGCCAUUCCCACCAAGAUAAAAGUGUAGCACUAAUAAAUCCAUGAGAUAAUAUUUGUAAAAUAGCAUCAUUUAGUCCAAUGUUGGUUAUGGAACCAAUUCCUAUAAUUAUGAAACCCAUGUGAGAUGCAGAGGAGUAGGCUAUUCUUUUUUUAAAAAAAAAUCAAUGACCAAGAGAGGUUGAAACUGCAUAGAUUAUUUGCACUGCUCCUAUUAUUACCAACCAAGGGGAAAAUAAACAAUGAGCAUGUGGUAACAAUUCCAUAUUGAACCUUAUCAAUCCAUAUCCUCCCAUUUUAAUAGAAUGUUGGCUAAAAGCAUACAUGUACUGUAAUGUGCUUCCCGAUGGGUAUCUGGUAACCAAGUAUGUUAAGCUAUUAUCGUCAAUUUGAUACCAUAAGGAAUAAGGAAACCAAAAUACAAAGCCGUUUUCGUGGAUUUUGACUUAGAUUUAUUAUUGCACAGACUUAGAGUAGCUCAUAGAAAAAGUUUGAUUCUAUUUAGAACAUGUUCAAUUAGUUAACAAUUUUUUGCUUAAUUUCAAGUACUUUUUCCUUUAACAAAUAAAUAACAUAAUAGAAGUAAUAAAAUAAUUAAUUUGUUGUGCUGGUUUUGGGAUUGUAUGAAUUCCAUUGAUCCCAAACACCUAAGUUGAUCCAUGGCAUAUGCAUAAUGUUGUCUAGAACCCUACUUAACAUGAUUAGCGAAAUAAUUAGGGUUUUAUCGGAAAUCAAAUGCAACUUUACUGUGAAGGAAAGUUGUACUCAAGGUUUUGUUGUUUUAGAUUAUUUAUCUUGCACCUAUGUUCAUUCCAUCAUCACAUCAUGAUCAUAUCUUGCAACUUUACUGUUGGGGGCCUUCGGCUUACGAAGGUCCUCAAAAACAGGAUUUAACAGUAUUUCUGGAGUUUAAUGUGUGAACAGGUAUCUUCGGACUCAAGUCGGUAUCACAGCAGACCAGAAUAAUACGAAGGUUGAUACAGCGCCGAAGGUGUGAGCAGGAAAGCUUCGGCAUGAUAGCAACAAAAUGAAACCGACUUAAAGAUGAAAAGGCUAUUCAGACCUCGAUAGAUUACAAUAGAAUUAUUAUCAAAUGUAAAGGGCAUGAAUGUAAUUUUGCAUAGGUUGUGACCUGUGCCUAUAAAUAGGAGAACAGUACCCCCGUACUGUUCACGCUGAUUUGGCAUUCACUUUUGCGUCACGCUUGUACUUUCAUCUCCUUCAAGUUGAAGGUACAUUUGUAAUUCGAUGUUAUUUCUGUUUAUAUAUGAUAAUAAUAUAUAAUAUUUAAUAAUAUUUAAUUAUCUAUGUUAUCCUUUAUAUUUCUUACAAUUCAUUCUUCGUCUUUGUAUAAUGUAUUUAUGAAGGUACGCCCUUCAUAACCUUCGCCCGAAAACCAUUAUAUCCUAAGGGGAAUAAUGCUUCGAAGGACGAAGAACUUUACCGGUUAACAUUUUCUAUGUUGCCUUGUUCUUGACUUUUAGCAUUUGAGAACAAGUCCCCAACAUUGGCGCCCACCUCCGGUGAACUCACUUCCACUCUUUGAGUUUUUUUUGAACACCUUCGGCGAUCAUAAACCUUCGUUAUGGCGCCGAAGAAGGCUUCAGCGACUGGGGCUGCAGCUCUGCAACCGCUGGACCACAAUCAGGAGACAGUCUCCCUUCGGGAGGCCCGAAGCCAGAAAAGGAAGGCUGUCAGCCCGACACCACCAGAGGACGAGAUAGAUCAAGAAAUCAGAGAUAUGGAGAUGCUUCAUCAACAGGUGCAAAGGAAGAAAGAAAAGAUGGCCAGGCUAGCUGAACUGCAGAGGCAGAUAGAUGAAGCCUCUGAAGAAGUUCGUCAUCUUGCCCAGGAUGAGCAACACCGAAGGCCUCAGCACCAAGACCUUCAUCAGGAGGGUUUUCCCAACGAAGAUGACUGGUAUGACAAUUUCCAUCAUGGGAAUUUUGUUUUUGAUGAUGCUUCUCCUCUGUCCGCUGAGCUGCAGGCUACACCUUGGCCUCCGUCCUACAAGCCGCCUCAGCUUCCCGUAUUCGAUGGCCACUCAGACCCGAAGCAGUUUUUGAUGAGCUACGAAGCGACAGUAUCUUCAUAUGGUGGCAAUGCUGCAGUCAUGGCCAAAUCUUUUGUUAUGGCUGUCAGGAGUGUCGCUCAAACCUGGUAUUCCUCCCUUCGACCAGGAACAAUCACUUCAUGGCAGAAGCUGAAGGACUUGUUGUUAACUAGCUUCCAAGGGUUUCAGACGAAGCCGGUUACUGCUCAAGCUCUGUUCCAGUGCACCCAGGAUCACGAAGAAUACCUUCAGGCGUAUGUCCGAAGGUUCUUGCGUUUGAGGGCACAGGCACCAACGGUGCCCAAUGAAAUUGUCAUUGAGGCCAUGAUCAAGGGGCUUCGGCCAGGACCGUCAGCUCAGUAUUUCGCUAGGAAGCCUCCUCAAACUUUGGAGAAGCUGCUCCAGAAGAUGGACGAGUACAUUCGGGCCGAUAAUGAUUUUCGCCAAAGAAGGGAGGAGGCUUUCAGGUUUUCUGAAAUGACCAGGGGCUUCGGAGGGAGGUUCUACCCGAGGCAUGUUAGAUCAAUUUAUAACUCUACACAAAAUGAUGAUAGAGGGAGCCAACAGCAAAGGCCACAAUGUUCCUCACAGGCUUCGGGGCAACAGCAAGGCUCCUUCCGACCACCAGCUCCAAGAGGCAGAGGCGCCAGGGGCUUCGGAGGAAGAUUUGGCGAUCAACCGAGAAGAAUCUUUUGCUUAUUCUGUGGUGAGAACAAAGGUCAUACCACCAGGAUGUGCCAUGUUACCAUCCAGAAGCAAAAAGAAAUAGCCGAAGCGGCAGCACAACAGGCUCAGCCGAAGCAGGUCAUGCACACUGCUUCGUAUCAUUCGCCUUACAUCCCAGAGUAUGUAGGCAAUCAUCCUGCAGUUUCUGUUGCUUCGGCGAGUCAACCUCAGGCUUCCUGGCAACAACCUUCGCCUCCACCACCGCUGCAACAAGGUCAGCAGCCAGAAGGGAGCCAAUAUGCUCCACACCAAAGGGACUUCAGAGAACAGUCCGAAGCUCGCACAGUCAACAGCACUGUGCCAGAGUCAAAGCACAUCUAUUGACAAAUAUCCUACCUUAAUUGCAAUCUUUUUCAUUCAGUUUUAUUUUCUGUAAUAAAGGACAUUGUUCAGGUUUCAUGUAAAUAGUUUCGUUGAUUCCCACAAGGAAAAUAUAUUUUCUUCACAGGCUUAAAUUGGUGAAAGACUUGUGAUAACAAAGAGGACCUUCGAACUAUCAAAAAUUCUUCGAAGCAACAAAAAGUCGUUCUAAGGAACGCAGAGUAAGUUUGCCGAAGUCACAAAAAAGUCGUUGCAAAGGGAGCGCAGUGUAAGUUUUCUGCUCCAAAGUCGUUCCAAAGGGAAUGCAGAGCAUACAGCGAAAAGUCAACACUGAUACCGCCUAAGUAAAAGGCGAAGCGCGAAAAGUCAACGCGAAUACCGCUGAAAGUAAAAGGCGAAGAAGCUCCUAAGGGAGGCUUACAGCGAAAAAUAAACGCUGAUUCCGCUGAAGUAAAAGGCGAAGAAGCUCCUAAGGGAGGCUUAUAGUAAAAAGACAAUGCUGAUUCAAAAGAUUAUGUGUUUUGUCGCAGGAAUGUGUGUAUCUUCGGAAUAAACACCAUCUUACACAGCAUAACAUCAUCGCAUCAUUUCGCAUAGCAUAAGCAUCAUACAUCAUGUUGCAUAUGGCACAAGAGGUGGACAUUAUAUUAAUCUACAGAAGAACGUUUUGAAAAAAGGGAAAAAUCAUAAUGUCACAAGGAGAUACAUUAUUGAUCUUUGGAAGUAUAGCUUCGGAAAGUAUCUUCACGAAGCCUGGACAUUCCUCUUCACGAAGCAUGAAAAGAAGGGAAGGUGUUUUUUCGUCAAAGACUCAAAAGCGGUACGUGUAAAGUUUCAUGCAUCGUAAAGAAUUGAGCAAUAAAAACGGGUAUAUUACAUUCAGGAUUACAAAAUGUUACAAUAUAUUACAUUUCAGAAGUUUAAUUUACAAUAGUAUUUAAUCUUCUCUCAGAACAACUUCUGCAGCUUCAUUCAGGAGCCGAUUGACGACUUCGUCCAUAAUGGCUUCAGCCAUCUUUUUAAUUUCGUCGUCUCCUUUCGGCUGAGGGCCCGGAGACGCUUUAGCAGGAUCUGAAGAAGGACAGGAUACGGCUACAUUGCUAUUACAAAUGGCAAACGAAGCUUAAAACCAAAAAUUACAACACAAUAAAAACUAUUAGUUAAUACCUAAUUGACCUUCGGGCUCAGCGCUCUUUUCAGCAGCCUCAGCCACUUCUCUAGCAUCGUGAAUGCCCUUUUCACUUUUUUGAAUAAUUUCUCCGGCCAUUUCUCGGCCACCAUUAUCCCAGAUAUCAGUGAAAAAUUUUCCACCGAUCAUGCUAGCUUCGGCCGAAGGAUCUCUUGCAUCUUCAAAGGACAAAGCAGCUUCGGAUUGUGCUAAAAUUUUUACAUGUUCGCAGCCCUUCUUCUCUAAAAUGGUGGCAAUUCCUCUGGCACCAGAGAAAGCACAUAUAUCUCCACGGCUAUUUAAAAUUUCUUCGAAGGCCUCAGCUUCGUGGUCGAUCCAUUCGAUGGGACCUUCGGGAUUGCCUCUCGUAAAGUUUUCUUCGCUUGAGAAGGCGCCGACCCUGGCGAAGCUAGCUUUUAACUUCUUAACACACUCUAUAGAUUUGUUAUAGCAUCUCUUCUUGGACGAACGAAGCUCUUCAACAGUUACUUCUAAGUGAUCUGCCCAUUGGUCGCUGAGUUCUCGCCUUGUUUCUUCAAGUAUGCGUUCUUCUUUGGCUCUGGCCAGUUGUUUCCGAAGAUCUUCAAUUUCGCGCUUCUGAGCUUCAGCUUGACCCUUAAAAGCAGCUUCGUCUUCCUUUAUUUUAUUUAUCAAUGAGUGUAAUAUUUUAUCUUUUUCGAGGCCUUCGUUCCUCAGUUCAAUUACUUCAGAACGAAGGUUGCUCAGGGCUAUAGCACACCCUUCGUCUUCAGCAUCUUUCUGUGCCCUGAGGGCAUUGCUAAGUAUCAGGCCCUGCAAAGAGAAAUAUGUGUGUGUCAAUAGAUUUAAACAAACGAAAAAUUUUGGUCUCAACAAAAAAUACAAGGAUCCCAUUUGUCGCACCUUUAAGCUAUUAUAGGCCAGGCUGUCGGCCAGAUCGUUCUUCGACAGCACCGAGAGCCCGUCUUCUAAAGUUGGGAAUCCGAAGCUCUUGCUCAUCUCCCGGCAGACAGAAAUCUCCUUGCUGUCAGGGAGACAAUACAAAAAGUCUUCUUCUCCACUACCAUUGAAUAUUAACGCCCCUUUUGGAUACUUCAGUUUUUGGGCGUAGCGCUGGGCCUCUUGCUCUUCUUUUUCUGAUAGUUUUUCCCCGAAGCAUGACGAACAAUAUAAUCAUGAACUUUAGAGGAUGCUUCGGGGGCAACGACACCGAUUUCUUCAACAAAAGUUGGCUUUAUUAUUUUUUCUUCCUCAGUUUCCAAGGAUUUUAUCUUUACGGGCUCUGAGGACCCAGCUUCGGCUUCAGUUUCUUGCUCUGGAGCUUUUGUAUCAGAAAUUUCAGUUGUUGUUUCAGGAGCGGCAGCAGCCUUCUUCGGAGGUGUGCUUGAAGAUUUGAUUGUUUCCAGUACAUCUAGCACAUUAGCCAUUCUCUUUCUUUUCGGAGUCACUGCUGGCACUUUUUGAUUUUUUACUGUCUUAACAUUUGCUGCAGGACUCACAACUUCUGAUGCUUUUUCUUCAGAUGGUUUUUUCAUUUCUUCCAUUUUUUCUAUGGAUGGCGCUUCGGCCAUUUCUUCGGUUUCUGGUAGCAAAAUCUUCGGUUCUUCCAAUUCUAUCCUUUCUGGCGCUUCGGCCUUUUCUGCAACUACUGGCACCAAGGUUGGUUUGGUUGGCUUUUUAGUCUCGGUGGCCGAAGAAGUUUCUCCGGUAAACUCAGGCACCGAAGCUGGUUCUAUAUAGCGCGGCCGAUGUGUGAGGACCUUUAUCUUCUUUCUUUUCGGUUCUGGCUCGCUAGGAGCAGUUACAGCUUCUUCCUUUGCAGAGGUUAUGUUUUUUCUCUUCUGCCUUCGAAUGGGAUAGCAAUAGUCAGGGUAGACAAACCCAAUUGCAUCAAAUACCCGAUUCAGCCUCUUCUUUUUUCGGCCUCCGAAGGCUGCUGACAUCGCAGUAUCUUCGACCUUCGAAUAAGCCCCAAGCAGCUCAUCACUUAAAUUUUCAAUGCUUUUUAACCAGUCAUCAUCUGGCUCAACGAAUUUAUCUCCAAACUUAAAGGUGUACUUCAGUCUGACAAGUCCACCUUCGUCGGCCUCUUUUAUGGUUUCUUGCGGCAUUUCCCAUUUCUCCGCGAGCGGCCAUACCCGGAAGGCAAUAUGCUCUUGUACUAAAUCUCUCGUUCCAAUAAAAGAACAGAUAACGCCGAAGGCCCUCUGGCAUUCUUCGGCAGCUUCAUUCAUUUCAACCUUCGGCCUCCGAAGGCCGAAGCUUUGCCAAAUAGGGCGCAUAAUUAUACCUUUGAUAUCUUCUCGUACUGACAGGUCAUUCUUCACAUAAAACCAUACCUUCCUCUCAUGUUGACAAGAUGAUUCUCUUUGAUAGUUGAUUUACCAUAAACUGAAUGGCUUGGUCGCCAGGGACGAUCUUCGGAGUCUUCACCACCGCUGUCCACAUCAUAACUGUCGCUGUCACCAGUAUCCUCAGACAAACCUUCUAGAAUUUCCUUGGUGAUUUUUUCCGUGUUGGUCUUCGACAUCGCUAUAAGAAACCCCAAGUUUUUCUCUUCGUCAAGACUCAACUUCGUCUCAGCAGCAGCCUUCUUAUCUCCAGACAUCUUCGGAAACACUAAAAAACUGUUUUCAAAGCCGAAGCUUCAAAACUAAAAGCUCAGAAAAUCUUAGUGCACAAAAGCUAAAAAUCGAGUGAGCGAGAGCAGAUGACAAGAGAGCGUGCCAAAUGAGAUUGCGGUAUGACCGUAUUUAUACGCCCGGUGCGUUGAAAAUUGAAAGACCCCGCUUGUCAGUGAAUGUUGCUAUUCUAGCAAAGGGAAGGUGUUUUUUCGGACCUUCGGCGUAAAGCCUUCGUCCAUAUCGCAAUCUAAAUUUAUUGUUUUAAACAAAUUAAUAUUGCGAGGGGCUACUGUUGGGGGCCUUCGGCUUACGAAGGUCCUCAAAAACAGGAUUUAACAGUAUUUCUGGAGUUUAAUGUGUGAACAGGUAUCUUCGGACUCAAGUCGGUAUCACAGCAGACCAGAAUAAUACGAAGGUUGAUACAGCGCCGAAGGUGUGAGCAGGAAAGCUUCGGCAUGAUAGCAACAAAAUGAAACCGACUUAAAGAUGAAAAGGCUAUUCAGACCUCGAUAGAUUACAAUAGAAUUAUUAUCAAAUGUAAAGGGCAUGAAUGUAAUUUUGCAUAGGUUGUGACCUGUGCCUAUAAAUAGGAGAACAGUACCCCCGUACUGUUCACGCUGAUUUGGCAUUCACUUUUGCGUCACGCUUGUACUUUCAUCUCCUUCAAGUUGAAGGUACAUUUGUAAUUCGAUGUUAUUUCUGUUUAUAUAUGAUAAUAAUAUAUAAUAUUUAAUAAUAUUUAAUUAUCUAUGUUAUCCUUUAUAUUUCUUACAAUUCAUUCUUCGUCUUUGUAUAAUGUAUUUAUGAAGGUACGCCCUUCAUAACCUUUGCCCGAAAACCAUUAUAUCCUAAGGGGAAUAAUGCUUCGAAGGACGAAGAACUUUACCGAUUAACAUUUUCUAUGUUGCCUUGUUCUUGACUUUUAGCAUUUGAGAACAAGUCCCCAACAUUUACUUUACACGUAGAUUAUGUUACGACGAAUCGGUCAUAUUGUGAAGUAAUUCCCAGAGCCUUGUCUUCACUCAAUGGAACUAUUGGGUUUUCUUGGUCAUCUACUCUACACUACAACUAAUGCAAGCCCUAGUGCAUUCAACCCUGUUCCUUGUGUUUUAUAAAACUUUUACCCUAAAUAUAAUGCUUGAUGCAUUUAAGUUAGUAGGAAUUGGUUGAAUACUCGUUGUUGCAUGACUACCCUAGAAUUUCAAUACCUGUUCUUGUUACCGCUUUUGAAAAUGUUGUAAUCUAGAGGUGUAGCCUUGCAUAGCUCUAGAAGAUAGGGUUAACUUUGAAUUCUAUAAAGGCUCCCCAUUCUCCAACCCCUCAUAAAUCACUUCUCAUACUAUUUGCCAAACAAUUUUUGUUAGAUAGGUUCACUUCUGUUAGAGAAUCCCUCAGAAUCGCUCUAUUAGAGAAUCAACUCUCUGAGCUACAGAAUCAUGGAGUAGAGCUCUAUCAAACGAGGACUUUUGAAACAAAAACCUAAACUCAUUUGUUGUAAUAGUAUUUUGAAAUAUAACUUUGAAAAUUUGGUUUUGAAAAAAGAGAAAAAGCCUUUUGGAGAUUUAGUUGAUGUUUUUGAAACUCUUUCUCCACAUAGUGAAAUUAAUGAAAAGGCAAGAAAUCCAAAAACAUAUAUGUAUCAAAUUAUAGGAAUUCUACAAAAUUCCAUAUAAUUCUCAAACAAACUAGCUAAACAAAUGUAUAAAACCUUUUAUAAAAACAAUAGAAAUUUAGUUAGUGUUGUCUAUUGAAAUUGCAAGAUGAUAACAUUGGUUCUACUAGGAUUAUGCGCAAAGGUAGCGACUUAUUCAAUCCAUGAGAACUUUAUUUAGCAUAUAUCAUCUAUAUAUAGGAGUCGCGCGGUUGGACGUUAUAUGAAUCACCUUGGAUCGAAUAAAACCAAUUAUUUGUUUUAUUUUUCCAUCGCUUAUAUAUAUAUGCACCAGAGAUUUUUGUGUUACCCUUGCAUAUAUGCAUGCAUGCAUGUGGAAUGAAUCCAAGUCUAAAAUUAGGCGCCUAAUGGUGACCUUCCAUAUAUUAGACACCUUAAUUAUUUGAAUUGGAUUUUGGAUGCAAACUAGCUUAUUAGCUAUCUAUAUAUAACAAGAUUAAAGAAGAAGACAGACAACCUAAUUAAAGAAUUUGAGGAGAGAAAGAAAGAAAGAGUGAUCGUCAUGGAGAGCAGGAGGAAGAAUCAACAGAAGACGAGCUACAUUGUAAUUUCCAUCCAGCUCCUAGCGGCCCUCCUACUCUUGGAGCUUGUGUCGCUAGUGCCGGGGGCGUCAUGCGAGGAGUUGCCCUUGGAUUUUUGGGUGAGUGAACUACGGGUGGUCGGGGCAAAGGACAUUUCAACAGCCGAUGGAUGCACUAAGAAGAAUAAGGACGCAGUGCUCUGCCCAGGCUAACACGGUAACCAAUUUCAUCAACCCUACCAACUCUGAGGAACAAGGCUAUAGGACCAUCGGGGAGUCCAUCGCUAACAUCCCUGAUGAUAGCACCAAACAGUACAUCCUCAUCCUCAGCGGUGGCACCGUGUACCGAGAGAAGGUAUUGGUGAGCAAAAGCAAGCCAUUCGUCACCAUAAGAUCAGAUGACCCCAUCAACCCUGCCAUCAUUGUGUGGAACGACACUGCCGCCACCCUGGGGAAGGAUAGCAAGCCCCUUGGAGUAGAUGGUAGUAGCACCAUGACCGUAGAGUCUGACUACUUCAUUGCCUAUGGUGUCGUCUUUAGGAAUGAUGUUGCAGCAGCAGCGAAGAAGAAGAAGGCAGAAGGCGAGGCGCCAGCGUUGCGGGUGCUAGGAACAAAGGCAACCUUCUACAACUGCACAAUUGAAGGUGGACAAGGCGCCCUGUAUGACCAGAUGGGGCUGCACUACUUCAAGUCCUGCACCAUCAGGGGAACCAUCGACUUCAUCUUUGGCUCUGCCAAGUCCUUUUACGAGGACUGCACCAUUGUUUCCGUGAACAACAUGGAGGAGAUCAUGACCUUGCCUGUGGCACCACCUCAACUUGACAUUCACGACAAUCCAAUCAAGGUUGCCCCAGGGGAGGGCGGCUUCUCCUUCAAGACAUGUACCAUCACCGGGGAAGGGCAACAAAUCUUCCUCGGAAGGAUGGGCACGCCUUCCAUCUACUCCUACACCCAGAUUGCUAAGGAGGUUGUGCCCAUAAUCUACGACAAAGGGAACAUCUUCAUGCCCAGUAAUAUGUAUGCCGACCCAUGCAUGCAGCAAAAUCUCUCUCUCUCUCUUUAUAUAUAUAUACACACUUGUUAUCUCAUAUCUAUAUCUAUGCAGGACUGGUAGACGCUGUGCCACUUUCAAGUGCUAUGGACCUGGGUUAGAGAAAAUAUGGCACGUCAAACUUAGAUACGCUGAAGCCAUAUACUUUCUUGGGACAGAUUUUAUCAACGGAGAUUCAUGGAUCCUGUCCAUACCACCUACUGAUGCUGAAACAUUGCUAUCAGUUUGAAUAUAUAGAAUCCUCAGAGAUCAUCAAAGAUCAUCAUCUACCACUAAUUAAUAAUGAGCCAAAUUAAAUAAGUUUUGCGUAUAUAUUUUAUCCCUAUCUAUAAAUUAUGCAUGUGUUGUAAACAAGUCGUGGAUGGGCUUCAUUUGUUCUCGCGAUUGAAAAAUAACAAAUAAACAAAGUAGAAAAGAGGAUGAACCAGAAGUCUUGUUCAGCAAGAAGGAAGGAGGAAUGACGAUAUUUCCCAUGUGAUACUUGUAAAUCAUAUGUGUAAACUUCGUGGGCGUGCUUGUAAUUUCAUACGAAGUUGUACCUCUCGUCUAUAAAUAGAGUAACAAUGUCAUGCAUAAAUUCACCUUUCGAGAGCUCAAAGCUUUAUUUAGCUCAGCCUUCGAAGUACCUUUGAGCUAUCACUUGUAUGAAGCCGAAGGUAUGUUUGUAAUUGUUUGUUAUAUUGCAAGGAGUGAAAUAAUAAGUGUGGAAGCAUGAAGAUGAGUAACAUGUCUUGCUCGUAACUGUUUACAUUUCAUCCUUGUUAAUAUAUAAGC